rnacentral:lncRNA from 1 species
GGCGGCAACUUGUUGGAUGGCCAAAUACCUGAAAGCCUUGCAGGCCAGUACCUCAGUUUGGGAGGCCCCGGAGCGAAAUAUAAAAUGAAAAUUUUAUAUGUAGAAAAUUAUAAAUAAUUAGAAUAUAUUUAGAUGAUUUUAUGUAAUAGUAUCAUGUAAAAGGAGUAAAAAACAAGUGUUCCUUACCGAUAUCUUUUUAACUUCUAUGAAAAAGCAACAUUCGUCUAGUAUUCUUCAAAUAAAAAUCUUUAACUAUAUCUACAUAUUUAAUAUUCUUCAAAAUAUCACUUUCUAGUGCAAUUGUCGCCAAUCCAUUGAGACUUUCUUGCUUCAUAGUAGUACGCAUGUAGAUCUUUAGCAACAUCACUUUGGAAAAGCUUCGCUCUGCGGGUGCAACUGUCACCGGAAUAGUUAAUAAAAUUCUAUAUGCAAUUUGGGCAUUAGGAAAACAGCCAUCCGUUUCACAAACUUUAGAAUAUCAAGAGGCCCCAUAUCUUCUUUUAGGAAUAAAUUCUUGGAGAAACUUCAACGCCACAUGUAACAUUUUGCCAUCAAUAUCAGAAUUAUCACCACUCUUAAUUGCAACAUCAAUAAGCAUAUCCUUUGCUUGUACAUGUUUGCUGAUCAAAUUAACAACAGAUAAUAUUUCAUACCAGAUAAUUAUUGCCACCGUAAAUUCAAAGUCACCAAGCUCAUUGUUCGCCAAGAAUUUAGCUUUAUUGAAUAUUGUUGUAUUAUUAUCAGUAUCUGAUACUUCGAGUAAAGCUUCUAUCCUGCAUUUGGAACCUUAUAGCCUUUACACUGUCAACACGACUCUCCAAACGAGUAGCUGCCAAUGGCUUGAGAGUCAAUCAUGAUAAGUUAUCUUUCAAAAUUUGAGUCUGAGCAAACUGUUCAAUUCUUUUCCUCUUACGCUUUUCAUUACCGCAUUCAUAUUUUCUAGGCAAAAUUAGCCGGGGUAUACUCUUGAAGUGUGGUUUUUUGCCAUAAGACACUAAAAAAAGAUAUCUUUGCCAAAAGAUACUAUAAGAUUGUGGUAAUUUACUAUGGGACACUAUACCGAAUAUUAUAUUCAAUUUUAAUAAAAAGCUAUUGGAAUGGACUAAAAGAUACUAAGGUCGAGCCGGCUCCUUUGCAACCGGAAAAAAUAAGAUCACGACGAGCAGUGCCCGGCCGGCGCCUCGCUUGGCGGACGGCGGCACCUCUUCUACCUUCCCUGCAGCAUCAACUCCUGGCGCCAGCGGACCGCGAGUGGAACCCUCUCCAUGCAGCGCCCGCCUGAGGUGGCUACGGCGCUCGAUCCCGGGGACGACGCCCGCUCCAGACGGCGGCGGCAUUCGAUUCCAGUGACGACGUCCACUCCCAGCGGAGGAGCCCGCUGUUUGAGCAUGAUGCAGGCCGUGAAGGACCGCAGCCUGCAGGUCACGCACGCAGCGCUCCUAUAGGCCGACUGAUUCUUUUCCCUGCCAGCCCCAGGCCUGCUCCCUGCGACUCUGCGAGGCUGCGAUAUUGCGGCGGCCGGCGACGGCGGCGGCGCGGCGCCUCGGUAAGUCGGCGUGCUCCGAGGCGGCGUAAGGUUUUGACGAUGAAUCGAUGACGAAUCGGCUACCAAGGCGGUAGCGUCGGUUCGACUUCGCAGAGAAACACAAGGGCACGCAGGCCAGAUGGACGUAACAGGUCGAUGGAAAUCAACAGGCAGGUUAGGUUACUGGCCAUUUGGGCCUGUACCUUGUAGCGGCCCAAAAAUUUGGGGAUCUGAUGCCGUCGGCCCACUUGCACUGGGCCAUGUACGGACCUGAAGCCUUGGCAACCUGACCAAAGUAAGAUACAUCCACCUCAGCGGAAACCACCUAUCAGGGCCCGUACCAUCUUCACUAGGCAACCUUAGGAAACUUGACCUCGGUCAGAACAGGUUGAGUAUCCUGCCAAAUCUUGCUGACCUGAAUGCACUUUAUCUCGCCAGGUUUCCUUCCCCAAGAGACUGGGUUGCUGGCCAAGUUGAACGUACUGGAUUUGUACUCAAACCAGCUAAGAGUGAGAUAUACCAGCUAAGUUGAACGUCGAAAUACCAGCGGAAUUUAGCACCAAUUGUCGGGAAAUAUACCGCCUGAAUUCGGUCGUAUGAGUGAACUGCAGUAUCUGUGAAUAAGUUGAACGGGUCGAUGCCGGAAGAGAUUGGGAGUUGCACUAAGCUAGAAUCCUUGAUGGUUAACCAUAACAGGUUGAGUGGAGAUUUGCCAGCGUCCAUUGGUAACCUGAGGAACCUGCACAUUGUGUUGGAUGCCAGCGGCAACAAACUCACAGGUGAGCUACCUGCACAGCUUGGGAACUUGGCGAUGUUGGAGCUCUUGAACCUCUCCCAUAAUCAGUUCAGUGGAAGCAUUCCGAAAUCCAUUGCUGGCAUGGUUAAGUCCGUCAACACUUGAUGUGUCAUACAACAGCUUGGGAGGGCCUCUUCCAAUAGGACGACUAUUCCACAAUGCCACAAUAGGAUGGUUCCUGCACAACAAAGGCUUGUGUGGCAAUAUCUCAGGCCUGCCAACAUGCUCUUCAACUUCAGAAAUGGAAUAUCAGAGGAGGGAUUCAAACAAUGGUGCUUGCAAUUUAUAUCCCCCUGUGUGUAGCUACUAGUCUUGCACUUUUUGCUGUUGCUACGACUAUUCACAAAAGGAGCAUGCAGCAAAACACUAUGUACACAGAUAGAAUAGAUGUGCUUUCAGUGUGGAAUUUUGAUGGAAAACUAGCAUUUGAAGAUAUUAACGCAGCUACAGAAAACUUCAGUGAAAGAUGUAUAGUAGGCUCAGGGGGCUAUGGCACUGUCUACAAAGCUCAUCUUCAAGGAGGGAGAUUGGCUGCAGUGAAAAAACUUCAUCAAACAGAUGAACAAACGAUUGAUGAAAAGAGAUUCCUUAGUGAAAUUGAAGUGAAGUGCUGACGAAGAUACGGCAUAGAAGCAUCGGCAAGCUGUAUGGAUUUUGCUCUCAUACAAGGUACAAGUUUCUAGUAUAUGAUUACAUCGAGAGAGGAAAUCUUCAUGCUACCUUGCAAAAUGAGGAGCUUGCAAAGGAACUAGACUGGCAGAAGCGAGUUGCCAUUGCAAAAGACGGGGCUCAAGCUAUCUACUACUUGCACCAUGGAUAACAAGUAACAACAUCUUGCUAGAUGCAGAUUUCAAGGCUGGCUUGUGUUUCAGAUUUUGGAAUAGCAAGGAUGCUAAAACCCGAUUCAUCCAAUUGGAGCGAACUAGUAGGAACAUAUGGUUAUAUAGCCCCCGGUAUGUAGUCAGUUACUUUCUUCUACAUUGCAAAUAUAUUCUUGUUACCAUUUACGAAUAUCAAAUAUACUGCAGUUUGGUUUCAUGUUUGAUUAUUGAUUUGUUCUUUAAUUUGAUUUUUGAUGCAGAGCUUUUCUUACACAUCAGUGGUGACAACGAAAUGCGAUGUCUACAGCUUCGGUGUCGUUGCGCUGGAGAUUGUGAUGGGGAUGUACACCUCAGAGAUACAGUACCUUGCUUCCAGGGAACAGCAUCGGGAGCUUGUAAUGGAGGAUAUGUUGGACAAGCGCCAAUCAUCUCCAACAAUUGUAGAAGAGAACGAAAUUGCUCUUCUUGUGGAACUGGCAUUUGCUUGCCUGCAAACUUCUCCUCAGUUUAGGCCAGAGAUGGAGGAUGUCUAUCUGAAACUGGCUCUGCACAAACCACCUUCUUCGUUUGCCUCACCUUCUCAUGCACCUAGACCAGAAGAAAUAAUAGAAGUGUUAGGUCAUCUGUGUUGUGUCAAGCAAUUCAUAGUGUUAAUACUGUUAAUGCAAAGUGAUAAAAUCUCAACGACAAUGUGAAAUUGCAACAACGUGGUAUUAUAAGAAGCAUAGUCCAUUCCACAAUCUACACAAUGCCAAGUUCUCUAUACAAUACAGUUUCAAGUUACAGCAACAAUCAGGUCACUGCCACUUUCAGGGCAGAACCAUUGUGUACAUUUCUAUCUCGCUAACAGGCAAGACCACUCAUUCACUCCCUUCUUCGGCUUUUGUGAUGGUGGUGAUGGCGAUGCUUGGAUUUCUUCGUGUCCUUUUCCUUCCUUUUAUCCCUCUUCUCUUUUUUCUCAGACUUCCUUUUCUUUUCCUUCUUGCUCUGUGGUUCAGAGCUCGAUCCCCUUCCGUCCAACGUUUCCUUGCACCAAUGAUCAUCAGGAGACUUGGACCUCAAAAACAAAGGCUUUUCUGGGCCUUGUACUCGACGUUCCCAUUUUUCUUCCAAACGUAUAUCAGGACUAGGUCCGUUUUCAUGACAACGGGAUGAAGAAUCAAGGUAUGGACCAGGCUCGUCCAUCCUAGAACCAAUGGCCCCACGUCCUCGUUUCACCCUAACAAAAUAGCAACAAUACACUUGUUAAGCAACACAAGGAAAUAGGUAACGCAUGGAAAGGUUUACAUCAUUAACAAAUUUAAAUACAUAAUAUAAUAGCAUAAUAGCAUUCAUAGACAGAAUAAUGUGGUACUUAUAUUGCUAUACAAAAUAAUCUAACUAACUAUAUUUUCAAUUGCUAAAAAAAUGAACAUCAUCCUAAAGGUAUUCCAUAUAGAAAUAUAUUGAUACAAAUUUUGUAUAUCGAACAUGCAUAUAAUUUAACUCAUUGUUGGUCAAAAUCUACAAAAGCUUAACUUUUACAAAAACAAAUUACACCUAUCAUUGAUUGAUGGACAAAGGGAGUACUAUCGAAGAUGUAUAUAGAUUGCAUGUUUUUUCAUAGACGAUUAUGAGUAAAAUAAUAUCAGUUAUAUGCAGGUGUUACAUCAAGAAAAUAAUGGAUAUUUCUUGCAUUAAAGAAAAUAAUGGAUAUUCUAACUGACCUUGAAUGAAGAAAUCUUUCAAUUUCGUCUUCCUUGAGACCAUCCUCCUGGUCUGAGUAAGAAGUACUAUAAGUGGUCCCUUCUUGUUCAACCCUUGAGCUGGAGCUAUGGUUUCUCAUUUCACUUUUGCGCUUCUCGCCUCUAGAAUCAUCACAAUCUUUACUUCUGCCUUUCAUCUUUGACUCCAACUCCAGCUCCUUUUCCCUAGCACGCCACAUUUCAUUGAUCUCCACAACACGGUUUGCUGCAGUACAACAACAUAUUUCAAUUCAGACUUACUAAAGAUCUAUUUGAUGUCAAUAAAAAAAUUGUGACACAGGGCCAAUAAUACUUUUGACCCUUAAGAAUGUGACGUCAAUAUACUUUUAAAUAACCAAAUUAGAAUUUCUACAAGAUUACAUGAAUCCAACUGUUUUUCCCCCUAGUUUGGUAAGUUUCUACAGGAUUUCCUUCGCAAACAUAGACAAUACAGAAAAAAGAGUGGCAAUGAUUCAAUAAAUUGAAGAUGCAGAUGCAUCAUUCAAGCAACUAACACCAAGGGAAUGCCACAAUGCUAACCUUGCUGAACUCCACGAACAGUCGCUGUGAGGAACCGUGAGUUUGGACGAUGCCUUACAUUAGGCUUUCGUAGAUAUGCAUGAACACCUUCCCUGUCAGCCUCUAUCUGUAAUCUCCGUGCCUCUUCAAGUAGUAAAGAUGCCAGACGAUUCUCUGUCUCCAGAUCCAUUGUCUAACUCUGAGUUCAACAACUGGCUGUCCAGAAAUGAAAUCUUUACUAAUAGAAUAAACAUAUAAAUUAUUGGCAUAUUGCUACAGGGAUAUACUUAUGAUGAAGCAUGAAAGUUCUUUAGAGCGAAAAACAAAAGGAACCUCGGCUUUCUGAAUUUCCAUCAUAUAAUUGAUCUGCACUAUUUUGCUUGGGCGUAUGGGAAUGUGCCUUUGGCAAUAAAAGAACUUAUUACUAUAGUGUUUGAUCAAAUUAAGUUGUAAGAUUCAAGCAGUCUCAUUGAAACUAAUAAUUUGUCAGGUCAACCCAGGAAAGCUGAAAUGCACCAGAGUGAUGUGGUAAAGUUGAUGCAUGGAUCUGGAGCACGCAAGGUAACAGUGGUUGCAAAGGAACAGUGCAGGAUGUUGCUUGGUGUAAGCUAUGUACUACUUUACAAAUGAUCCAAACAGAACAUGGACACUAAAAAAUAGAUAUCCUAAAAACAUUCUAUAAUGAGCAAUUGCAAUAACGGAAUUCAUGAAUUGGUUCAUAUAAAUGCUAUCCAUCCCGACAAAAAAAAUUACUAUAACAUUAACAGCCUAAAGAUGUCUUUAAAAGACUAAAACUGGACCCGAUGAGGAGUCAUGAAUGGCAAAAGUAACCAAAUUUAAUUGAGUAUUUCUUAAGAAACCACUCUUAAGGAUAAACCUAGGUUAAACACAAAGCAAUUACUAGUGUCAUAAAGGUCACACAUGACACAAGAAGUUGCAUAAGUUGAACAGAAACACUACAAUUUGUUCAAUUAAAUAAGAAAUUUGCCACGAAACAGGUCAGCAGGAAUGGAAAAACCAUGCACAUCCCACUAAACGUACACAGGACCUUCAGAGAAAAGAUUAUAGAUCUUUGGGCCAUAUUUUACGGUGAACUAUGGCUUGAGUGCUUGACUCUUUCGGAAUUUUUUAUAAGUACCAAACAUACAUCUGCGCCCAUAGAGCGAGUCUAUCAGAUACCAGAUAAUGCUGCGGCGCAAGAACGAUACGUAACCACGAGGAAACACAGAACAAGCAGCCUGCUUUGCCCAACCUCCUCCAAACAUGGUCUGGCACAACGUGUAGCCGGGGGGAUCGAGUGGAACCCCCCAAAAUUCAAUUUCUUCGCAAACUUCGCCAGCUUCUACCAGUACCUCUCCACGCAACAAGCAAUGCGUACUAGUAGAGCAGGAAAAAUCUGAAUUUGGUUGCUCACGGCUCACGGGUCGCAGCACAUGAAAGAUCCCGCCGAACAGGACGCGGCGCGAUCCGGCCGAGCAGCCAAGCAAGGUUAGGGUUCCUUACCAGGUGAAGGAGAGGCCUGUCCAGGCCCGGAUGGAUCCCCUCCCCGCGCCGGUCCUCUAGCGCCGAGGAGGAGGGGGACGACGAAGACGGCGGCGGGCGCGAGAGACGGAACCCCUUCGCGGUGGGGGGGCCGGGCAGGCGGCGAGCUCCGCUCCGGCGGAAGGAGGCGCGGAGGCGCCCUUGGCCGGCGGAGAGCGCUCGAUGGGGGGCGCGAGCGGGCCGAGGAGGCGGGGGUGGGUCGUGAAGGAAGAGGCGCACGCGUUCUUUCCUCGCCGCCGCGUCGCCGCCGCCGUGGGGAGAGAGGAGGGGAGGAGGGCUCGGUUGGUUGGGUACAGCUGGAUCCCUGCCAGACGAGUUCGGUGGGACCGUGGGAGAGAGGUGAGCGAGAGCAAGCCCAGACCCGGCCCGUUGGUCUGAUGAGCAGGAUGCCGGCCCGUUCGAGGGUUCGAAGAAGGUUAACAUUUUGGCAACAGAUUAACGUCCAUCCUCACUCCAAAAUUUACCUCUCGCUGCUUCUUUUCAUCUUUUGCAUUGUUCCAUGCUCUCCCUACUUAGACCCUGAAAUGUUCAAGCUGAGCAUGGGAACCAAAGCAAUACAUAGUAUAUCGUGCUCAUGUUACAUUAUAUAUCUAAUUCGUAGAGCCGAUCAGACUACCAACAUAUAAUAGAUUGCACUGUGUGCAUCUGACUAGAAGAUUAUAUAGGCUACCAAACAUCUUUAUGAAAAAAUAAUGGUCGGGUGGCUAAUGGUCAAUAUGUAACGCUUAAAGCAGCCACGGUGUAGACGAGGCUUGAAGGUUUCAUCACCAUGACAUACAUAAGUGAUACUCUAGCUCUUGUUUUAUUACAGUGUGCGACAUCGAUGCCCAAAAUCUGAUCCAUCUCACAAUCAAAUAGUAUGAUAGAAAUAGUAUUGUAAACAAUCAUUUCUUCUUUUUCAUCGGCUUUCCUCUGCACACCUACGUGACAGGCUUGCUAUACAAUAGUUUUCUGCUGAUCGAGCAUCGGGGCUUGUACUAUCAUUGGUGCUGGCAUUUUUCAACUCAGCAACGGCAGUUGCAAUGGCAAAAUCGAGGUUUGAAAUUUCUCUCUUCUACUGGAGCAUCGCCUUCUACUCACGUUGUGGCUGCUCUUAUUGAGAAAUAAAUUACUUACUUUGUUUUCAUGCUUGGACUGGCGGUUUGGGGUUUUCAGGUCGAUCCAUCUCAGCCCAUCCCAAAAGCCUGGCCCAACCCGGCCCGAGAUUUAUAUAACAUUAUCAAAUCACAUGAAGCAAAGCUCAUGGCUGAGACGGGGAGGCCGCGCCAGCUCACCAACGCCCGCGCUAUCCAAACCCCCGCGCAUCCGCAACGGUAAAGCCGCGCCGCCGAUGGCUUCCGCUCCCGCGCCCCCGCCGUCGCCGUCGCCGUCGCCGUGCCCCGACGCACGGGCCCCGCGCGUCGUCCGCGCGCCGCCGCGGCGUCCCCCGCCCCGCGCGCCCGGUCCUCCGCCCUGGGCGGAGCGCCGCCCCGCGGUGUCCGUCGACCUCGACCGCGGCCGCCGGGCGGCCCGCGCCGAGGUGGAAGGCGUCCGCGCCGCGUCGCUCCCCGCGCGGCACCGCCUGCGCGUGGAGGGCACCCGGUGGCAGCGGGACUGGAAGGUGUCCGAGGCCGCCGCGCGCGUGCUCGCGCUGCCCCCCGCCGACGCGCACGCCGUCGACGCCGUGCUCAACAGCUGGGCCGGCCGCUUCGCCCGCCGCAAUUUCCCGCUCCUCAUCCGCGUAUGCCCCCCGUUCUCUCUUUGCUUGCCACCUGCUUGCUACGUGUUCGAUGAGAUGACUGUUGGUGCGGAUGCCACUAUUGGCUAGUAGUGUGCGGUGUGCCAUUCAAAUGGGUCGAGGGGAGCGGAAAAAAUAGUUCUUUUUACCGCUAAAUUGGUACGAUUGGCAUGUAAUUUGCCACCCUGGCCCACAUUCAGUGACUCAGAUGGACCCACCCACGCCCACAUUUAGUUUUGUGCCACUAAAUUGGUGCGAGGGGAGCAGGACGUCACUGAACUAUGUUGCUUGAACUUAUAGUACAGCAUUUAUUUUGUUUAGUUCAUCUUGAGUUCCAGUUGUUAUUGACGUCCGAGUCAUUCAUGGUUGGGCAUAUGUUCAAUUUCGAUAUGCAAGGAUUCUUGGUUUGUUGAUAACAUGAUAGUUAAGUUAUCAUAGUAGUUUUAACUUUUAAGUAUUCUAUGUCAACUAUCUUUUGGCGCUUUAUCUAAGGACUCAACUACAAUAGUCCUGCAUCUAUUUGCAGGUGGCAUAGGCAACUCUGCUGAUAUAUUUUAGUUGUCCACGGAGUCCUUAAUUGUGUACGCUAGUUCCAUUUACUUUGUUCACGAUUUUCAGUAUGUCUCAAAACCUAUGGUUUUCUCAUUCAGUCCAGAAAAUCUAGUUAUUCUCUCAAGAUUCAGUUGCCACCAUCAUUUUUGUGCUCCCAAUAUUGAUUUAUUAGAGUGUAUGGUAGAAUCCCCUAGUAGCUACUUCAUUUGCAAGUUGUUGUUCUUAUUUAUAACUAACCAAAAAUCUCCAUAAAUUCACUAAAUACAAGCUAGCCUGUUCCAGUGAUAAUGAACUCACACAGUUUGUAUCACUUGUAGGAAAUCACAAUUUCUGGAUCCUUGAAACAUGCUGUACAUGUGUUCCGCUGGAUGAAAAAUCAGGAGAAUUACUGUGCUCGUAAUGACAUUUAUGGCAUGAUGAUAAGGUUACAUGCUAGACACAAUCAGGUUGAUCAGGCACGUGGCCUGUUUUUUGAGAUGCAAGAAUGGCGGUAUGAGUGCUAUAUGUCAUACUUUCAACACCUUAAUCAAUAUCGACCUAUUAUUUUCUUUCACCCUUACUAGAAGUCAUAGAGCCAUAUCACUCCUAGAAUGGCUUUUUGUUUAAACUAAGAAAACAAGUUUGUUGUAGGAGGUCUACUGCUUCAGCAUAUUAGACUGCCAUUCAGAAAAUUUGUGGUGUUGUAAUGUUAUUAUGUCACAUCAAUAAGACAUCUUCUUAAAAUAUAAUUUACAUGCAUCUUUUGUUCUUGUAUUGUUUUAUCAUUAGUUUGGUUAAAUGAUAGCCUUACAAUUAUCUGAUCACUCUUGGCCUUUUUGUUUUACUUAAAUGGUAUAUCCAUAGGUGCAAACCUGAUGCUGAUACAUACAACUCUUUGAUCCAUGCUCAUGCUCGAGCUGGCCAGUGGCGUUGGGCCAUCAACAUCAUGGAAGAUAUGCAACGUGCUGCUGUAAGUACAUUACUAUGAAGGCAUGACUUUCUGGAUAACUGCUUUAAAAAAUAAACAAUUGAACUUUACAUGCUUGUAAAGAUAUUCUACAUAACUAGCAUCUUGAGGCUCCUGUAAUAUUACUGAAUGAUAAACAUCAUCAUAUAGAUAAUCCGAGUCAUUAUACGUCAUGGUUGGUUUAGUUUGCUCCUGUAAGAGAUACCUUUUUGUUGCAGAUACCUCCUAGUCGAACUACAUAUAAUAAUGUAAUAAAUGCAUGUGGAGCUGCUGGUAACUGGAAGAAAGCUUUAGAGCUUUGUAAGAAGAUGACUGAAAAUGGUGUAGGACCGGAUUUGAUCACACACAACAUUGUUUUGUCCGCUUUCAAGAAUGGAGCUCAGUAUUUGAAAGCCAUAGCUUACUUUGAAAUUAUGAAAUCAUCUAAUGUUGCCCCUGAUACAUUCACUUGGAAUAUUGUGAUCCAUUGCCUUGUAAAGGUUGGGCAGUAUGGAGAAGCUAUUGAGUUGUUUAACUCAAUGAGGGAAAAAAGAACAAUAUGUCCUCCAGAUGUUGUUACAUAUACUAGCAUAAUGUAUUCUUAUUCUGUUUGUGGGCAAGCUGAAAAUUGCAAGGCAGUCUUUGAUAUGAUGGUUGCUGAAGGUGUCAGGCCUAAUAUUGUAUCCUACAAUGCACUUUUGGGUGCUUAUGCCUCACAUGGUAUGCACAAAGAGGCCUUGGAAACUUUUAAAUUACUGAAGCAAAAUGGAUUGAGACCUGAUAUAGUUUCCUAUACCUCCUUACUUAAUGCUUAUGGUAGAUCUGCACAACCUGAGAAGGCUAGGGAGGUCUUUAAUGAGAUGAGGAAGAAUGCAUGCAAACCAAACAAAGUCAGUUACAAUGCACUUAUUGAUGCUUAUGGAUCUACUGGAAUGUUGAAGGAAGCUAUUAGUUUGCUGCAAGAAAUGGAGAGAGAUGGCAUUCAACCGGAUGUUGUUUCAAUAAGUACACUGUUAACAGCAUGUGGCCGCUGCAGACAACUAACUAAAAUUGACACAAUUCUUGCAGCAGCUAAGUCUCGAGGGAUCGAACUAAAUACAGUUGCUUACAACUCAGGCAUCGGAAGCUAUUUAAGUUUGGGUGAUUAUGAGAAAGCUUUGGAGUUGUACGCAUUAAUGAGGACACGCAAUGUGAAGCCAGAUGCUGUAACUUACAAUGUACUCAUUAGUGGAUCAUGUAAAUUGGGAAGGUAUGCAGAAUCUCUGAAAUUUUUUGAAGACAUGAUGGACCUGAAAAUUCAUUUGACCAAGGAAGUCUACUCGUCCGUCAUUUGUUCAUAUGUCAAACAAGUAAGUAUUGCUGACAUUAACUAUCUGGUUCCCUGUAAAGAAUUGGUAUGCUAACAAUCGUUUAAUUCAGGGAAAACUAAGCGAAGCAGAAUCCACUUUUAGUUCUAUGAAAGAAUCUGGUUGCUUCCCUGAUGUUUUGACAUAUACUGCAAUGAUUAAAGCCUAUAGCGAUGAUGGUAAGAUUCUCUUAUGAUGAGAAAAUGUUUCAAUAAUUUUAAGUUUUCAACUAAUCCUGUGUCCAUAUGGAUCAUAAGGGAGCUGGAGGAGAGCGUGGGACCUAUUCAAAGAGAUGGAAAGUAAUGAUGUGCAACCAGAUGCCAUUGUAUGUUCAUCCCUCAUGGAAGCAUUGAAUAAUGGAAGCCAACCUGAAAGGGUCCUUCAGUUGAUGAAAUUCAUGAAGCAAAAACAGAUACCAUUGAACCAAAAGGCUUAUUUUGAGAUAAUAGCUUCAUGCAGCAUGUAUGUUUAUCCACCGUCUUAAGUUGCAUGUGCACUGUAACUAGUUUAUUAUUGUUGAAAUAGUAUUCACUGUCCAUUAUUAUUUUAACUUGUUAAAUGCAUAUAUACGUUGAUGUAGUGACACAAUGUUGGUAGUUUGCACGACAUAUUUAGGUGUGGGUAACUUUCUGGUUUCUGCCACGUUAAAUAGUAUUAUGCAGACGAACUUUUGUAUUACGAUUUGUAUUUAUUAUGAUACCAUUUGAGAUAGCAGGAUAAAACCUUGGGGUGGGUGAGAUCUCUCUUAUUUCUGUUUGAUCAAAAUUUUUUAGUUCACAAACUGAUGUUUGAGGCUACCGGGUCUGUUUGUUUGCUUACUCUGUUCAAAUGAUAGUUCAGUAAUUCAGUGACAUCGUCUUUUUUUUUUACUAGUUGAGCAUUUGCAGUUUUAGAAAGUGAGCCCCUGUAGUCUGCACUUUAGCUAUUAUCAUUUGGAUCAUGUCUUGCUUUUGUCUUGUUUCCAUGCAUCUUUAAUGUUCUAUUUUUCAUUUGUUCUAUUUCUUUUGAGAGGUUACUAGUGCUGCUAGUUUAACUAGGGAGACCUUUGAUGCUCUGCAACAGGCUACGGGAAUGGAAAACAGCCAGUGAAAUAAUUGAACAAUUGGAUUCCUCCCUCUCAUCCAUUUCUGUUGGCACACUAAACCAUCUUUUGAAUUUUCUUGGAAAAUGUGGCAAGACAGAGAGCAUGAUGAAGGUAUAAUUGGCCCCUUUAACAUAGGUGUCGUUCUAUAACCUCUUUGUAUAAUUUUCAACUUCGACAUAUGAUGGAAUUAAGUACCUUGGUAUCAUUUAUUUUCAGUACGCAGUCCAUACCUGUCAGUAAUUGCACUGGUGCAAGUGAAUGUUAUCCUAAAAAAAAACAGUAUUGUUCAAUAUUGACAUGAGCAAUUCAGAAAGAGAGAUUCCUAAUUUCAGAGGAAUCACUACUUUUGUAUGAUCUUAAUCUUUACUGAAGUGGUUUUAAUGCCACCAAUGUGCGACAGCAACAUGUAGAUCCAUGCAUCUCAUAUAUAUUGCUGGUCUCUACCAAAUAAAAUGAUUCAAGGGUUAAGAAUACUACUGACAUCUAUACUGGUUUUAACUCAUCUCCACUUCUUUUGUGAAUAUAUUUGAUGCUUGAGGAACACACAGACUUGUUUUGUACACUUGUGAGAGAAAACAGUUUCAGUAGUGGUGCUUUGUCUGUGGGGUGUGCAAUUCCUGUUGCUGCUUCCCCAUGAACUCUUUCAAGGAUGAGACUAAGCUUAUUGUUAUGAUUUUCUAUCCUGCAGCUGUUCUAUAAGAUGGUGACUUCAUGCUCUACUGUGGGCCUUUCUACUUAUACGGUUCUGCUGAGAAACCUUUUAGUUGUUGGGAAAUGGAGAAAGUAUAUUGAGGUAUACAGGUCAUAUCAUUAGGCAGCUAUAUUGUUACAUUUGAAUAGUAGCUGAUGGGUCCUUCAAAAAAAAGAUUCCCUUAAAAGAUAAAAGAACGACAUUCUCUAGAUUCCAUCUACAAUUGCUAAAUUGUGAUAAGAUGAUUGUGUAUUAAAGAUCUGCCAUUUUUCUUUUGGACAAGAACUCCAUACAUUUUUUUUCUGUUUGACAUCUUUUGUCUUGGUCUUUUGUUGUGAAACCUGGAUCCAUUAUGUCCUGUUGUAAAAAUUAGAAUUGUGGCAAAUUCAACAUUCUGCCUCCAACAACUGUAACAUAAGCAUUUUAAAAUUGGGGUGAUUAAUAUUUGAUUGGAAAUAUGUGAAACAGGGGGAAAAGAUGGAUGAUAGUUUGCCUUUGUUUGGCCUAUGUAGGUGUUGCAGUGGAUGGAAGAUGCUGGUGUCCGUCCAACACUAUAUAUGUAUCAAAGUGUACUUCCAUAUAUCUGGAGAGACAACAGUAUGGACUAUGUUACUCUCAUGCAAGAAAAAAUAAGUAUGGCACUUUCUAAUCUUAUUAUUAUUUACAUAAAAAACGUGUUAUUGUUCUUUAAUGUAAUAAUAUCUUUAAAUAUUAUUUAUAUUCAGUAUUGACCUUGUUAAAUCUGGAAUGUCCAGCUUGGACUUUGGAGGCAAGAUAUGAAUCCAGUUCAUCUCAUGUUUUGAAAUUUCUCAAACUAAGCUGCUGCAAAAUAUAAUCAUUGUAUUUUGUUGACCUAGCAGGGUUCAUGCCUGCAAAGUUGCCAUUGUUAAAUUACUGUUCUUCUUCUUAGGCCUUUGUAUUUUCAUGUUUCAAUAGUUUCCGUAUUCUUAAUUCAUGUUUUCUGCGAAGUGUUAUAUUUUUUAUAAAAAUGUUUUGAAUCAACUUAUUAUUAUAGUAUGCUAUGUUAUACUGAUGAAUAUUGGGAGGAAAUAAGCUGCAACAUGCCGCUACUUCAAUUAAUCCAUGUAUUAGAGGGAAAAAAGAGUUAUACAUUUAAUUAGCAAAUGACUCUUUUGAUAAACUAGAGUGAGAUAUAAAAAGGAGCUAUGUGAUUUACAAAGAGUACCAUUGCACUUGAUUGAAUGUUUGGCUCCCUUUUCUUCCUUUGAAUCUUCAAUUGUCUGAUAUGCUCCUUCAUGUCUAACUCGAACCACUGGUUUUUAAGUGUAGUUGUUUUACCUUUCCCAGCUGUUUUUCAUACCUUUUGAUUCCGUUUUAUUUUUACAUGAUAGUGAAAAAAAAAUCUCUUUUGGACUUUUGGUGAGUGCAACAUACAUGUAUGAUGAAUUAAAGUGACUUUUGUUGAUCAGUUCACCAGUAGUGCUUUUUCUAUAUGUUUUUUGCUACUCUCUUUUAUGUUUCCAUUUCUCCAUUCACUAGGUGAACAAUGCAUAUUUUCCUGGAUGACGCAUUUUAUCUUUGCUCAUAUCAGAUGCAUUGAGAGAGAAGGUAACAUGACUCCAGAUAUUUCUGCAUUUGUUUGAUACGGAGUACUAGAAGUCUAUAACCGAAUAUGGAAGGCGGCAUCAGAUUGAAGCUAGCAGCAUUCAGGGAGGACAGGAUUGUGAGUGUGCCCUAGUUGGCAUGGAAGCAACUUCCUCAUUAUUGAGAAAAAUGGACAUAGUAAGACUUUUUUUAAUAUGAAAGAGUUCAUAGGUAUUACCUGUUUCCAUGUUAAGCUGUCUUACCGAGUUACUGAUAUUCUGCUUAGGGACUUUGAGAACUGAGAAAUGGACAUGAUUCUACAAUUGCGAGGUUGGCUUGGAAAAAGCAUGACCCCAUGAAUCAUCUCUAUGGCUAAGAUGAGAGAAAUUGGGAUACUUGUUACCUCUAUGGCUUGGCUUGGAAAAAUUAGGUUAGUCUAGUAGAGCAGAGUCUUCCAUUCACCACCUAGAGUUUACAAUCUUGUAUGGCCAUUGUAGUAGCACUUCUUCGACGUUGUAAUUUGUCAAUGUCUUUCAAGUAAGCAGUUUUCCCAUCUUGUAUCAUAUUGGUUUGAGAAUAAUUUUGUUGUGACGAUGAAAAGGAGAUCAUAACAGGGAACACUGUAUAAGGCUUUAUGAAAAAUAUAGAGAUGGCCGUAUGAACAAAUUAGUGAUAUAUGAUGAUAUAUGCAAUUGCAGGCAGGGAAACUCUAGGGUGACGCCAUACCUGAUCAGUAUCAAGACUUCAAGAGUCAAACACAUUUUAUCGUAUGUUAAAGAUUUUGGAAUAAAAUAGGGUGUCACGCAAUCUGAGAUUGAGACCUUGAAUAUACUACACUAAUUAUAGUUAUAGUAGGCUAUAUUGAAAAGUCUUUGAGUGUUUCCAAUCACCUGUCAUGCAUGACAAGCACUGUGUUUCAAGUCGAAAAGGUGUAUUUCCUUAAGUGUAGUCCUUUAGGUUGGGACUAGAACGUGAUUUUCCUAGCUCACUUGAUCCAUGUAUGAGAUCUUUUCGAAAUGAUCAGUUUAGACACCAAAGUUUCUCUGAUUGGAGUUGGGACGUGGGAGAUAUGGCCUACACAAUAUCUGCUGCUCUUGCGAGACUUUGAUCUUCCAAAUUUGAGCUUCCUUUGGCUUGAGCACGAGAUUAGCUUGAUAAACCAUCAAAUGAUUCACCUAAGUCUUUUGGAAUGAACGUUUCAUCGAAUGUGGACGCAUUUUUCUUUUUAAGUGUACCGGGUUGAAGUUUUAUUGAAAAGAUACAAAGAAAAUUACAUCGAGCCCCUUAAACAAGCACCCCUGAAAGUAAAAGAAAAAUACAUUGAAGCUCAAAAGAAGUACUCCCAGUGGUCUCCGCCGCCGUCGACCGUUGCCGCCGCAGCCCGGUUCUCUUCCACCGCCUGCAGUGAAGAAUCAUACCAAGGAUGAAGCUCGAGGCCGAUACCCGUGUCGACGAAGAGCACUUACAGUUUGAAAUGCCAAUCAGUUGCACGCCAAACUUGACAUGCGCUUGAGACGCUAAACGCUCCAGCAGAUGGCUGAAAGCCAUCACUCCGUCGUAGAAACUAGGAUCUGGCGCCUGUCACUUCACUGGCCAACCCCAAUCGACAAACAGCUUACCUAGAAAGGGGAUCCAUAACCACCAACCCGACUGCAUAGGACAUACCUCACAAGGUAAUCACUGGUGGAGAUUGCGCGGUGGCCGUCCUUGACUAUGGCUCCGACAUCUUCACCAAAAGAACCUCAGAGGGACAAAAGAACUGGUGGGUAGCUCAUCUCCACUAGAAACCCUAAACUACAGAACCUGCCUAAACUAUGUAAUAUAUCUACGCGACCAGCCGCCGAUUGACUAGAGUCCCUCCACCUCCGACGCCGGCGAGGGCAUCAAAAGCGAGGUGCUGGUCAAAUCGGCGGCGGAUCGGAUUUCCACUCUAGGGUCGCCUCUGUGUAUCGUGUGAAGAGGAAAGAAGACUCGAGAGAAUGUGGACGCAUUUGGAUAGCAAAAUGGGCUAAGGCCCAAUUGGCCCACCUUCUUUUAGGCCCUGCUGCUGCUUAUUUUUCUCGUGUAGACUCCUUGCAUUGUCCAAAGUCCAUGUCUAUAUGAAAUCGAACCAAAACCGCCUAUUUAUAUCGUAUUUCUUGUCAUUUUGCAACACUGUCCAAAAUACAACAUAUGUUAAUAUCGGGUUAUUUUAGAUGCCAAGUGGUGGGUUACUUAUAAUUAGUUCGAUAAUACCGUUAAAAUAGUACUGAAAAGGUUCCAUUAAUGAGUGUCAAUAGAGGGUGAGACUAGACAUGCGAAGCCAAAACACAAGAUGAUCCAAUGCCCUAGGGAUCACACACACAAAACUCAAAUACAAACUUUUUGAUUCAAACGACCUACUUUGCAGCUUCAGAUGCUAUGAUGUAUAUUAGCCUCUAUCUUGGAAUUGAGAUUUCUUUGGGUGUCUACUGAGGCAAUACAAUACCAAGCUUCAAUAAUUUCUAUUAGUUUUGGAAGCUAGUGUCAGCGUAGCCACUGAGGUCCAAUUAGUUAGAGUUCUUCCUGAUUCUCUCUGUGGGAAGAGAAUAUCUCAGAGAAGUGAUUUUGUGCAGAAAAUGAACUAGGAGAAGCUAGUUUUUCAGUUCUCAGCCCUUUAGUUCAUUUUAUUUCAAGCCGAGAAUCACUUCUCUAUUAAAUAUCUUUGAGCAGAGUUCCUUCGGCUUGGGAGAUGCUUUGGAAACCCGCCAAAUAGACCAAAUUAAUGAGCUUUCUUCUUACUUUUUUCAAACAACAAACAUAUCAUUAGUUCUUGUAAAGCACUUGAGGAUGUUCUAUAAAGCAAUCUUCGAGGGUCACCAGGGCUUGAUUGGUACCUUCUCAUAAAAAUUAGAGCAGAGAUUUCUGGGAAUGUACAAAGCAUGCAUACAUUAUGGUUCAUAUAGCCAAAGUGUGUGGAGGAACACUCAUAUCCUGUCCUACUCUUCAAUUGUUGAGGGACAUUGAUCCCUUUAAGACUAGUAUCAUCUGACAAUGCUGAGAAACCAUUCUUAUAAUUCUAAAUAUUGAGCUAUUUUGGUCACUUGUCAAUCUAUAGCUUUAGCUUAAUCUAAUUAGCCUCUUCGAUCUAUCUUUUAUACAUCUUUAUUGUGCCCAACAUGUAAGCUACCUCUAAAUCUUUGAUUGAUAAAUUGUCUCUUGAAGAAGAGUGAAUAACUUCUUGCAUUGCAAUAUCAUUCAUGACAAUAAUAUGUCAUCCGUAUAUAAGAUUAGAACUGCAAGGAUGCUCCCACUAGCCUUCUUAUAAAUGCAAGGCUUUUCAUCAAUCUUGAUGAAACCAAACUCUUUAUAGAAAACUUUAGGAAAAUAGAUAUUUCAGCUCUGAGAUGCUUACUUCAAUCUAUAGAUAGAUUUAUGAAGUUUGCAUAUUUUAUCAGCAUUUUUCAGGCCAACAAAACCAUCAUGUUAUGCCAUGGGUACACUUCCUCACUUAUGUCUCCAUUAGGAAAGCUAUUUUGAGAUCCAUAUGACACAUAUCAUAGUCAAAAUAAACGUGACAAUUGCUAGGAGGAUCUAAAGGCUUUAGCAUUGUGCCAGUCAAAAAUGUCUCAAACAAGGUUAGUUGUACAAAUGUACGGGUACUAUCUAGACAUAUGAUGGAAACUGAAAUGGUAUAAUUCUUUUACAUACCAUGCAUACCUAAUUGGUCAGCCCAGGUUCCACCCUAAGGAUGCAUGGCAUGCUAUCCGAUUCUCAGGUUUAAAUCUCCAAGACAAGGAAGUACAUCUUGACCUCCUUAGAGUGUUCUAUCUGGUUGGGUAGGACUCAGUCAAAAAUAAGUCGCCUUGCCCAUCUGACUACACAAACUUUAUCAAUACAUGAUUAUAUUUUACAUAGGUAAAUCUUGCAUGGUUGUACAAUAUAAUCACAGAUAUAUGGUGGGGAUUUUUUUUGACUCUAUGACGUGGGAAGGUGCUAACACGGUGGUACUAUUGUAGUAGGUGGCCUACUUUGGCACUUGACCCACCAAUAUUAUUUCCUUUUUUCCAUCGCAACCCACCUACCUAUUUCUCCCUCCACUAUCAAUCCACCCACCUCCCCCUUUCAAAACCCUAAAACGUGCCCUUUUCCCUCAUCUCCACUCCCCCAUCCACCCUAGAAUUCUAGACAGCGCCGCCACAUCUCUUUGGAGGCGCCUAACCUCGUCAUGGUCUAGCGGUCAACAGUAGAGACAUCUCGAAGCGCAAAGUUUCUGGUAUGUAGUCAUUCAUGGAUUCAUAUAUAGAUCUAGAUAAAAAGUUUGAAUCAACAGAGGGAGAAUCAUCUUUGUUUGGGACUCUUGGCUUGUAUAAUUGUGGUGUGGGGAAAAAUUUACAUGCCGACGUGUGUAUAUUUAGGGUGAACAAAAUUGAAUCUAUAGAAGGAUAUUCAACCUUAGCUAGGAUCUUGCUUAUUUCCGCGGCUGGCGGCAGCAUUUCUCACAAGUGUGGUGAAGUGGGGAUUCUCUCACAUCUUGUGUCUCGUUGAUUCGGCAUUCAAAGGUUGCUACUUCUUUCUGACCACGCGGUGUGGAAACACGCAUCUGAUGCAUGGCAUUUGGCAUGAUUUUGGCUUUUUUUCGCCGCUGCCGCCAGCUAGCCAACCAUUGAAACAAAAGGGUCUAGGAAAUAUCCUGAUUUGUAUAUUUUAAUUCUAGAUUUUCUGGAACCACUUUUAUUCUUAGCAUUGUCUUGUGGGGAAAUAAUUAUUUAGAUGCCAAUUUACAUUGAUCUGUACAGCAUGGACUUCCAGAACAUCAAAUCAUUUAUUGUUGGAUAAAAGGGUUUUGGUCCAACUUUUAUAGAUAGCAAAAUAUUCCACUGGGGCACCAGCUUUACAAGAUAAGCUCAGAUGCAUACUCUUCUGAUCCAAUAUUCACAUGCUUGCAUGAAAAUAAGAUUGUGCUUUAUUUGUUUGUUGCAUUGUAGAUUCAGUUGCUCUUGACAUCCUUCCAAGGUUUAUAGGGAACUGAUGCCAUUUGAAAAUAUCUCUAUUCACACACUAGAUAGUUCAAAAACAUCAAUGGUGCACCUAAACAUUGUAUGAUCAGUUGUUUUCUUGCACUCUAAAGUUUAAGGCCAAUUUUUCUUCAACACGUGCUUGGCACAUUGAGUCCUAUCCUUAUAUACUUGCCACAAAAUACUUUAAAUUUAAUGGUAAUUUAGCUUUCCUUACUCCAAGCAUUCUACUAUCAUACUAAGAAGUGGUAGAAAAAUUCUCUAAUCUUUCCUGAACCCAGCUCAAUGUAUCCAUUUCUUCAUGUAACUCCACUGUUGGCAACAGAUCCACUAGUUCCUGCCAUUCAGUCAUCUCUAGAGGACCAAAAGAUGUUCGAGGUACUAUCGACUUUGAUAAUCACUUAUCUUUACAAUCAAUUCUAGCCCAAGAACUGUUGGUUUAGGAUAGAUUUGGUCCAAAUUUGUAGCUAUACUUUAAAAAUUCAAAUGAAUCCCUCACUGGGCCUCCCCAAAAAUUAUUGCUAGGUUGCCAGCCUUUGGUAACACUGUGGUCCUACAAGAGGGUAUUGUGGCAGUGGUCGUCAGCCUAGGUAAGGGUCGGGACUUAUAGGGUGAGCCUGGGGUUGGGUUUUCUCAGCUGGUUUGACUGAGGUUUAUUCUUAGUGUAAAUCCAUUUUGUGAUGUUCUAUUCUACACCUAUUGGGUUAUUUUCAUUAAAAUGAUGAUUAACAUGUUGCAUAUGAAAUGCAUACAAAGCAUAUGUGGUUUCUUUUUUUGGGGGGGCAUUGCGAAGCAUAAGGUUGCGAGUUUGACCAUUUCAGUCCAUUUUACUCAUAAAAUGGUCUAACUAUGUGAGUGGUGAUGGGUGGCCACCUAGUAGCCUUCUGGUGCAUAGAGUUAACUUUUGUAUUUUUCUUGAACUAAAAAUCUUUUUUAAACAAAAUAACAUGAAAGUUGGUUCAUGGCUACAAACAACUUUGAAAAUCAGUUUUUCCAUUAGCUCCCAAACCGACUAUGAUAGUGUGGGGGACUAAUGACGAUAAAAAUAGUUCUGUAUCCACAGUAGAGGUAGUUUUUGUAGUAGUGUCUCCUCCCAAUAAAAGGGAUCCUUCAGUUCUCAAGAUUUUUUAUAUAAAAAGUUUUAGUAGAAAUGCAGGUUUCAUUCAUUCUAUGCUGGGCCAACCUCCCAUUGAAAGGAGUGACACAUCUAUUGGGAAUAUUGAUGCUUGAAUUUUUUUUCUUCACACUCCAUUUCAGUAGCACCAAGUUGCCCGGUUUCACACCCCUAAAGCACACUCCCACCCCCCUAGGAGUCAAAUUCCAUGCAAAGUUUCUGUUCUGUGAUUGUGAAAUCAACCUUUAUAGUCUCUUGCAAAUUAAAGCAUAGAUCAAUAUCCACUCUAUGUUAUAACAUCUAUUCCUUGUGUGUAGGGAGGUCUGAGAUUCUGUUUGCUGCUUUGUUUGUCCCAAUGGAAAAGGGUGCAUCUAGAAGAACAAGAGCACAGGAGGAAUCAAGAUGUCCAAGUACAAAUAGUGAACCUGAUGACAGACCAGCAGAGCAGCAGUGUAAUCAUUUCUCCAUAAGGUAACAUCUUUUCUAUAUGUGCAGAUGGAUGUAUGAAAAAUUUAUAUAUCCAUUUGAAGUUGUAGUCAUGAGUUUUGUUUAACUUAUGUUUCUCUUAAUUGACAUUUUUUUCAUUUCUUGUUUGAUGUGUUUUUUCUUUAAUUUUGUUUACUCUUAAUUCGUUAUCAUCUAGAGAACUCCUAAUCUUCAGGGAUAUAUAUAUAUAUAUAUAUAUAUAUAUAUAUAUAUAUAUAUGGAUGCAUAUCUAUUUCAGUUAGGUGUAUCUGCUUAUUUUCCUCCUAUAUUUCUAGAGACAUAACAAUGAGAUUGUUUGUUAUGGUGGUGUGCUUUGCUUUCCCUUAGGGGUCGGAAGGCCCGGUUCAAAGAGGAAUUUUCUUUGAUCCUUUAAAGGGCAAAGCCCUCUUUGAAAGUAGAUUUAGAAUUUUGGUUUUGUAAGUUUCAUUAAAGUCUGUUUUGCCUUUGUCUUUUUCGCCUAGGGCCUUGUAACUUGUACAUAUAUAUAUCUUAAAAUUUCUAAAAAUUCAGUAGGGGUCUCCUUGCUGAAAAAAAAAACACCAUAUAUCCGUUCACGUAUUGGAAGAAACAUAUAUUCCUUAUGCAUUUCUCAUAUCUAUAGUAUUGCCUAAAAUUUAGCUACCAUUUUCCUAUACAUAUAAGAAGGUGGUUAACUGGAACAGUUUUUUCUCUCCAUGUUUAUAUGAUUUUCUUUUUCUUUAAUACUUCCAUUCUGAUAAUACCUAUUUCCAUUUUUUUUGCAAACUAGUUGCCACAUUUUGUUUCUUAAAACAACUCCUUCAUUAGUCUAAUCCGUUAUUGUUAAUAUGUCACAUUUUGCCCAGUUAAUAUUCUCCUACUGCUUCGCUCAUAAUUUUGCUCUUCACAAAAGGCUGUCUUUUCAUUUUCACGAUAAAACUAGUGUUUCGGUCUUAGUUCGCAAACUCUCUCUCUCUCUCUGUGUGUGUAUGCGCUCGCGCACGUGAGUGCGUGCAUGUGUGUGUGUGUGUGUGUGAAGAAUCUGCAUAGUUCUCAGCGCUUUUAUCUCUGAAAUAAUAUCUCUAUGUAUUAGUAUUGCACCUUAAUUAGUAUACACCUAGAAUUGUGUGCUUAUUUGAAAACGGUUUGAUAUAGUCUUGAUUUUGUAGCCUUCAAUCGCUGUCUUUUCAUGUGAGUAUAACGUGCGUAGCUACUCAUGAUUUUGAAGCCCUUCAAUAUCUUCUCAUUAUUGGUGCAAACAUUAUUUUCUUGUCUCAUGGAUCAUUUCUGCUCCUUACAGAAGUUCUAUCGCUUUGCUUCAGCAAAAGGAUCCAAAGUUGUCUCAGAUAUUUUAUGGCCAGAAGCACGAUGAAGAAAAAUGCAAAUAUCUGUGUCCAAUUUCAGGGGGGCAGUUUCGACGAUGGAACUGCCCAAAUUGUUUGAAGAAAGUUCAAAAUGCAGAUCAUGGAACAAAAUCCAGAACUAUUUCUGUGAAUCAGGAUGGUUGCUCCAUUUCAUUUAUUCGGUCAUUUAUGACUAGUAGUGCUGGUCGAUCAACUCCUUCGAAGUGUUCUCAAGAAAGCGAUUUAAAAUGCAUCUCACCUUCUUCCAGCAACAAAGGAGUUAUUGAGGAAAAUGUUUAUCCCGCCAUGAAAGGUAUUGUGAACUUGCUGGAUUAGAAGAAGAUGCAUAGCUGCUUUAGCCAUAAGUUGUUGUGUGUUUUCUACAUUUUCUAUGUUCAUAACUUUUAUUUGUGUACAAUAACCUAAUCAUUUGAUAUUUUGAUGUUAAUUAUAUCUCCAGAUUUACAGGCCUCAUCUAGUAAUCAUGAUGUGAAUAGUGAAUGCAAUGUGUCAGGUGUCCCUAAACCAAUAAACGUUCACAGUGGCAAUCAAGUCUACAACAGGGUUCGACAUGAAGCAUCUUCAAAAAGAAAUGAUAUUUCACAUCUCAAGGUUUAUUAGAGAAGGUCAGGAAAGAAGAGGCUAUUAUCAGAGAUUACAGAGAGUGACCACGUAGAGUGUCCUGCCGAUAAAGAUGUGCAUCAAGAUUUUGCAUCCUCAUUUGGGAAUUUGAACCAGAAAAAACUGUUGUCGACUAAUAGUGCCAACCAUGCUGACGAAAACAUGCAGAAUAGUAACCUGGAGGAAAAUAUGAAGGAUGAUGAUCAGUACAACAAUGUUACUGAGAACUCCAAACAGAUGUUCUUGUCGAAGGGUGAAUCAACUAUUUUCAUAAAGAGAAAAUUACAGCCAAGUGCCAGUGCCCAGAAUGGUGAUGAGACCACUGAGAGCUCUCCUCCCACAUCACAUAUGGAGAGCUCAUUAUUACAGGUUCAGACUGCAUCCGUCACAGGUGCUGUCGACGAUGUGCACCCGACGACAUUACAUAUUCCUGACCUUCUGAAGUGUCUCCAGGAAGAACAAUCACAUUCACACAUGGAACAAGAAGUGACAAUUGCAUGUGGCUCAUCCACAUUUUCACAUCCUCAGAACAUUGCUGAAGUGUCCCGGAUAAGUUUUCCGACGGAACCAACCAUGGGAGCUAAUGACUUGUGCGAUGGAGGAAUGGCUCGACAGUCAGGCUUGUAUCCAGGGGAAACCAUGCCUGCGAUGCAUCUUCCAAGACUGAUGGAUUCAUCAAGUGCAUUAGGGUUUCUAAACUAUGAAGUACCUAAUACAAACUGGAUGGGUUCCCAGUAUGCACAUAGCCAGUACCAAACAUCACUCAGCGCAUCAUACGGAAGUCAUCUAAUUGAAGAGGUUCCAUUGACACUGGAAGACUUAUCACGGCAUAAUGUCCAGCAGGAUUUGUGUAGACCUUUCCGACCUCAUCCUAGAGUUGGUGUGUUUGGUUCCUUGCUGCAGCAGGAUAUUGCAAACUUGUCUAAGAACUGUGUGUGUGGGAAACAAUCUGCUGGCUAUAGACUUGGAGUGGCCAAAGGGACAGCAUCAUUUGACUGGAACAGAAAAGAAGAUUAUGAUGUCAGUCAGAAAAUGGAUCAAUCAUCGGACAGGUUUGGCAAGAAGACAGAUAUGUGUGAAUGAUUUUACUACAAUUAGUGACAGGAAAAAGAAUAUCUGAGGCAGACUGCUGCGUAAUUAUAGUACAUUUAGAUUCAUAAAUUUCACCAUGCUAGCAGCAAGGAAUGAACACUAUAAGAGGGCAGAUUUGCUGAAUCUUUUGCGAGGUAUAUAUAUUUUUUUCUUGUAACAGAAUCACUCAGACGAAAAGGAAUAUUUACUUACUUUUUGUAACAUGGUGCAUGCAGGAUCUUUGUAGCAUAAUCGAUGGGCUGUUAGCGGAAAAUGGAGGAAUCAAGGUCACUAUGGGCAAGAAGUGUAGUCUCCACUUUAUGUUUGUGAUGUAAUAGGUGACCUCCAGAAGCUUUUGGACACCCCUCCAUAAAGUUUUGUUUAUACAAGAGAAACAUUUAAGCCAGUGACCACAGGAUGGUUUUUGCCCGUUUUGUAGCGACUAUAAAGGUUGCACAAUUGAUGUUGUCUCUGUGUUUUGACAAUGUGAUAGGUUGGCAAACUAGUUUUGGUUGUGGCAUGUUGUAAAACAUCAGAUUCCUAUGCUCUAGUGAUAAAUAUAUGCUUCUUAUUUAGUUGUUUUUGUACGAUUUAAUCUAGGUGUAUCCAAAGAGCCAGAUAUUUCUUCUUUUUGUGUCAGACGUUGUGGGAAUGUCUAUUAAGCUCAUGGAGUUUUGCAACAUGAGGUUGCAACCUGUCAUCCGAAAUUAUAUGUACCAUACGAUGAUAAAUGAAUAGCAUGGGGUCACACAUGAAUAGACCAGGCGCACGGGCAUAAACACAUGUAUGCAUAUGUGUGUUGCACACAUAAAUACAUACUCCCUCCAUACUGGUAAAGAAAGUCGUUUAGGACAGCAUUUAGCAUACCAAGAAGUGAUUAAUAAAGGUAGAGUUUUCCCUGUCUACCCCUAUUUAAUGCAGUUGCAGGUGUAUCCUAGACAACAAACGCACACAGCUUUGAUUGGUUAGGGCAGCGAGUCGGCGCCGGUUUGGAUGCAUGGCGCGCGCUGCUAUUUAAGUUGCGCCCGUGCAACUCGCCUGGACAGGAACGAGCGAGUUCAUUUGCUAGCUUAGAGUCACACAGCAUGGCCACUUCAUUUGGUAGCUUUGAUCUAAACGUGCCGGUACUGGAAGACGAAGACGGUAAUGGUGGGUUCGACCUCAACGAGCUUCCGUUGGAAACCGGCAACGGUAAUGUCUCAUAGAUUCCUGUUUCACAUAGCCAGUUCAUUUCUUACUAGUUCAAUGCUUCUUUUUGGAUAGGAUUUGAUUUGGACUUGCCAUUGGACGAAUAUAGUGCAGUUGAUUUUGAUUUUGUACAAAACCUCGCUGGUAAGAUAAACCUUGCUUGCUUUUUUAAUUACGCUAGUGUUUUUUUUUGAAUAGUACACACAUCUUCUAUCGUUGGAUCGAGUGUGUUUGUUUUUUUUUUACAACUAGAACAUGCUGUUGAGGCUCCUAGAUUAAAUCAUACAAAAACAACUAAAUGCUGUUGAGGCACACUCGCUAGCAGUGGCGGAGCUGGGAGUCAAUCCAUAGGGGGCCGAUUGCUACAGUAUAUCAUGCCUAUUGCCUAGUAUUAGCGCCUGCUCUAAAUAAAAGUUAUAAAAACUAGGAAAUGGAUGAUUUUUAGGGAAGCAGCUCUUGAGGUUUAGACUUUAGAAGCAAGAAAAAAAGAUAAAAGAAGCAAAAUCUGAAUUACAGUAGGUAAGCAGAUAAAACUGAUGAUUAACUAACUGAUACUAAUAUGGACUAGCGCUGGUAGUAAUAAUAUCCAAACUAGCAAAUGAACUAUUUGAUGAAAGUCAAAAUGCAUAGGAGAAUAUACAUGCAUGCAGCCAUGCACAUAUGCACGAGUAGUGCGCACGCAAUAAAUAUAGGCUUCCAUCCUUCCUGCAUGAUCUGCUGCAGAUGCAUAUGUCAAACAUAAAUUGUUGGUCCGUAGAGGGGCGGGGGGAGCUCACUGUGGCCCUAAAGAGGCUCCGCCGGUGCCUACUAGUGAGACGGCGAGCUAGGCGACAGCCUUCAACGUCGUUGUCAUCAUGGGUAGUGCCGCAGCGAACACAGAGCGCAGGUUGGGACUCCGGCAGCAAGGAUUGCUGCUCAAGGCCGUCCUCCGUCGUUGUCUCCAUGGCGCCAGCAGCAAGGAUCUUGGAGUCCUGCUCGAGGCUGUCCACCGUCGCUAUCUCCAUGGAGUCCGGCGCCAACUCCUCCGACGUCACAGAGUCCGCCGCCGCAUCCAUGGGCGCGCGAGGAAGCGGCGAGGCGAGGAAGGGGCGAGUGCGAGGAAGCGGCGAAGAGACGCGAGCGGACGACGAUUAAGAUGGCGCGGCGCGGAUGAGAAACGAGGAAGCGCGGAGCGGUGCGGAUGGGAAACGAGGCACGGAGCGGCCGUGUAAAUGAGCGGAGCGGUGCGGACGGCAAUCGAGGCAGGCGCACUUCCGAACGACGAUUCCUCCAGAAUGACUUCCUUUUCAGAUACGGAGGAGUACGUACAUUAAUUCAUACGCACACAUGAUACAUAUGUGUGUUGCAUGAGAAGUUGAUGAUGAUGCUUGGAGGGACCAGUAGGAGCUCAUGCUUCUGCGUUGAACAAGCAAGCAUGGUAAAGAAUCAUGUUCAAUUGAACAGAUCCAGAACCAAAUAGCAUAAAAUGGCGCAACACUGAUUAGAUGAAACUAGAUGACUAAUUCAUGCGGCGGAUUCUACUAAUUGAGAAGGUGAUCCCCCCAUAUGUAUUAGUGGAAGUUCCCCAGCAUAUUUUGCCAACCUUGAGCACAAAAGUAAAAGCAAUGGCAGGGGAACUGGGGAAUGCUCCCCUGACAUUUGCUCCCAACAGCGUUUAGACUCUGUCCGACAUUCAGGGAAGACACCUGAGCUUGAUAAAGAAACUGAGGUUCUGCUCCACCAAUGGAAGGUUGCCGUCAUGCGAGCAGAGUAUCAAACCCCACAUCAGACUCUGAAACCGGCAAGGAACUUUGCGGAUGCUGCUAUCGGCGGAGACGCUUGGCCCCCUGGGCAUAUCAGUUUUAUCAAACAGGGCUCGGUAGCUGAAAUUCUAAACAAGCAUCACAUAGAAAUCUUCAUUUUCAGGAUCCACACCAUCUGAAAAAAACAUUGUUUUGUUUGCUGCACAAUCUCUGUUUUUUUGGGACAAAAGUUGGGCUGUCCAUAAAUAGGGGAUACACAGUUAAGGCAGGUCACAAGCCACAAUCUGCAACCAUUUGGUCAACGGUUUUUGUAUACAUCGUCUAACUCUGCACGCAAGUAACUAAACACUUGGAGACCCACGUAUACGGAUUCAACAGCGAACUAAUUCAUCAUCCAAAUCAUAAAUAACCGGGCAAAUCACGCAACACCCUGGCCUUGAGAAUUCAUCAGAUCCAAGCGUAUUCCUCUCUCCAAUUUGUCUCGAGUUAAUAUCAGCAACACCCUGGCCUUGAGAUUUCAUAGCCUCCCUCUCUACCAUACAAGCACACACCUCGCCGUCCGCCAUGAGCAGUAAUGGUUCUCACAGCGCUGGCUCUUCGUCCUCCAUGUCUUCCAGAGCAUCCUUCCUCCUCUCCGGGACAAGAACCGCUCGGCAUGGUUUUUCAGCUGCCCGUACAGGAAGUUCGCGUGGUUCCAGCAUCCGUCCAAGUUAUAUCCCAUCUCGGCAUUCCUUCUCCACCAGUUACAAUCAUGGCAGAACAUGUUUUUUUUUUUGCUACGGUCUUUUUCUUUUCCUUUUGGUCGCGUGAACUUCGGUUCAUCGUUAUUUCUCUUGUGAUCACUUUGCUUCUCCGAAAAAAAACGUGCUCAGGCACGGUCGCAAACGAUCAUGGCAGAAGAGGUCAGCAGGCUGCUGCGGUAGCAUCGUCGUCAACCUCUCAUUGGUCCGGCGAAGCCGUGCAGCGAAAUGACAGCAUCGUGGCAAGGGCGCCUGAUGGCCACUUCCGUUCGACUCCCCAUCACCAACUGCCACAAGCGACGAACAACGCAUUACCAAACCAAGGUAUGACCUGCUGCUAAUGAAACCUAGCGGCGACUUCUUCUUCCUUUUUGCAAUUCUACGGCAUGUUUCAAGAUGGAGCUUUUAGCCAAUCACAGCAAAAUGUCCCAACCGUUUAAUUUCCUAUAUAUAUAGGACUAGCAUGUCCUCACUCCUCACGCGAUGUAGACAAAAAUUAAAACAAAUUACUCAGAAGUUAGAUGAAAACUAGCUCAACUUUGUAUUGUAUGCCCCAACUCCUACCAAAAUUGUUUUGCAGGCUAUCAUCAUCCCGACCAAGUUUUACGGCGGCAACCUGCAGAUAAUGGCGGCCAUUUUGAUCAGGGCAGUAGGGCAAACAUAAGGGGUGGUGUAUCCCGGCGGCGGCGUCCUUUUAUGUGUUUCUGUUGCUAGGUGAGGUGUUGAUGAUCCACGUCACCAUUCCAUUGGCUUGUACGUGUUGUGCCCGUGCCAAGAUUUGUGUGCGUGCGUGUUCUCUUUCUGAAAUUUCCCAUCGAGGCUAUGCUCUUUCCCCCUUCAACUGAGCUGCAGUGUGUCCUUGUAUGGAGCUGCAUUAGGUUUUAUUCUGGAGUGGUUGUUAUGGAAAAUAAAUACAUGAUCAACUUGCAAGCAGCUUCUUUCAUCGCCUCAGAGUAUUAAGAUGUUCCAGCAAAAUACUCUGAAUACAUCUUAAUCUAUUAUUAUCUUAAUAUAAUAGUGUUAAAAAAUCACCACGUUCGCCAAGAGUAGCUAGAAAUUAUCACGAUAAUCAAAAAAUAAAAAAAUAUACCGUUGGAUUUAUGAAGAUCCAACGGUCUAAACUUUCCUAAAGAGUUCAUAUUAAAUACAUCCAAUAAAUACAUAAUUUUAGAAUCAAACAAAUAAGUAGAAAACUAGGCAGCCUCUUAAGUGCCAUCUACCGUGAGCUCAGCCAUGAGCUCGAUGAUAAGUGAGCCACACACGCACACACGUGCGCACGCACAAAGUUUGUUGAAUACGAUUGAUAUAUACUUUAAUAUAAAAGUAAAGUAAUAAAAAAUUCGACUUUAUGAUAAUCUAAUGGUUUAGGUUAAUCAAAAAGAUUUGAUGACAUUAUUAAUAUAUACUUUAACUUAAUAUUAAAUCAAUAAAAAAAUUGUACUACUCUAGAUAAAUUUGGGGUGAAAUAAAAUAUCCAUGCAAAUAACAAAUAAAUAAAUAAGUAAUUAUAAGGAAAUAACGAAAAAUGGUAUUUCAGUUUCCAAUGAUAAUUAGAAGCAAACUAUUUAAAUAAAGAGCAAGGUACCUAAAUUUUUCGUCCUACCGACACUACUGGUAUACCUUUAUUUGCUAUUUUUUUUAGAAACACAGAUUGCGGAAGCUUACAAAUACGUACGCCCACUCAUCCCCAUGAAUACACAUAUGCAAUCCUAUCCCUAUAAGCACCUCCAAGAGACUGAGCCGACUAAUCCUAGGCGCCUCGCUGUCGAUGGGCAUAUCGCCUACCACUGAAAGAAUAGCGCCGGUUAAAUCCUGGAAUAAUCCAGGAAAAUACGAGCAUCGGUGUUGAGUCUAGGUCUCGAACCCGGAUGGACAGGUUCCAUCAUAAGGAACCUUACCAGCUGAGUUGCGCUCAGUUCGCUCCUUUGCUGCUUUUAUAAUAACUAGAUAUCCAUUGUCUUGAUUACGUAUGUGUAUGACUUGCUUGAGCAGUUGUCUGGCACUGUAGAGUGCAUCAACUAUGUCAUGGCAAUUGCCCCAUUCUGACCUUUAGUUUUACUAAUUAAUAUUAGGUUGAAAAACUGUAGAAAGAUAAUACAUGCUUCUGCUUCAAGUUAAGCUAUGAACAAAUAAACAAAUAUUAAAUAUUAGAAAUCAAUCCUCAUGGAUGCGUAGCUCCGUAGUGGCUACCAUGGCGUUCAUUGAGCCUUGACAUGCCCUUCAUCACAUUAUCAACAUCUCAAACACCAAUGCCAUUUAAGAAUCCACAAGUGACCCUUAAGAUUGUUAGGGUAUGUUUGCUGGGUCUUCUUCAAUGAAUUCUCCAAUAACUUUUGGUGAAGUUCUACUAAAUAAGUAAAAAUAAAAUGGCUUCACGCAAUAAUCUGACUAAAGCCCCAUAACAUCUUACAAUAGAGAGGAGGAGCCGGAAAAGUGGCUUCACCGGCUUCUUCUUCCUUCUUAAGCUCCAAAGUAUUUUUAAAAUUACUAGAUUAUUGUUAAGAAAGCUAUUUUAAUUUGCUAAAUAUUUUUUAAAACGGCUUCAGCUCAAAAAUAACAUUGAUUUCACUAUUAAAGUCAAGGUUAAAGUCAUUUUAGAAGGAGCCAAAUCGUACAAAAUAGACCAUUACUAUGCAAUUUAGGGAGCGUGACAACAUUAGAAAAUAAUUUCAUUGGAAUGACCGUGGAGAUGUAUAAUGUAGUAGCAAUAGGUUACAUGGAACAACUAAGAUAAAAAAGAAAGAAGAGGAAAAAAAUCAACAUGGAUCGGAUUCUGAGAUAUAAAUAACACCUUAGUUGGGACUGUCUGAAAAAACAAUUACAAUAACACCACCUGAAAAAAUUUAAAGAUUGGAAAAAGAACUAGCUAUCCGCGCAAUUUGCGCGACACCUUGCUAGUAUUAUGUGUUCAGAAGUGAAACACCGUUUGCAUGAUGUAAGCAUCACUGAACCUGGCCUUUAUAAUAAUCUUAACAGCAAACUUUGACAUUUCUGCCAUCGACUAUAUAUUAUGUUGUUCCAUAACUAAGAAUCAAAUUACUAUAUAUGGAUUGUGGAAUAAUUCUAUAUAUCCUCUGAAAAAUUAAUCUAAAUCACGUACCAUCAGGCAUCAGAUCUUAACCGUUUCAUAACCCAUCAAACUUUGAACGCCAUCCCUGACCUGCCUUUCAGAUGACCAGAUUUGAUAAUUAAAUAUCUAUGAAUAUUUUAUUCCCACCAGACAUCUCAGACAAACACAAAGAAAUAGGUGGAUGAUCUUGACGUGGAAUCUGAAGCUGCUAUGCGGUGCGGUUAGAGAGAGAUGGCAAAGUUCGUCGAGAAAAGAAGAAAUAAGAAUUAGGACCUUGAAAUAGGAUCGAGAUAUACAUUUUUGAUCCUAUGUCGAAUGCAUCUAGAUCAGGGCUGUUGCCCCUGGAACAUUAGAACACUACCAGAUGAUGCACCUAACUAGUAACUCCGAUCCGUAUAUAAGAAUAGUGGUAGUUCAUGGUUCAUGCUUAUGCUUUCGUUUUCCCCCUAACCGCCACAGUAUUCUUAUUUUUUUCUUAAUAAAGGGGUAAAAGGAAAAUCACGAAAGGGACCCUGACCUUCUAGCUAACAGAUGGUGGGGCUGCAAAAAGGGGAAUAUCAUAUAUAAUGGUCGCAUUUCGUUUUGAUUUCAUCCAAAUUUAUUUAUUAGAGUUUUUUAUUGUACACAAGACUAAGUUGAGAUUUUUUAGAGGGAAAGGUGUAGUUAGCCCUUGUUGAUGAAAAGAAGUCAUUGUUGGAGAACACAAGUACCAAACCAGUGGGCUCAACAUUGGCUGCGGUUCCACCCUACCACACACAACGCAAGCGCACACACAUCGGCAGCUACCAUGGGCAGGCGUUCUGCCUCAUCAUCUUCCUGCGGGUCGUCGUCUACCACCUCAUCAUACUGCCCCUCAUCGUUGGCGACGCAAUUGACCAUCAUCACCCUAGGGACGCGCCUGACGACGACGACCUUCGCCGCCGGAGCACAGCGAACAGCUCCUCCGACGACCGGCGUCGGAAGCAAGGUGGUGCCGGAAGCGACGAGAUCGCUCCAGUGCAUGCAGUCCAACUCCAACUCCAACCCCAGCACCAGUAGCAGACACUGCCCCCAGCUGCUAUGAUGAUGAGGAACACAUUACCAAAGCAAGGUAAGAACUGGUCAACUUCUUCUCUGUUUUUUGAUUCUUGCAGUAUAGAUAUAUAGUAGCAUCUUUAUUAUUUGUAAAUCCACCCGUUUUGUUCAGGACAUCACGCCAGAUACGAUAACAAUGGCAACGACGCCUACGUACAAAAAUGAGAGGUCGUGCAUCCCGGCGGUGCAGGCGGCGUCCUUUCAAUGUGUUCGGGUUGCUACGCGAGGUGAGUGUUGACCUGACCUUUCCAUUGCGCAUUGGUGUGGCUUGUGCGUGUGCCUGUGUUUGUAUUCUCCGAUCCUUGUGGUAUUUCCCAUGCAUUGAGGCUGUUCUUUUUCUCCUUGAGCUGAGAGGUGGAGGCCCUCAUGUGAACCCUGAGAAAUGGGCGCUCGGUUUUUUUUUUCUGGAAUAAUAACAGUGGUUGUUAUGGAAAAUGAACACAUGGCAGUUUGAUUUGCUGUAAGUUUUAUCCUGCAUAAUUACAAAGCAGUUAGUGUGUACGUAGCUUGUUUUCAUUGAUUUUCAAAGUACGACGCAUAUAUACUGUAUGUGUUCCAGAGUCCCAGACAAUCACUCUGGAACGGAAAACAGGAGCUUGCUUUACAGUAAAACGACACAGGGAAAGUACUGUCAACGCUUUUCGCUCGCUUCCCUGUCCGGAUAAACUAAAUACUGUCUGAUCUGUAUUAUAAGUGAUCUGUUUCUAAUAAAAGAUGGAUUCAGAAACGAAAUGCAUUUGCAUGACAUCGACGCCAUUGAGACAAAAGGAGAGCAGUAUGUACCUAGCUAGUACGUUGCUGCAGGCUUUGGUCCACGGUGUAAAUUGUAUUUGUAUAGGUAAGUGUGUGUUAUCACUCCGUUAAGGUGCUCCGUUGCAGGGGCGGACCCACAAUGGGGGCAAGGUGGGCCAUCGCCCCACCUCAAUUUUUGAAACAUAUAGAGUACACUGCAAAAUUAGGAAAAAAUUAAACACUAGGUGGGGCGAAACAGGCUCUGGUGCUAAAUGGUCCAGCAGAUCACCCAUCCAACCGGCCCACUUGUAUCCCGCCCACCCUCCGGCCCACCAUCCGGCCCACCGGCGCGCUUCCUCACCCCCAGCCAGCCCGCCCCCGCGCGUGCGGUUGGCCCCCGCCCCCAACCUCCGCGCCCCCACCCCCGCGCCGCCAGGGCGCCAGGUCCCCCCCGCUCCGCCGCCGGCCGCUCCCCGCCGCCCCUCGCCCCGCCGCCGAGCGCCGGCCGACGCAGAGCGCCCCCGCCCCCCCCCCCCCCCCGCGCCCGAGCGCCGCCUCCUACCCGCAGGGCCCGCGCCCGCACGCCGCAGAGGCCCCCCGCCCCCCCCCCGAGCACCGCCCGCGGCAGAGCCUCCCCCUGGCGUCGAGCGCCGCCCGCAGCCGAGGCCAACGGCCGCCGCAGCCCCCCUCCACCCCGAGCGCCGCCGCCAGCAGAGCCCCCUCCCCUCCCUCGCCUCGCCGUCGAGUUCCGCCCGCCCACAGGCCCCCCAGCGCUGCCCGCCCCCGCAGGAGGCCCCCCGCCGAGCGCCGCCGCCAGCAGAGCCCCCCCUCCCCCCGCCGUCGAGCGCCACCCGCCCGCAGCCCCCCCCCACCCCAGCGCCGCCCGCCCCGCAGGAGGCCCCCCGCCGAGCGCCGCCGCCAGCAGAGCCUCCCCUCCCCCACCGUCGAGCGCCGCCCGCCCGUAGGCCCCCCCCCAGCGCCGCCCGCCCCGCAGGAGGCCCCCCACCCCCGGCGCGAGCCGCCCGCCCGCAGGCCCACAGCCCCCCCCUCCCGCGAGCUGGCGGUGAGGCCGCCCCACUGCAAAGGCCCCAAGCGCCACCCCCCCACACACACACAAAAAAAAAAACCCACACACACAAACAAAGUUCUCACGGGAGAGUGCUGAAUCUCCCCAAUUCAGCAGCAGCUUGCCGUCCGUCGAUCCCAAUCCGCGAUCGAGGUCAGAUUAUUUCCUCGCAGCCUCACGUCUUACUGUCUUCUUCGCCCCACCUAAUAUCUCGUCCUGCGUCCGCCACUGCUCCGUUGCAUGUUAAUGUAUGUCGACCAACUACUAUCUACGUUGGAGCUCCAAGCAAGUGCAAUGGACACUGGUAAACCCUACGACCUACAUACUCGAGAAAUUUGAGAGAUCCGGGCCCGAUAAAAUGAAAAGAACAAAAAUAGAUCUUUUUACACAAAUCAAGCAAUAGGAAUAUAAUGGCCAAUCAUACAAAGUAAAUUUGAGGAAAUUUGUGUUUAUAUUUAGAUUUUACCGAUAGAUCGUACAGAUCACGGGUAAAUUUGAAGAAUUAAACACAUUUCUUCCAACGUAUCUUAUAUCCCUCCCUAGUCCCUAUACCAGUCGUUCUUUUUUCUGAAAAAUUCCCAUCUCUUGGGGCACCGAACCUCGUGCAGGCACAGCAGCACAACUACGUACUCGCCCAUGUGCAGCGGCACAGAAGCGCCAGGAUGCGUGCCCGGUUCACACGCUAUCCUAAGCCAACAGGUAUAGGGACCGAACCUCGUGAUGUAGAUGUUUUUGAGAGGGUCCCUGCCCGCCCUUAUAUACACAGGCGGACAGGGUUACAAGAAUCCUAAGCCGAUACUAACUCCCGAGUCGUACCCAAAUACGACUCGAGUAGUUUCCUUUCGUACCAGCUAUCUCUAGUUCUUUUUCGAGUAGAGACAUAUACAAAAUAAGAUUAAAAAGAUAUCCUAUCUCCUAGUCCAAUUAGUACUCCUCGACAUGCACAGCCCCGUAGACCCGGGUCUGACAAGCCCCCGAGCUCUUCGUAACUGAGUUCUGCAGGCACUUCGAGUACUUCCAAGACAGUCUUCGACUUCUUUCUUAAGCUCUGUUAUGAAAUUCUUCAUCGAGUACUCCUAUGGCUGCAUCGAAGCUACGAGGUGCUCAUGCCUCAAAUUUCUUUUGUAUAGAGUGCAACAACCAAUCACAUUCCCGAAGCCUAAGUCGGAUCAUAAGAUCGGACCGAGGGUUAAAUUAGCCUUGAGUCUUCUUUUCUUAUCCUUCGGGUACCUUCGAAAAAAUAAGUAGUCGAUGCCACGUGUCUCACAGCCCCCGAGCCUUGAAUCCAAAUUACCAAAAUUUGGGAAAAAGGAUCCCCAAAGGUCGUGGCUCUUUUACCGGAAAAAAAUAACAGAUAAAGAAUCUUUAGAAAACUUUUUGUAUUCCGAAUAUUCCCUUUGCGCGACGCUCCCCCUUCUGCACAGUAAACCCCCAUCCAAAGGCUGGUUAUUUAACCCCGCCAUUGGUUAGGGUUUAACCACGCUUCCAAGCCGCAAGCCGCCGUCAAAAGAAAACCCCAAUCCAAAAGCCUCCAGCCUCCGAGCGCUCCGCCAAUCUCUCCCACAAACACCGCAAAACCCGAAAUUUCCAGCCCCCGAGCGCAUCACUCGCGACCCGUGGCCUGAGAAAUCCAGAAAUGGCGCCGAAAAAAUCCAGCCAGAAAGACUUGAAGGAAGCGUAGGCGGCAACCGGCGAGUGGGGCAUCAGUAAGUGUUCCCGCAACACUCUCACCCAUUUAGUUGUAGGUGGUCUUCUUCAAGAGAAAGAUCUUGUGAAUUGGCGUCUUCCUUUUCGCGACCCUUUCCCCAUGGAAAGUGUCGACGAAAUUGUCAUGUUUUGUUCUUUUGCCGAACGGGGAUUGGCCCUCCCCACUUGUUCCUUCUUCCGUGGCCUUCUUUAUUACUAUGGAAUCCAGCUUCAACACCUUAACCCUAAUUCCAUAUGUCACAUUUUCAUUUUUAUCCAUCUCUGUGAAGCAUUCCUCGGAAUCGAACCCCAUUGGGCUGUUUUCCGCUAUCUCUUCCGCAUGAAACCCCAGCCCACCUCAAAAAAUCCGUCCUUGAUUGGAGGUGCCGACAUCCAACUUAGGCAACAUGCGAGCGAAAAAUAUAUAUCUUACAAAUUCCCUUCCAAUGUUCCCAGAUGGAAACAGCAAUGGUUCUACAUUGCGAACCAUGCCCCUCAACUCCCUGCUCGCUCAAGCCGAACUCCCGUUCCCCGCACCGAGUGGACCCUAGAGCCUGUUGAGGCGGAGAUGGAUCAAGUGCGGGAACUUCUCGAGUUGAUUUCAGCGCACAAGGAGGCAGGGGUUACCGGGGCGUCCGUGAUGUUUUCAUUUUUCAAGCGUCGGAUCCAACCUCUGCAACAACGCCAUACACCUGGAUUUGAGUAUUCGGGUAACGAAGACCCAUCUCGUAUGUGCGCAGAAGAGGUCGAAGAUGACGCGGCGCUCAUCCGCGUCAGGCGCAUUUUGUUGGACGUGGAGUCCGUCCCCUACAUGCCAACCCUCUUCUCAGCCUGAAAUCCGCCACCACCGGUAAGCAGUCGAUUCCUCGAGUUCAUGUACCCUUCAUUUACCAGAAUUAACUGACCAAGUCUUUGCAGGAGCGAACGGCACUGUACCGUAACUACCCGCCCCAACCAGACUUGCCACGGCCAUACCAUUUGAUGCCCAGUGCUGCAGUGUCGGCAGCAAGGGCGAAGACGGCUGGCGAUGAAUCAACAGAGAGUAAUCGACUAGCCGGGGAGCGGGCGCCAAGGGACAACUCCUUCGGAUCUUCCGUGGAGCCCUCCGACGACACGCCUCUUAUCCCGCGGCGACGCCGAGAAAUGCGGAAGCGCAAGGCCUGCAGCAUGGAUCCCGCAGGGUAAGCAUCUGUUUAGCUAUAAAAGUUGUCGAGUUGUUCUGAUGAUUACUGAUGAUAAAUCUAUCUUGCAGUCCUUCAUCAGCUCCACCCAGCCCCCAGCGGCAGAAGGUAGUCGAGACACACUUGACUAUGGGUGAAACCUCAGCAGCUGAGUCGUCAAGGGUUGUCCGGGCAGACCCGUCACCAGCUCCCGCAGGCGAUGUCACCAUCGCUGUGGCUGGCACAAUUCCUGGGCCCAGCGUACCCACAGGCGAGAUAACCCCGCCGCCAGUGACGAGCUCGAUGGCCAUCGUCGCCGCGAGCACCACGCCUCGCUUACUGGCGCCCACAAGUGACACACCUUCCCCGCCAGCCGGAACUACCCCAAUCAGGAAACGACCACGGCUGGCAUUAAGGGAACCAACGAUAAUCCGAUCCCAAGUGUAAGUAAAUCGCCAUCCUUUGAUUGUGACUGAUCAUGAAGCUUAACCUAACGGUGUUGUGAAUUGUCUGGAAUAGGCCGGCGGCGGCAGUGGUGCUGGACGACCCAGGGCUCGAGUUGGCUCCACCAGCCCCCGAGCCCGUGCCUGAGUUAACCCACGCACCAGAGCCCGCCGAGGUACCCGAUGCAGUGUUACCAAGCUCACCGCCACCCGAACCCCAGCAUGUAGAACUCGGAGCCGGUGGCGCGGAGCAUGGCGAGACUGCCAUCGACUUACCCGGCGACGAUGCAGGUAACACACAUCAGAGCCAUUGCCAAAUUCGUCCCUUGCGUCAACAUUUGUCUACAUGUAACAGCUGCCUGAAGCGUCCCCCCCCCCCCGUCAGGGGAGACAAAAAGUGGUACUUUAUCAGUCCCAGGAGGCUGAUAACACUUUUAUUACAUCAGAUGAUACAUCACCGUACAGCUCGACGCGGUAAUGGGCAGUGCAGCGCCACUAUCGCGAGGAAAAUGAUACAAACCCACACCACUACACUGGCUACGAAAAGGGUGUCAUCAGAGUCUUGAGCCAUGCGGAAUCCAACGGUGGCCCUACCACAGGCAAAGCUGGGUGCAGGACGAUACCCUACUCGACGUCCUCGGGGAAAUAGUCGGGGUCCUCUGCUGUAAAUAGUAAAAGAGGGGUGAGUACAAACGUACUCAGCAAGUCCAAUCACACCCACGGAGGGGGAUAAAUCAGAAGUCAAUGCAUAGGAUAAUACAAGGAUAGGGCUAUGGUUUAUUUGCGGAAAAGCUCAUUUUCAUGCAGGUGUUUGUUUUAAACAUUUUCAAAAUAAAUGUGUGUUUAAGUAUCGAGAAGCACUUGCUAAGCUUCACACAGGCUUCACGUUUGGUGUGGCUACCGGACUCCCCGUCCGUCGUAGCAUGCGGCACCACUGCCGUACACCCUCCGAACAACUCACGCCAACCCAACCAAUCCCAUGAAAAACACUAGUUAUGUGACCACACCAUAACUUACCCAAUACCGUGGGCACGGCUAUUCGAAUAGAUUUUUAACUCUGCAGAGGUGUGCAACUUUACCCACAGGUGGGGUACCGCAGCGCGGCCACCGUAGUGCCGGUGCAGGUCCCAACAAAGCCAUUACCCACCUUAGCUAGACCUAACUAGCCACCACGGAAUCCAUCAAGGGGUUAUUCAACCUGUCUCCGAGGUUUAACCGGGGCAUAAGUCACACAGAGCUUAUUCCCUUUUCCUUGAUCUCCCGUUGCUCUCAGCUCUCCUGAUGGCUAGCAGACUAACUAGUGGGGUUUAUGCUAAGCCGUUGCCCAUACAACGGUCAAGUGGUUUGCACGACAGGAAGCUAGGUGGGACGACACAUCAACUCGGUCCUUAGGGGUGACAGGACGGACAUCUCCCCUCCUUGCUCAACCACACAGGUACGAGCACUCCAGCGGCAAUUCCCACAAGAAUGCCGUCCGUCCCGUCUAACUCAUCCUUUAAAACCACUUUCAUUUCCCUCCCACACACACACACACACAUUUUUGUUCAGAAAAACGGGUGGUCAAAGGGGCGGUUAUCUCAAAAUAAUAGGUGGUUUUUACCAAACAGGGGUGGUCCCCCUAUUAGGUUUUCCGAAAUAAAACCAUGCACUUUAUAAAACAGGCCAACGGGUUGCAUUCAUAAAACUAGGGCAAAAUAUGCAUCAAAGGGCGGAAUUGAACUUGCCGUCUUCGAAUCCUUGCGGGAGGUCCUGUUCGGAGCACUGUCCUUCGGGUUCGGGGUCGCAAAACUGGUCCGCGUUCACUUGAUCGCAGUCGGGACCUUCCUCGUUCACUCCGUCUCCUAAGACGCGAACAAACAGGCACACGAUCAAGCGAACAAACUAAAAGCUUUUACCGAUAGGCUUGAAUCGGAAAUAAUUUAGUUACGGAGGUAGGGGAAAUAUUUUUGGGUGAUUUCUGUAUAGCGUGCUUAGAACUAUGCUAGAAAGGGCGUGGUAAAAUUUCAGGUCGAUCGGAGGUCGUUUCGCACAUAAAAUGACGAGGUAAAGGGAGAUCUAGGGGUCAAACAGGGAAUCCAGGGCUUAUUUGCAAGUUUCUCUAAAAAGGGAAGGGCUUAUUUGUAAAUUACAGAAGUGCUAGGGUGUAGUAGAAAGUGUGGGGGGCCUAUUUGGAAAUAAGUUUGCAUUGUGGGGGGGGACUUAGUUUGAAAGAAAAUAGUAAACAGGGGCUUUCUUGCAAAAAGGCCAAUAGAGUGGGGGGGCUAUUUAACAGUUAGGGAAGAAGGGAGGGGGCUAAGGGCAAAAUAGCCCUUUCUUCUUCCUCUAGCCGUGGGAAACAGGGGAGGGGGAGAGGAGCUCGGCGCCGGCCCAAUCCGGCGGCCCGGGGCUCGAUUGCGGCUAGGGUUUGGGGGAAAAGGGAGAGGAGGAGGAGGGGAUUCGAUCCCCGCCCUCACCUUGGGCCGGGGUGGCGCGAGGGGGCGUGCCCACGGCGGGCGGCGGCCGAAUUGCGGGCGGCGGCGGCGCUGGGAGCGUGGGGAGGCGGCGGCAGUGGCGGUGGAGGCCGUGGGGGAGAGAGAGGCGGGGUGGGGGCCUAUUUAUAGGCGGGGUGCCGCGGUGGGGAGGCCGGGGUAGGUGGGGGCCGGCGAGCGGCGCGGAGCGCCAUUAAUGGCGCUCGGCCUUGUCGUCGUGCGGUGCGCGGGCAGCGAGGCCGGGGCGAAGGGACGGCGCGGCGGGCUGUGCGGCACAGGAAGGGCGCGGGCGGCGAGGCGGGACGCGGCAGCGGCGGGCGGCGCGGCGGCCGUGCGGGCGGCGCGUGCGCGAGCGCGUCGCGGCUCGGCCGUGCGCGUGCGCGCGAGGGUCGGCGGCGCGCGCGCGUACGGCGGCGUGCGCGCGAGGGCGGGGUGGCGUGCGCGCAAGGGCAGGGGCGCCAGAGGCCGGAGCGGUGUGCGGGGGUGGCGCUCGGGAGCAGAGGAGCAGGGAGGAAGAAACAGGAAGGAGAAAGGAAAAAGGGAGGGAAGAAAAAGGAAAAAGGGAAAAGGAAAAUGGGAAAAAGGAAAAAGGGAAAAGAGAGAAAAGGAAAAAGGGGAAAGAAAUAAUGGAAAAAGGGGAGAAGUGACGCGCGCCGGCGGGAUUCGCGGCGGCGACCGCGCGGCGAAUUUCACGGCGGUGACCACGGCUGGUCGGUCACGCGCGCGCGGCGUUCGCGCGCUGCACGAGGGGGAAAAGAUGGCGUGACUGCGAUUGGAUUCGGGUGCCGGGAAAUUUAGGGUUUCAGUGGAAUGGUUCUCGAAAACGAAAAUCUUAGCGCGUGAUUUCUGGGUAAAAUUUUCAGGAUGUUACAAACCUACCCCACUUAAAAUGAAUCUCGUCCCCGAGAUUCGGCUAGCUCCUAAACAAAUGGGGAAACUCCUUCUUCAGAGCAUCUUCGCGUUCCCAUGUCGCUUCCUCCACUCCAUGCCUGCUCCACUGAACUCUGCAAAUCCGCACUUCGGAGUUCCUUGUCCUUCUGGUGACAGUGUCCAAAAUCUUGACCGGUAUUUCCUGGUAUCGCAGAUCCGGCUGCAGAUCUAUUGCUUCUACCGGCACGUGUUCCACCUCGGGUAUCCUUAAACACCUUCUUAGCUGCGAGACGUGAAACACGGGGUGUACAUCCGACAUCUCUUCUGGCAGUUUCAAGCGAUAUGCUACGGCUCCGACUUUCCUUAAGACUUGGUACGGUCCGAUGUAUCGAGGGGCUAAUUUUCCUUGCACUUGAAAUCUUCGUGUCCCUCGAAUAGGCGAGACCUUGAGAUAGACGAAAUCGCCUGGGCUGAAACUCAUUUCUCGCCUCUUCUUGUCCGCGUAGUUCUUUUGUCGGGACUGAGCCGCCUUCAAUUUCUCGCGGAUCUCCGCUACCUUUUCUUCCGCUUCUUUUAUAAAGUCGGGCCCUUCCAGGGCACGUUCUCCCACUUCCGACCACAUUAGGGGGGUUUUGCACUUUCUUCCAUAGAGAGCUUCGAACGGGGACAUGCCUAGGCUGGCUUGGUAACUGUUGUUGUACGAGAAUUCUGCAUACGGCAGACUUUGUUCCCAAUCCUUUCCGUAGGUUAGAACACAUGCUCUCAGCAUAUCUUCCAGAAUCUGAUUCACCCUUUCGGUUUGACCAUCCGUCUGCGGGUGAUACGCCGAGCUGAAGUCCAGCUUAGUACCCAUGGAUCGAUGCAAGCUUUUCCGAAACCUAGAGGUGAAUUAGGUCCCCCUAUCUGAGACAAUCCUGCUAGGCACUCCAUGUAACCUUACUAUGUUUUCUAUAUAAAGUUUUGCCAGCUUCUCUCCGCCGUAAUUAGUUCGUACUGGUAUGAAAUGAGCCGAUUUAGUGAGUCGAUCCACUACUACCCAAAUGGAAUCGUGCCCUUUUUGAAUUCUAGGUAGACCCACUACGAAGUCCAUCCCUACUUCAUCCCAUUUCCAAACCGGGAUGGGUAGGGGUUGCAAUAACCCUGCUGGCUUUUGGUGUUCAGCCUUGAUCCUUCGACAGGUAUCACAAUGAGCCACAAAUCGUGCAAUGUCCGCCUUCAUUCCGUACCACCAAUACCUUUGCCUUAUGUCCAUGUACAUUUUGGUGGAUCCUGGGUGGAUGGAGCAGGCCGAGUUAUGGGCUUCGUCCAUGAUUAUCUGCCUAAAGUCUCCAUUCCGGGGUACACAAAUCCUAUUCUCGUACCAUAAUGUGCCCUUAUCGUCCACUCUGAAGCCUGGUGCUUUGUUUUCUCCAGUCUGUCUACGGAUCUUUACCAACUCCUGGUCCGAGCUUUGAGCUCUUCUAAUUCUAUCCUCUAGGGUUGACUGGAUGUUUAGUACAUGGUUGGAACCUCGAGGAACAAUGUGCACAUUUAAUCGUGCCAUUUCCUCGCGCAGAUGGUCGUCUCUAGGUCCGUAGGAUUUCCGGCUUAAGGCAUCGGCUACUACGUUUGCUUUUCCGGGGUGAUAAUGGAUUUCCAGAUUAUAGUCCUUGACCAACUCCAACCAUCUUCUCUGCCUUAAGUUCAAAUCUGGCUGGGUAAAGAUAUACUUCAGGCUCUUGUGGUCGGUGUAAAUCUCACACUUAUUCCCAAUCAAGUAAUGUCUCCAAACCUUAAGGGCAUGCACUACGGCUGCAAACUCCAGAUCAUGGGUCGGGUAGUUCUGCUCAUGAGUCCUGAGCUGGCGGGAGGUAUAGGCAACGACUUUCCCGCCUUGCAUCAACACACACCCUAAUCCUUGCCGGGAUGCGUCACAAUAAAUGACAAAAUCCCGAUGGAUGUUGGGUAACGUUAGUACUGGGGCGGUUGUCAGCCUUUGUUUCAAUUCUUGAAAACUUUUCUCACAGGCUUCUGUCCAGGCGAACUUCUUUUCCUUCUUAAGGAGCUCCGUCAUGGGUCGGGCUAUUUUGGAAAAACCCUCAAUAAACCUCCGAUAGUACCCGGCUAACCCAAGAAAACUCCUGAUUUCACUAACAUUGGUUGGUCGCUGCCAGUUGGAAACUGCCUCGACUUUCUCUGGGUCCACGGCUAUGCCUUCCGCUGUCAGAAUAUGACCAAGAAAAGCUACUCUUUCCAGCCAGAACUCACACUUACUAAACUUGGCAUAUAACCUGUGUUUUCUCAGCUUCUCCAAUACUACCCGCAGAUGUUGCUCGUGUUCCUGCAUGCUCUUAGAGUAGAUAAGUAUGUCAUCAAUAAAGACUACGACAAACUUAUCCAGCUCGUCCAUAAAUGCUUUAUUCAUAAGGUUCAUAAAAUAGGCAGGGGCAUUGGUUAGUCCGAAGGACAUUACGGUGAAUUCAAACUGCCCGUAACGGGUAACAAAGGCUGUCUUAGGGAUGUCACUUUCUCUAAUCUUAAGCUGAAAAUAUCCUGACCUUAGAUCGAUCUUGGAAAAGUACUUGGCUCCCUUCAGCUGAUCGAAAAGGUCAUCAAUCCUGGGGAGGGGGUAUUUGUUUUUAAUGGUGACUUCGUUCAGUGCCCGGUAAUCCACACACAGCCUCAUGCUUCCAUCUUUCUUCUUGACGAACAGGACCGGAGCUCCCCAAGGUGACGAGCUUGGUCUGAUGAAGCCGAUUCGCUGCAGUUCUUCUAGCUGCUUCUUUAGUUCCGCCAACUCGGGGGGCCGCCAUUCUAUAGGGUCUCUUGGCUAAAGGGGAGGUUCAAGGGACGAGGUCUAUGGCGAACUCUAUAUCCCUAUCCGGGGGCAUUCCAGGAAGUUCCUCGGGAAAGACAUCCGGGUAUUCGUUUACUACUGGAACUCCUUCUAGUGGAUUGGCUUCCAUGCAACACACCAUCGGAUCAAGCUUACUUUCCCGGGUAUGGCAGCUCACUUGCACUCCUUCGGGGUUUGUUAGGUGCACCACUUUGUCAGUACAACUUAUAAGGCCUUUGUGUCGGCUUAACCAAUCCAUCCCAAGGAUCACGUCUAUUCCCCCAGACUUGAGUACUACCAAUUCUGCUAGGAAUUCUACCCCACUUAAGAUGAUCCUUACCCAUGGACAACCUAGCUGACAUUUGAUGUCGCCCCCAGGUGUCCGGGUUAAUAGGGGUGUUUUUAGUAGUACUGUAGGUAUUUUGUGUUUCUCCACAAAACUUGAGGAUAUGAACGAGUGCGAUGCUCCGGAAUCAAACAAUACCAUCGCCAGAGCUGAGUUGACUAGGUACUCAUCGAGCACUACGCCUUGAGCUUCCUGAGCCUCCUGCGCGUCGAUGUGGUUGACGCAGGCUCGUCCAAACGAUUGCUGAGGCUGCUUCUUCUGCUGACUGUUGUCGUUGUUGCGGAGGGGCACUCUGUUGGCGCCGGUCAGGGCUGUCCUGGGUCCGUUCACUGAGUUGGAGAAGGCUGAUGCAGCCGGCUUGCUCUUGGCGUAAGGGCAAUUGGCGAUGAAGUGACCCGUUUCACCGCAGUUGAAACAGGCCCUAGCAUUGUUGUUGUCGGGGGUGACCACGCUCGUGUUGCUCCGUGGGGCCCUCGUGGUAUUCUGGCUUCCAGGCUGUGGGUCAGGGGCUUGUGAUCCCGUUGCUUGAGACUGAGUCCUGUACUGCAUUGGGGCCUGAGAUCUUGGUGCAGGGUGGUUGUAGUUCCUCGGCCGUUGGGAACGGUCCUGCUGACGGGCCUUGUUUUCCAUAAAUUUACGCUUGUUAUCCCUUCUUUCUUCAGCCUUGGCCCUCUACGUGAGGAUAGCUUUGUUCAUCAGGGUGUUGAAGUCAGGAUAGAUUUGAGGGGUAAGCAAGGUCCGGAGUUCUGGGCUCAGUCCCUUCUUGAACAUGUCUUGCUUCUUGUCGUCGUCGUUGACUUCUUCUGGUGCAUAUCGGGCCAGCUCUAUGAACCGAUGGGUGUACUCCUCCACCGUCAUGCUUCCUUGUUGCAGGGCACGGCACUCAUCCGCCUUGCGCUUCAUGGUGGCCGAAGGAAUGUGAUAACGGCGGAACUCCCGCACGAAUUCCGCCCAAGUGAUGGUAGAGGCAUCCUCGGCGGCGGCACAAUAGUUUUCCCACCAGGCUAGUGCUGUCCCGGUGAGUUGAUGAGCUGCCAGAAGGACUUUGUCUCGGUCCUGGCAUUCAAAUGGCUCGAGCUUCCGCUGAAUCACUCGUAGCUAAUCGUCUGCGUCCAAAGAGUUGCUGGAUCCUGCAAAGGUGGGCGGCUUGGUCCUCAGAAAGGCCGUCAGCUUGUCGUUCAUGGUGUGCGCUCAGGGUUGUCGGUUAAUCAGGGCGUUGGCCAGUGCUUCCAGUAUAAGGGUCUGAUUCUGGAUUAUCUGUGUCAGGUUUCCGAGGGGCGGGGGUGGUGGUAGUUGCUCUUCUCCUUGGUUUUCUCCUCGGUUCUGGCUUACUUCCUGUUCUCCCUGAGAAAGGUUUUGCCCGGCGGCUUGAGCUCCAGCGUCGGCGGUUGCGGGGUUACGGCUACAGGAGGCCCUCGUGACGCUCCGGGGAGCCAUCUGUUGAUUGGGUAGAUCGAGGUCACAAUUUAUGCGAUGCUUAAAUUAUUUAACGCAAGCUCUUCUCAAAAGAAUUUCGUUUAUAUCAACACAAACCACAAGCACAAAUAACUUUAUUACUGCAAGGGGGGCACAGUUUGGGGUGACACAAGACCGCGCACUACUAGUUCGGGGUCACGCCUAAGGGCACGACUUACGCGAAUGAGGGGGCUACAAUACUAGGGUGGCGCCGGUUACUUCACUCGCGGGGCGUGCCUUCUUCUGGGGCGGAGAGUGUGAGUAAUAGUCCUUGCUCGCCGCUCUCUGGAUUUUCUUCUGCCAAGGGUUGUGCCGCGCCAUCCCUUUCUUCGGUGGUGGCAGUACUUUCAGGGUUCUCGGGCGGGGCCGGCGAGCUUCUAAAGAGUGUCCCCCAUCCGAUGACAGGCGUCCCGAGUAAAACAUGGUCUUCCCCAAUUGCUGGGACUGGCGUCCCACUUCGGGCCCACUCUUGCAUACGCCGGUCGCGGGCCCUCCUGAGGCUCUCUUGGGCGACUGCUUCGUUGCUGACCGCGGCUGCGGCUCUUGCUUCGGCCUGGGCUGCUCGAAUCUGCUGCAGUCUUACCGCGAGCUCGGCUUGCUCGGCUCGAUGGACCUGCUCCCUCAGAAGUUUGGCUUGCGCAUCGAAAAGUUGGUCCAAGGCGGCUAAAUAGGUAGCCACUUGAUACAAGGGGUCUUCUUCGUGACGACGUCGCUCCAGACUCCUCAUGCGCGCUUCCCAAACCGGAGUUCUAUCGGCUGGCGGAAAGAACCUUACUGGUGUGGGGGCGAGGUGUCCUUCAAAAAUCCGGCAUAAGUAGCGGAGUGCUUUUCUGACGGCCAAGGGGUAGGUGUCCUGAUGCCUAAACCCCGUGGUGGUCACUCGCCAAGGCUCGAUGUCGGGGUAGCGGUUGCUCCUGGCGAUGACCAAGACCACCGUGCAGCGGAGAGUGCCAUGGUGCUCAUACUCCCUGCUGUAGUACCUUGGGCGUUCCGUAACGCCAAGGCUUUCCAGGGCGUCGAUCAAAAGGCCAGGAAGGCCAGGUGCAGCUUGGCAAUUGCCCUGGGUCCACCCUUCCUCAGCCAUCUGAAAACAAGGACAGGAUAAACCAUCUUGCACAGGUAUAAAAGGGGCAGGUAACAUUAUUAUUGCACAUGGGGGUACAGUCUCCAUGGAUACACGAUCGUUAGGGUGGGGUUCUGACUUGGAGUGCUAUUCCUACUACGGGGAUUCUUCCUCGGUCCAGAUAAAGCGCUUUUUAAUUGGUAGGUGUUUAUCCUCCCCAUCGGUCUGAGUACCUCUAUCAAUAUGGGUUUCCUCAGGGUCUUCCUCUUCCUCUAUCCAUCCGCCCAAUCCUCUGCGGCUUCCGAAAUCCUGUGUCUGGGCUUGGAGGGCAGCUAAGGAAUACUCAGCGCGUUCGGCUCUUGUCCGUUGUUCCUCCAAUUCCUGUGUUGCUUUUUCUGCCCUAUGGAUUAGCCGCUUUAGUUGUGCCGCCUGUACGCGGUAGAGUUCAUCUAGGCCGGUAAGGUAGAUGGAUAGGUGGGAGACCGUAUCCUCUAGGUCUUCUUCUUCUCUUCCGAGUCCUCUCAUCCGGUCAAUCCAAGUGCGUCCUCUUCUCUCAGUAGGUGGGAAAAAUCCCAUAGGAGUCCGCUGAAGGUGAUGCUUGUAAGUCACUCGCAGUCGUCGAAGGGCUUUAUGGGCGGCCUUUCGGUAGGUGUCGGCGAAGCGGAAGCCUGAGGUGGAAAUGAACCAGGGGUCUACGUCAGGGUAGCGGGUGCUUCUUCCUACAAAAACCAUCAUGUCGCACCGAAGGGUACCCUUGGAGGUGUAUUCCCGAUAGGUAUACUCUGGUGGUUCCAUCACUCCGAUGCGUUCCAGGCUAAGUAUUAAUAACUUGGGGAGGCCGGGCUCAGCGUGGCAGAUCCCGUCAACCCAACCGUUGUCAGCCAUCUGGAAUAGGGCAAAGAUAGAGGUGAGCAUUUACGCAGGAAAAAGAGCUAAGUCAGAACAAGUCUCUGGCCUGAAAGAGGGUUUCGCUCCUAGGGUCUCGUCCUACGGCCAGCUUACGGCUCUGAUACCAUCUGAAGCGUCCCCCCCCCCCGUCAGGGGAGACAAAAAGUGGUACUUUAUCAGUCCUAGGAGGCUGAUAACACUUUUAUUACAUCAGAUGAUACAUCACCGUACAGCUCGACGCGGUAAUGGGCAGUGCAGCGCCACUAUCGCGAGGAAAAUGAUACAAACCCACACCACUACACUGGCUACGAAAAGGGUGUCAUCAGAGUCUUGAGCCAUGCGGAAUCCAACGGUGGCCCUACCACAGGCAAAGCUGGGUGCAGGACGAUACCCUACUCGACGUCCUCGGGGAAAUAGUCGGGGUCCUCUGCUAUAAAUAGUAAAAGAGGGGUGAGUACAAACGUACUCAGCAAGUCCAAUCACACCCACGGAGGGGGAUAAAUCAGAAGUCAAUGCAUAGGAUAAUACAAGGAUAGGGCUAUGGUUUAUUUGCGGAAAAGCUCAUUUUCAUGCAGGUGUUUGUUUUAAACAUUUUCAAAAUAAAUGUGUGUUUAAGUAUCGAGAAGCACUUGCUAAGCUUCACACAGGCUUCACGUUUGGUGUGGCUACCGGACUCCCCGUCCGUCGUAGCAUGCGGCACCACUGCUGUACACCCUCCGAACAACUCACGCCAACCCAACCAAUCCCAUGGAAAACACUAGUUAUGUGACCACACCAUAACUUACCCAAUACCGUGGGCACGGCUAUUCGAAUAGAUUUUUAACUCUGCAGAGGUGUGCAACUUUACCCACAGGUGGGGUACCGCAGCGCGGCCACCGUAGUGCCGGUGCAGGUCCCAACAAAGCCAUUACCCACCUUAGCUAGACCUAACUAGCCACCACGGAAUCCAUCAAGGGGUUAUUCAACCUGUCUCUGAGGUUUAACCGGGGCAUAAGUCACACAGAGCUUAUUCCCUUUUCCUUGAUCUCCCGUUGCUCUCAGCUCUCCUGAUGGCUAGCAGACUAACUAGUGGGGUUUAUGCUAAGCCGUUGCCCAUACAACGGUCAAGUGGUUUGCACGACAGGAAGCUAGGUGAGACGACACAUCAACUCGGUCCUUAGGGGUGACAGGACGGACAUCUCCCCUCCUUGCUCAACCACACAGGUACGAGCACUCCAGCGGCAAUUCUCACAAGAAUGCCGUCCGUCCCGUCUAACUCAUCCUGUAAAACCACUUUCAUUUCCCUCCCACACACACACACAUUUUUGUUCAGAAAAACGGGUGGUCAAAGGGGCGGUUAUCUCAAAAUAAUAGGUGGUUUUUACCAAACAGGGGUGGUCCCCCUAUUAGGUUUUCCAAAAUAAAACCAUGCACUUUAUAAAACAGGCCAACGGGUUGCAUUCAUAAAACUAGGGCAAAACAUGCAUCAAAGGGCGGAAUUGAACUUGCCGUCUUCGAAUCCUUGCGGGAGGUCCUGUUCGGAGCACUGUCCUUCGGGUUCGGGGUUGCAAAACUGGUCCGCGUUCACUUGAUCGCAGUCGGGACCUUCCUCGUUCACUCCGUCUCCUAAGACGCGAACAAACAGGCACACGAUCAAGCGAACGAACUAAAAGCUUUUACCGAUAGGCUUGAAUCGGAAAUAAUUUAGUUACGGAGGUAGGGGCAAUAUUUUUGGGUGAUUUCUGUAUAGCGUGCUUAGAACUAUGCUAGAAAGGGCGUGGUAAAAUUUCAGGUUGAUCGGAGGUCGUUUCGCACAUAAAAUGACGAGGUAAAAGGAGAUCUAGGGGUCAAACAGGGAAUCCAGGGCUUAUUUGCAAGUUUCUCUAAAAAGGGAAGGGCUUAUUUGUAAAUUACAGAAGUGCUAGGGUGUAGUAGAAAGUGUGGGGGGCCUAUUUGGAAAUAAGUUUGCAUUGUGGGGGGGGGACUUAGUUUGAAAGAAAAUAGUAAACAGGGGCUUUCUUGCAAAAAGGCCAAUAGAGUGGGGGGGCUGUUUAACAGUUAGGGAAGAAGGGAGGGGGCUAAGGGCAAAAUAGCCCUUUCUUCUUCCUCUAGCCGUGGGAAACAGGGGAGGGGGAGAGGAGCUCGGCGCCGGCCCAAUUCGGCGGCCCGGGGCUCGAUUGCGGCUAGGGUUUGGGGGAAAAGGGAGAGGAGGAGGAGGGAAUUCGAUCCCCGCCCUCACCUUGGGCCGGGGUGGCGCGAGGAGGCGUGCCCACGGCGGGCGGCGGGCAGCAGGCGGCGGUCGAACUGCGGGCGGCGGCGGCGCUGGGAGCGUGGGGAGGCGGCGGCAGUGGCGGUGGAGGCCGUGGGGGAGAGAGAGGCGGGGUGGGGGCCUAUUUAUAGGCGGGGUGCCGCGGUGGGGAGGCCGGGGUAGGUGGGGGCCGGCGAGCGGCGCGGAGCGCCAUUAAUGGCGCUCGGCCUUGUCGUCGUGCGGUGCACGGGCAGCGAGGCCGGGGCGAAGGGAUGGCACGGCGGGCUGUGCGGCACAGGAAGGGCGCGGGCGGCGAGGCGGGACGCGGCAGCGGCGGGCGGCGCGGCGGCCGUGCGGGCGGCGCGUGCGCGUGCGCGUGAAGCGCGUGCGCGUGAGGGUCGGUGGCACGCGCGUGUACGGCGGCGUGCGCGCGAGGGCGGGGUGGCGUGCGCGCAAGGGCAGGGGCGCCAGAGGCCGGAGCGGUGUGCGGGGGUGGCGCUCGGGAGCAUAGGAGCAGGGAGGAAGAAAUAGGAAGGAGAAAGGAAAAAGGGAGGGAAGAAAAAGGAAAAAGGGAAAAGGAAAAUGGGAAAAAGGAAAAAGGGAAAAGAGAGAAAAGGAAAAAGGGGAAAGAAAUAAUGGAAAAAGGGGAGAAGUGACGCGCGCCGGCGGGAUUCGCGGCGGCGACCGCGCGGCGAAUUUCACGGCGGUGACCGCGGCUGGUCGGCCACGCGCGCGCGGCGUUCGCGCGCUGCACGAGGGGGAAAAGAUGGCGUGACUGCGAUUGGAUUCGGGUGCCGGGAAAUUUAGGGUUUUGGUGGAACGGUUCUCGAAAACGAAAAUCUUAGCGCGUGAUUUCUGGGUAAAAUUUUUAGGAUGUUACACUGCCCCACCGUCUGUCAUGAAUGCGGUGGUGACCAUGGAGGAGGGGAACCCGCAGCCUGCCGUCGGAGAAGAAAUCGAUGGCAUCAUUCAAGCCAUUAGCAAGUUCGCCCAGGUAACAACCUGAAACCCUGCUGACGCUGAGUGCCACCAGGUUACUCAAAUUAAUCCCUCGGAAAUAUGCAGGAGACCAAAAGGAAAGCCCAAGAGCAAGCCGCCAAGCUGGAAGAGUCCGCGAAGCACAUUGACGAGCUGACACAGGAGCGGACCAGUCUUGAGCGCACCAACGCCGAGCUCCGAGGGCAACUCAGAGAUCAACGAAAAGCCCAUCAAGGUACGAUAGUUCUGCCGCUCGAGUACUUGUUUUGUUGGCGAUGGUUAUGUGUUCUGAAACCUGCUCAUCGCCGCAGAAACUAAAAAACUCAUAAAUUAUAAAGAAGAACUACUUACUGACUUGAAGAACAUGCUCAAUCGCCGCGCAGACGAAGUCGAGCGACUGCAAAAGAUGAUUGCCGAUACGGAGAAACAGUUCGUCGACUGUCUCCAAUAGAUCAAGUCGCUGGGCGAAGAAAGGGAGCAGCGCCAAAAAGAGUAUGAAGAGCUGAAGGUGGCAGCCCAAGAUCUUGUCGAGAUGGUGGACCCCCGUGAAGAUAACGCAGAAGACGAGCCACCAUUGCUCGAUCGACUACGUGGGGCGCCGCAAAAGAUAUUGGACUUCGUUACCAAGGCCGCCGCUACAUAUGUAGGUCAUGCUCUCAGUCUUGUAAAGUCCUUCUGGCCUAAGGCGCAGCUUGAAGUACUCGCGGGAGGUGUAGCCGCAGAUUGUACUGAUGAAAAGUUCCGCGAGUACUUAGCCGAGAAUAGGGUCGUAGCUGAAAAGAUUGUGGAGAACAUGGUCUGAACAUGAACCUGUGAGAUCUAUGACUUGUGUAAUAUAAAGGUUCAUAUUUGUUUAUGUAUGUUUUGAGUAGCAUAGAUUGAACCCUUCCGUUCUUGGAAUUGGGCAUACUACUCCUGAGUGCCUCGACUCAGGAAGUAGUCAAGAUAGCUCUUACUGCGAGCUCUUCGGGUAGACUAGGAAAGAGUCCCACUGGACCAGUCUGUCUUGCCCGGAGUGCGCAUUUAAAGCGCGAGGACCGGAAUGCCUGCGGCAAAUGGCCCGAGACUACCCUGAGUGCCCUGACGUCAGGAGUAGUCGAUGUAUCCCAAUGAAAGGGACAAACUGAACCAGUAGGAAAGAGAACCCGAUCAAGUCGAGCCCACUUGGUUCGGAGGAAACGUGAUUAUCAUCAUGACGACAUAGAUGCGUUUUAGCAAGAAGUCGAUUUAUUCAUUACAAUCGUGGCCAUAGCCCCCGUAUUGUGGGUGAAGAAUUACAUUUCAAGUCCUGUGGCUCAAGGAGCCCCCAAAAUGACCCGAAAGAAAAAGUAAAAACAAUCGAGACAUCUACGCGGACCGUAGGCGACAUGCAAGUCACCUUAAGGAUAGAAACGGCGUAAAUGCUGUAUGUUCCAAGAGUUGGGAACAUCUUGACCGUCAGGAAGUUGUAGUCGAUAGGAGCCUGGUCUUGUAACCUUCUUGACGACGAACGGCCCAUCCCAUCUGGAAUUAAGCUUAUGAAGUCCAGCCUCAUCUUGAAUGCAACGAAGGACUAGGUCUCCGACAUUGAACGACCGUCCUUUGGUAUUGCGAUCAUGAUAUCUCCGGACCCCCUGUAGGUAUCGGGCUAACUGAACGAGAGCCGAACAGCGAGCCUCCUCGACUGAGUCGAGCUCUAACUGCCGCGCUUCAUCUGCCUCGCCUUCAUUGUACAUUUCGACCCUGGGAGAUUUCCACAUAAUGUCUGCUGGGAGAAUUGCUUCGAAGCCGUAGACCAAAAAGAAAGGAGUCUGUCCUGUGGCUUUGGACGGCUGGGUCCUGAGCCCCCAGAUGACAUGUGGUAAUUCAUGUAUCCAUUUGCCGCCCUUUUUGGUAUUGGCAUCAUAAAGCCGUUUCUUGAGUCCGUCGAUAAUCAGACCAUUAGCUCGUUCGACUUGUCCAUUAGCCCUUGGGUGUGCCACAGAAACGUACUUGACCUCGAUAGAUGAGUUGUCACAAAAUUCCCAGAACUGUUUGGCCGUGAAAUUGGAGCCUAGGUCUGUGAUGAUUGUGUUAGGGAAACCGAAAUGAUGCAAAAUGUCAGAAAUGAAGUCGACCACCCUGUCUGGAGUGAGCUUGGAGAUUGGCUUGUACUCGAUCCACUUUGUAAACUUGUCAAUAGCCACAAGGACGUGAGUAAAACCCCCAGGUGCCGUUGUAAAGGGCCCAAUCAUAUCAAGGCUCCAGCAGGCAAACGGCCAAGAAGGCGGUAUGGUGAUGAGGUUGUGAGCCGGGACGUGUGACUGCUUUCCAAAGAACUGACAAUUUUGACAUCGUCGUACCGAGUCCUCAGCAUCGGAUACGGCAGUAGGCCACCAGAAACCAGCUCGAUAUGCCUUGCCAACUAUCGUACGUGAUGCUGCAUGGUUGCCACAUAUGCCCUCAUGAAUUUCUCUCAGAAUGUCUUGACCCUCGGCUGAGGUGACGCACUUCAUAAGCACGCCCGUUCUUGCGCCUCGGCGAUACAGCUUGUCAGCGACGAGGACAAAACCCUUGCUUCGUCGCAUGAUGCGAGCGGCGUCGGCACCUCUGGGGUCCACCCCCGUCGGUAAGACAAGAUCCCGGAUGAAGUCGAUAAAGGGUAUCCGCCAGUCCUCCUCCGCCAGCAUGACCUCCCGUUCUUGUACAGAAUCAAUAGCAGUAGGAACCUGUGGUGGAGGACUGAUGGAUGGGUGCCUCAACUCAUCCACGAAUACCCCAGCUGGGACCUGAGCUCGGGUAGAACCCAGCUUGGACAAGGCAUCAGCAGCAAUAUUGUGUUCUCGUAGCACAAGAUGAACCUCUAAACCAGAGAACUUAUUUUCCAGUUUUCGUACCUCUUGUACAUAAGCCUCCAUAGUCUCCUUGUCACAAUCCCACUCUUUAUUGACUUGCUGGACGACCAAAAGGGAAUCACCAUAAACGAGUAAACGUUUGAUCCUCAGUGAGAUUGCCAAUCGAAGCCCGUGAAGCAAGGCUUCAUACUCAGCUUCAUUAUUGGAUACCUCCCAGAGUAUUUGCAGUACAUACUUAAGCUGCUCGCCUCUUGGGGAAAUAAAUAAUACUCCAGCGCCGCCGCCGUCAAGUCGAAGGGAACCGCGAAGUACAUGGUCCAGUGCUCGGGCUUGUCGACUGGGGUCGGAAUUUGAUUUUCCCGCCAUUCUGCUAAGAAGUCGACUAGUGCUUGGGGCUUGAUCGCAGUGCGUGGCUUGAAGUCGAUCGACAAAGCCCCCAGCUCGACUGCCCAUUUUGAAAUACGUCCCGUGGCAUCUUGAUUGUGUAGGAUGUCAGCCAAUGGAAAGUCCGUGACCACAAUAAUCUGAUAUUCUUCGAAGUAAUGUCGCAACUUCCUUGACGUGACCAAUAUGCCAUAGAGCAAUUUCUGGACCGGUGGGUAGCGCACCUUAGAUUCUGAGAGAACUUCGCUGACAAAGUAAACAGGCCUCUGCACGCCAUGGGCAUGGCCUGCCUCCGGGCGCUCGACAACAAUAGCACUGCUGAUAACGUGAGUAGUUGCAGCGAUGUAGAGCAAGAGAGUCUCGCCCGGCAAUGGCACUGUGAGGAUUGGAGGUGACUGGAGGUGCUGUUUGAGAUCCUGCAAGGCCCGAUCGGCUUCCUCUGUCCAGCAAAACUUGUCCUGGCGCUUUAAGAGCUUGAAAAAAGGAAGUCCUCUCUCCCCCAAUCGGGAGAUGAACCUGCUAAGAGCUGCCAUACACCCUGUAAGUUUCUGCACAUCUUUGAUUGUGGCUAGAGCCCCCAUAUCAGUAAUAGCAGUGAUCUUCUCAGGGUUGGCCUCGAUGCGUCGGUUACUAACGAUGAACCCGAGCAAUUUACCCGAGGGGACGCCAAAAACGCACUUGGUCGGGUUAAGCUUCCAGCGAAAUUUUCUUAAGCUGGCAAAGGUUUCCUCCAGAUCCAUGAUUAGGCCCUCGGGAGUUCUGGUUUUUAUGACCACGUCAUCCACGUAGGCUUCAACGUUCCGGUGUAGUUGAUCAGCGAGGCACAUCUGGAUUGCACGCUGAUAAGUAGCACCUGCAUUUUUCAACCCGAAAGACAUGGUCUUGUAGGCGUAAGUUCCAUAUGGGGUAAUAAAUGCGGUCUUGAUUUGAUCUUCUUCCUUGAGAGCGAUCUGGUGAUACCCUGAAUAACAAUCGAGGAAACAGAGCAAAACACAGCCUGCGGUCGAAUCGACUACCUGAUCAAUACGAGGGAGCCCAAAGUGAUCCUUUGGACAAUGCUUGUUAAGAUCAGUAUAAUCAACACACAUCCUCCAUUCUUUGUUCUUUUUUAACACAAGAACAGGGUUAGCUACCCACUCUGGGUGGAUUACUUCUUUAAUGAAUCCAGCCGCGAGGAGUUUAGCUAUUUCCCGUUUAAUAGCCUCCCGUUUAUCAGGGGCAAAAUGGCGAAGGCGCUGUUUUUUGGGCACAGCAUGCGGGUACACAUUAAGACUAUGCUCGAUCAACUCCUUGGGCAACCCUGGCAUAUCCGAUGGUUUCCAUGCGAAUAUGUCUCGGUUAGCCCGCAGGAAGUUGACGAGCGCGAAUUCCUAUUUAUCGCCUAAGCCUGCGCCGAUGACGGUUGUUUUGGAGGGAUCGCCUUCUUGAAGCUGAAUCAUCUUGAGAGCCACGUCGCCCGUCGGCUUGACGCUGGACUGGCUCGGCUUCUUCGACGGGAUGUCCAACUCGACUUGCUGGGCAGUUGCGAGCACUUCUGCAGAACUUCCUGGUGCAUGAGAAGUCAAUGCAAACUGGAUGGCCUCCUGGGUGCAGUCAUAGGACUUCUUCAAGUCACCACGGAGGGUGAGGACGCCACCGCGUCCUGGCAUCUUGAGAAGCAAGUAGACAUAAUGUGGCACUGCCAUGAAUUUGGCCAGCGCUGGCCGUCCCAGAAUAGCAUGAUAGGAAGACUCGAAGUUGGCCACCUCGAACUUGAUGAACUCGGUUCGGUAAUUUUCCCGUGUCCCAAAAGUGACAGGGAGCACCACCGUGCCAAGCGGAUAUGCAGCGUUGCCAGGGACAAUACCAUAAAAUGGAGCCUUGCUUGGGGUAAGCAUGUUAGUCAAAUCCAGGCCCAUCUUCUUUAGUGUGCUGGCAAAGAUAAGGUUGAGCCCGCUCCCGCCGUCAAUAAGAACUCGAGUGAGCUUGACUUCGGCCACCACAGGGUCCAAAACCAAUGGGAACUUCCCGGGCUCAGAGAAACUGGUCCAUUGAUCAUCUCGAGAGAAAGAGAUGGGAACCUCCGACCACCGAAGAGGUUGUGGUGUCGCCGGUUCAACAGAUAAAAUCUCUCGUAGCAGUAGUUUCUGUGUCCGUUUGGGGCAAAAAUCCCCGUCACCACCAAAAAUAACGUUGAUGGUCUUGGAGGCAUCCUGAAACUUGGCAGUCUCAGAUUUGUUUUCUUGUUCCUCGACUGCGGGUUCCUUGCCCAUUGACUUGUUCUGUUUACUGGGGCCAGAAGAGCCAAAGGUGCGCUUGAGCUGAAAACAGUCAAUUGCCGCAUGCUUAGAAUUGACACACCAUGGGCACUUCUUUUGCAAGAGUUUCUCGAACUGUUCCUGCGUGGUCGACUUCUUGCCACGCAAAGGGCGUUCAGUAGCCGCGACGAGAUUGUCUGGCUUGCGUUUUCGAGAAGAACCCGAAAAAUCCCGCUGGCCCUUGUCGACCCGGUUGUCGUUGUUACGCUUCUGGCUAAGAUCGGGUCGUCGUGGAAACCUUUCGCGCAUCUUUUCCUCUUGUUCGGCCCAGUCAUGCAUCAUGUCGCGAAGUCCAGCGACCGUCUUAGGCCUAUUCCGCCCAAAAUCACGAUAUAUCCCUGGAUCCGUGAUUCCGUUGUAGAAGCAGUCGAUGAUAUCAUCCUCGGAGAUAUUUACAAUGGUGGCUCGCACGUCGAAAAAACGGCGAGUAUAAGACCGGAGAAGCUCGUUCCGUUCCUGCUUACACUGGGCGAGGUCAUGUCGAGUACCAGCACGCGUGAUCGCCCCUUGAAAAUUGUCGAUGAAGACCUUCUUGAGGCCCUCCCAGGAGUCGAUGGAGUCACGUGGAAGGCUUUCAAGCCAAGUAAGCGGCGCAGGCUCCAAAGCCAUUGGAAAAUAGACGACUUUAGUGGUAUUGGACCCACCGGCCACCUCCACGGCGGUGGAAUAGCAGCGAAGCCAUUGUUGAGGGGCCUGUCAACCGUCAUACUUAGUGAUUCCAAUCGGCUUGAAACCCGCCGGGUACUUAUAGCUGUUAAAUCGCGUAGUAAAUACAGGAAAACGAUCGCUGCAGUCAGCAUCGUCCCGCUCGACUACAUCGCGUUCCCGUCGUCUCGAGUCGAUGAUGGACCGAACGUCACGCCCUUCGUUAAUCUUCUGGCGAAGGUCCGGCUGUGGAUGCAGACGGUUGGGUUGCCUCGGGUUGCUCACCUGAGGUGGCUGCCGCCUCCCUCCGGUGGCCUGGCUCCCCGCCGCGCCGUCCUGGUUGCUUCGUUGGGGCCGCGGACGGCCACCAGUAGCCCGGCUUGGUGCCUGGCUACGACUGUCGCCCACGCGCUCCCCACCGACAAGGGAUGCCGGAGCCUGCUGGUCCAACUGAAUCCAAGCCCGUUGGGCAUAACGAAGUGCUUGUCGAACACUGGGAUCAUUGCUCCGUUCAAGUAGCGCUGUGGCUCGCGCAAUGUUAGCCACCGGAGUUCUGAAACCUCGUUCAUCCGCCGCCGCGAACUCAGCAUCGAGUUCGCGCUGUGCAGAGCGCAUGCGCUCAUUAGCCCUCCGUCGACGGAUCGCGCGGGCCCUGUUCCUAGCACGCCGCGCAUUACACUCUGCAUCGUCUUCAACCACCGCAUCGGCGGUGUCUUCAUCCUCUGAAAUCCCUUCAAGCGCUCCAAUGGGGAUGAGAGCAUCCUCCUCCCCCUCUUCUGCCAUCAGCACUUGACGGGUAGCGAGCUCAUCAGAGGAAGUCUCGACUAGUUCAGUCGAUCCUUCUGUGAUGGUGGCCAACGCCCUGCCCUCCUGAAAGGGCAAUCGGUCAAGGUGGGCCACCAAGCGAUCUUCGUGCCUGAGUAAAUCGGACAAUCCUAUCCCCUUCCAGUGAACAAUGCGUCCUUCAGGGGUGUGGGUUACCACCAUCCCACAAGCAACAAGAUGAUCCUCAGCCUCCCGGGUGGCGGUGGUAUUGGGAUCCCUGACUUGGAGCAGACAGUCCAAAUCCUUCUCUAAUGCGGAGAAAAAUUCAGGAUGGUCAGAGUUUGCUGCAGACUCCUUGGCCAAAGCGCAAGAUGGCAAUUCAUCGAGAUUGUCGACGAAGUCAUCGAGCUCCGUUACGGAUGAUCUCGGCUUGUCGACGUUGCUGGCGACAUGGCGACGAAAACCGCCCGCACCGUCGGCCACGCAGACCCAUGAGCCGAAAACCAUCGUUGUGCCCUCAGGGAGCACAGGGCUAGAAAAGCUGAAAAAAGCCAUCGAGUUCACCUGUAGAUCUUCGAUGCGGUCCCCUACCUGGCGCGCCAGCUGUCGGUGUUUUACCGAUUGCCCACCAAGGGGUAUGCCCAAGGUGGUAGAAUUUAGGUGGGGCAGCACCAAGAUCAGUAACUCGAAGGUGCAAGCAACACAAGAUUUAGACAGGUUCGGGCCGCAAUAAGCGUAAUACCCUACGUCCUGUUGGGUUGUAUUGCCUUGGAUUGUAUUGAUUCUUAUGUUGGUUCUCCAUGGUCUGCCUAUCUAGGUAUCCCUGUGUCGAUGUUUUACCGAUUGCCCACCGAGGGGUAUGCCCAAGGUGGUAAGAUUUAGGUGGGUCAGCACCAAGAUCAGGAACUCGAAGGUGCAAGCAACACAAGAUUUAGACAGGUUCGGGCCGCAAUAAGCGUAAUACCCUACGUCCUGUUGGCUUGUAUCGAUGAUGAUUAGAUUGUUUUUGGAGGGAUCCCUGCCCUCCCUUAUAUAUCCGGGAGAACAGGGUUUAAGAGUCCUAACCUGAUUCUAGCUUAGGAACCGUACCCGGAUACAACUCGGGUAGUUUCCUUCUGUAUCGGCUAGUCCAUCUUACAAACAGAGAUAGAGAUAUAGGCCAUGCCCUAUCCCUUAUCCUAAUUAGACUACUCCUCGUGAGCAGCCCCGUUGCCCCGGGUCUGACAAGCCCCCGAGCUCUUCGUAGCUGAGAUCUGCAGGCUCCUCGAGUACUCCAGAAGCAACUGUUGACUUCCUUCAAGACACCCCUUUGAAGCUUUGUAUCGAGUUCUUCUUUUGCCGCAUCGAAGCUAUGAUGUGCUCUAGCCCCGAACUCCUGCCUUCAUGUGGCGUAGCCCCCGAGCCUCAAGUCGAUCCAUCAACCAAGGCCAAGGUUCACACAAAAAAUACUCCUUGCAUGAUCUUCAAAAUAAUCCUGCAAAAAAUUAUGCAGUCGAUGCCACGUAUCCCACAGCCCCCGAGCCUUGUCCCCUAAUCUCCAACUUAGGUGAUAAGGAUCCAAUACUCGUGGCAUACAGGGACAACAAUCUUGCAUAGGAGAGAUGAUAUAGCCAGUAGCAUUUGACCGUGUUAUUCAAAAAACCCCUUCUUUCGGAAUUUAUAUCCCUGAAAAAAUGGUAAAUCGAAUAACAAACCCGAAAAAACCUGCUGGAAACCCCUCAACUUCCGAAUAUUCUGUGAAGUUAAACAGCCGAAAAGCCACACAGUGUACUACUUUCCACCCACUGGUUAUUUAACCACGAGAGCAGUUGGGGUAACGUUUGUGCGCUCAGGCAAAAAACUCGAACAGAUCUGUUCCACUUCCGCCGCCGCCUCUCUCCGCCCUAGCCGAAAACCCCAGUCCUGCCUCUUGCAACGCCCCCAAACCCGCAUCCAAAGUGCUGUUUGUGACGCCCAAAUCUCACAAUGGGGCAAAAAAGAUCUUCCAAGAAGGCGGAGAAAGAGGCGCAGUCAUCUGCGAACGAUUGGUCGCCUAGUAAGUGUUCUGAAUCCUCUCUUUUGCGCCUUGUGUCUGAUGGCCUUCUUCAAAGUCAAAAUCUUAUUCACUGGCGCGUCCCUCUUGAGGAUCAGCAUCCUCAAGAGAAUGAUAACGAGAUCGUUUCUUUUUUGCAUUUCGCCGAAAGAGGAUUGGCCUUUCCGACUUCUUCUUUUUUCCGCGGCCUCCUCUAUUUUUACGGCCUUGAACUCCAUCAUCUUAACCCUAAUUCCGUCUGCCACAUUUCCAUUUUCAUCCACCUUUGUGAGGCCUUUCUUGGAAUCGAGCCACACUUUGAUCUUUUCCGCUUUCUCUUUCGCGUAAAACCCCAACCCACCUCUGACAAUCCUUCUGUCAUUGGGGGCGCCGGCAUUCAACUCAGGCAGAAUGCCGGUGAUAAGUACCUCGCCUACAAAUUCCCUUCAAACAUUCCCGGAUGGAAGAGCCAAUGGUUCUACAUCGUCAACCAAUCUCCUCCGCUCCCGAAAAAAUCUGGUAAUCCUCCCGUUCUUCGGGCAGAAUGGAUCAUGGAUGCUCCCUCUGCCAACAUGGAUCAAGUCGAGGAACUCCUGGCACUGAUCGUGGUGCUCAAGGCCGAAGGCGUGACCGGAGCCUCCGUGCUGUACUCAUUCUUCAAGCGCCGGAUCCAGCCAAUUCAGCACCGCGUCAGACUUGGCUUCGAGUACCAAGGAACUGAGGAUCCGUCUCGUCUGUGCGCAGAAGAAAUUUCUGAUGCUGCUGCGCUGGGCCGAGUCAAGCGGGUUCUACUGGACGUGGACGCCGUGCCCUACGUGCCCAAGCUGUUUUCAGCUCAAAACCCACCAAAUCCGGUAAGUCUUCGAGUACUUGAAUUGUGGAAAAAUGCCUUUCAUAUUCUCGCGUAGAUCUUGAAAGAACUGAAGGCAGGAUCAGACGGCCUUGUACCGGAGCUAUCCGCCCCAGCCAGAAUUGGCACGUCCCUACCACCUUCUCCCGAGCGCCGCCGUGGCUGCCAAGAAGGCACAACUCGAAGAAGAGUUCGGGGGAAGUGGUGAUACCGACACUUCAGGCGAGAACUCAGGGCCGACGCAAGAGCCCCCUCGCGUGCCCCGCAUCGAGCAAGCGAUGCGGAAACGCAAACUCGCGACUGCGGACCACCCUGGGUAUGUAUGCAUAAGACUCUGAUUAGUUAUCAAUACAGAAAUACUUACAUAAUCGGCGCAGGUUAUCGACAUCCGCCCCCGCUGAGAAGCGAACGAGGGAGACCCCUGCGCCCGAGGGUGACGCUUCGGCGAUGAGCGCCGACGCCCCUGGUUCCACAGAACCGGCGGCGGUCAUCGACGCCGUCACCAUUGCCGUGCCUGGGGUCGCACCAGAACCCGCGACACCCGUUACAAGCACGACACCGACCCCGCCAUCCGGGCGCACCGGCGAUAGGCCUUCCGUGGUGUUGCGGAAAAAACUUCCCGUGAAGACCUCAUCACAGUAAGUACUCACGCUUGCUUGUUGUUGUUGUUCGAGUACAUGUAGCCGACGCUUAGGCCACCAUGUCCUGUGCCAGGAGCCGCUCUGCCGCCGGGUUAGGCAAAUCCCUUGCGGUUGCGGGGGAAGGCAGCACAAAAUCUGCAGAGACUGCUGCAGCCCCCGGGACGAGCGCGGAACAGCCCGCAAGCGCGGACAACCCGGCGCCAAUCAUUGGAGAAGCCUCAGCUCCUGCCGCUGCCCCGACUCCUGCGACCACGCCGAGCAACCCAAGGGCAAGCGGCGAGAAACAACCCGAAGGAGCACAAGGUCUCCUCAAGGGAGCAGCCGGACCCUCCCAAAGGCGCGAACAGCUAAUCAGCCCAGAAGGGGAAAUGGAGACCGAGCUGCUCGAUGACCCGCUGCUCACCACAGACACCGCCCAUUGGCUGGCGAAAACCUUCGAUGAUCUAUGGGAUUUCACCCAUGUAAGUCUGAAUUCAGCACCAGACUUAUAAUUAUGAAGUCGAUCCACCGAUAUUCAUAUGUUUUGACCUGUCCUUUUGAAACAGGACCUGGCCCAGCUUUCCUUGAAGAAAUCCGCUGCCCUGGAGGAGGCCCGAAAGCGUCUCCGUAUGGAGAAAAAAUCGGAGGACCGCCUGAAGGAAGAAACCGCCAAGAACUCCAAACUUCAAGUCCAGGUGGACCAACUGGCGAAAGAGAAGGCUGAACUCCAGGAGCGUCUCAAGGAGCAGAAGAAAGCGCAUCAAGGUAUGUCGACUUCUCCUUGAGCCGCUAUUCGUGUUGUAUCCGAGCUUCGAUCUGAAACCUGUUUCAAACCGCAGAGCUCAAGAAACUCUUAGCUUUUAAAGAAGAGUUACUUACUGACGUGAAGAAUAUGCUGUAUCGCCGCACAGAUGAUGUCAAGAGGAUGCAGAAGAUGAUCGACGAUUCCGACAGGCAACUCGUCGACUGCCUUCGGCAAGUCAAGACGCUGAGCGAAGAACACGAAGAACUCAAGGCGGCGGCCCAGCAAGUACUCGACGCGGUGGAGCCACAAGACGAACCGACGACCGCAGGCGCAACGCUUAUAGAGCGACUUCGUGGUGCCCCACAGAAGAUCCUUAGCGUCAUCACGGAGAACGCUGUCGAGUACGUGAGCCAUACCUUAGGACUGUUCAAGUCCUUUUGGCCAGAAGCUCAGCUGGGAGUGCUUGCCGAGGGGAAAGCGAGCGACUGCUCCGAGGAAGAGUUCCUGGGGUACCGGCGUGAGGUCGCCCCUUUAGCUGAGCAAAUUGUAAAAAGUUUGGAACAAGAGUAGGUCCUGUGACAAACAGUGUUAUUAAUUUGUAAAAUAUGUCGGCUUCUUGGCCAGUGGCCUCGUGUAGUGAUAAGAAACAUCCUCCCUGGUGCAGCGACUGGGUCCGGAUGGGCCAAUGCGCUAGAGAAGGACACCAUAUAGGCAGCGAUGAACCCGAACAAAUCGAGUCGCUGUGAUAGCCAAGUACUGUGAACAUCGUCACGGUGACUAUCUUUUUGCACGCAAGCAGUCGUGACUACCCCCGAGUAUAGAGGCUCGGCAAGUAGUCGAUUGCGGCUCGUUAUGUGAACUCGUCAAACUUGUAACGGACAGCGAGGCCCGAUCGGUUUGAAAAAACGAAUAUCAUUAUCAAGAUAACAAUAUAAGCUUGGAUUAUAAAUGAUGACCAAAACCUUCGCUUAUUACAAAUAGCACCUUCGACUUCUGUGGCACGUAGCCCCCAGAGUCAAAACAAACACUCAUCGAGUGUGCCCACCUGGACUAAACCAUUAGGGGAAGAAACGUCGUAGGUUCUGAAUGUUCCAUGAGUUAGGAAUAUCUUGACCGUCAGGGUGUUGUAGUCGAUAUGACCCUGGCCUUGCGACUUGCUUGACAAUAUAUGGUCCUUCCCACCUGGUAUUGAGUUUGUGUAGCCCAGCUUCGUCCUGAACGCGGCGAAGGACCAGAUCGCCUACAUUAAAUGACCGUUCCUUAACAUUGCGAUCAUGGUAACGUCGGAUUCCUUGUAGGUAUCGUGCUGACUGAACGAGAGCUGCGCAACGAGCCUCUUCAACAGAAUCCAACUCGAGCUGCCUGGCCUCAUCCGCCUCGCCUUCAUCGUACAUCUCGACUCUUGGAGACUUCCACAUAAUAUCAGCUGGUAAAAUAGCCUCAGAACCGUAAACUAAGAAAAACGGAGUUUGCCCUGUGGCUUUGGACGGCUGAGUCCGUAGCCCCCAGACGACAUGUGGCAACUCCUGGAUCCAUCGUCCAGCCUUCUUACUGUUCUCGUCGUAGAGACGUUUCUUGAGGCCGUCGAUUAUCAAUCCGUUGGCCCGCUCGACUUGGCCGUUGGCCCGUGGAUGGGCAACAGAGACAUACUUGACCUCAAUGCAGGAGUUUUCAAAAAAUUCCCAAAACUGGUUGGCCGUGAAGUUUGAACCUAAAUCGGUGAUAAUGGUGUUUGGGAACCCGAAGCGGUGUAAUAUGUCGGAGAUGAAAUCCACAACUCUGUCUGGUGUUAACUUGGUGAUCGGCUUGAACUCGAUCCACUUGGUAAACUUGUCGAUGGCCACCAGAACAUGUGUAAAGCCACCCGGCGCCGUUGUAAACGGUCCAAUCAUGUCCAGACUCCAACACGCAAACGGCCAGGAUGGCGGUAUAGUAAUGAGCUGGUGGGCUGGAACAUGUGACUGUUUGCCAAAGAACUGGCACUUUUGGCACCGUCGAACUAGAUCCUCGGCAUCUGAAACCGCUGUGGGCCACCAAAAACCGGCUCGGUAGGCCUUGCCCACUAACGUUCUUGAAGCUGCAUGAUUACCGCAAACUCUUUCAUGUAUCUCUCGAAAUAUGUCGGACCCGUCUGCAGUCGUGACACACUUCAUUAAUACACCCGUACGAGAACCCCGCCGGUAAAGUGUAUUGUUAACCAAGACAAAGCCCUUGCUUCGGCGCAUGACUCGAGCAGCCUCUGCACUGGAAGCGUGGACACCGGCUGGUAGUCGAUGUUCCCGAAUGAAGUCGAUAAAAGCCACCCUCCAGUCCUCUCCCAGCAUUAGAACCUCCCGACCUGUCCCGGAAGGGUCAGGGUCGGUGGUGAUCUGCGGGGAAGGACAAAUAGAUGGAUGACGAAGCUCCUGAACGAAGACGCCCGCUGGGACCUGUGCACGGGUGGAACCAAGUUUGGAUAGUAUAUCGGCGCCCACAUUGUUGUCCCGUGUUACAUGAUGUAUCUCCAGGCCAGGGAACUUGCUCUCCAAUUUGCGUACUUCUUGGACGUACGCAUCCAUGGUUUCCUUGUUGCAAUCCCACUCCUUGUUGACUUGUUGAACUACCAGAAGGGAAUCACCAUAAACAAGUAGACGCUUAAUCCCCAGUGAUAUCGCUGAAGCGUCCCCCCAUCAGGGAAGACUUAAAAGUGUCACUUUAUCAGUCCCAGGAGGCUGAUAACACUUUUAUUACAUCAGAUGGUUCAUCACCGUACAACUCUACGCGGUAAUGGGCAGUGAAACGCCACUAUCGCGAGGAUUACAACCAGAACCCACACAACUGCACUAGCUACGAACAAAGGAUCAUCAGAGUCUUGCGUCAUGCGGAAUCCAACGGUGGCCUCAACCACAGGCAAGACUGGGUGCAGGACGAAACCCUACUCGUUGUCUUCGGGGACGUAGUCUGGGUCUUCCACUGUAAAAGUAAGAAUGGGGUGAGUACAAACGUACUCAGCAAGUCCAAUCACACCCACGGGGGGGGUUAUAACAGAAUUAGAUGCACAGGAUAAUUUAAGGAUAAAGUUACGGUUCUUUUGCGGAAACACAAUUAUAUGCAAGGGUUCGUUUUGAAAGCAUUUUUCAAAACAAGUUUUCAAGUGUCUAAGAACACACGAUGUCGAUCCUCACGGAUCCAAGUUUCAAGAAGCUACCGGACUUCCCGUCCGUCGUAGCACACAGCACCAUUGGCGGAUACUUUUCAAACAACUCACACCAGUCCAACCAUUUUCCCAAAGAGAAACACUAGUUAUGUGACCACACCGUAACUUGCCCAAUACCGUGGGCACGGCUACUCGAAUAGAUUUUAACUCUGCAGAGGUGUGCAACUUUACCCACAGGUGGGGUACCACAGCACGAACACCUUGGUGCCGGUGCAGAUCCCAUCGAAGCCCUUACCCACCGUAGCUAGACCUGACUAGCCACCCCGGGAUCAAUCAAGGGGUCAUUCGACCUAACACCGAGGUUUAACCGGGGCAUAAGUCACACAGAGCUUAUCCCGUCUCCUUGAUCACCCGUUGCUCCCAGCUCUCCUGAUGGCUAUCAGACUAACUAGUGGGGUUAGGCCAAGCCGUUGCCCAUACAACGGUCAAGUGGUUUGCACGACAGAAAGCUAGGUGAGAUGUCACAACAACUCGGUCCUUAGGGGUGACAGGACGGACAUCUCCCUCCCUUGCCCUACCACACAGGUACGAGCACACCAGCGGCAAUCCACACAGAAAUGCCAUCCAUCCCGUCUAACUUACUUUUCAAAACCACAUUUUAUCCCUUCCCACACACACACACAUUUCCUUUAUAAAAUCAGGUGUUCAAGGUAUGGUUAUCACAACCAGGGUGGCUAUCCUACCAUGUUUACGGCACGCAAAACCAUGCAAUUUCAUAAAACAGGCCACUGGGUUGCGUUUAUAAAAACUAGGACGAAAAUAUGCAUCAAAGGGCGGAAUUGAACUUGCCAUUGUCAAACCCUUGCGGGAAGUCCUGGUCGAAGCACUGUCCUUCGGGUUCGGGGUCGCAGAACUGGUCCUCAGUUGCUUGGCCGCGGUCGGGAACCUCGUCGUUCACUCCGUGUCCUACGACGUAAACAAACAGACACACAAUCAAGCGAAAGAACUAAAAGCUUUUAUCGUUGGGCUUGAAUCGGAAAUAAUUUAGUUACGGAGUUAGGGGUGGUAUCUCUGGGCGGUUUCUUGUUGGCAUGGCUAAAACUAUACUAUAAAAGGCGUGGUAAAGUUUCGGAUCGAUCGGAGGUCGUUUCGCACAUAAAAUGACGCGCUAAAGGUGGUUUCGGUGGUCACACAGGGCCCUAGGGGUUUAUUCGUAAGUAUCCGGAAAUAGCAGGGACCUUUUUGUAAAUCCUAAAAUUUCUCGGGGCAUGCUAAAGAGUGCCAAAUGUAUCUAGGUUCAAGUAUUGGAGGGUUUGUUUUGAAAUAAUAAAAAUAGUGAGGUCUCAUUAGCAAAAGAAGUAAUUAAAUGAGAGGGGGGGGCUUCUUUUGGGGAUUACAGGAAAAAGGGAGGGGGUUAUGGGCAUAAUGCCCCUCUCUUCCUCCUCACCCGUUGACAGGAAACAGGGGAGGGGCAGGGGCGGCGGCGGCGGGCGGCGCCGGCCGGCCAGGGCCCAAGGGUGGCCCGGGGUAGGGGAAAAGGGGCAGGGGAGCAAGGGGGACUAAUCCCCGGCCUCACCUCGGGCUGAGGUGGGGCGAGGAGGCGCGGCGACGGAGGCCGGCGGGCGGCGGCAGUGCGGCACGGGCGGGCGGCAAUGGAGGCGCGGGGAGAGGCAGGAGGCGGCGGUGAGAGGUGUGGGGGAACGAGGGGCUGCGCGAGGGCCUUCUUAUAGGCGGAUUGGAGCAGCAAGGAGGCGGGGCCGGUGGGGAGCGAGGCGCGGGCGGCCGGCGGGCGGUGCGGGCGCCAUUAAUGGCGCUCGGCCGCUUGCGGCCGUCGCGACGCGGCACGGCGGUGGACGCGGGAUGCUAGCGGCGGGCGGCGCGUCGGGGCGGCAGUGGCGGGCGGCAGGCGACGCGGCGGACGGCGCGACGUCGCGGCCGUCCUGACGGCGAGCGGCGCGGCGGUCGGUGCGGCACGCGGGGCACGCGCGGGCGCGCGCGUGGGCACGGGUGGGCGUGUGCGUCGCGAGGCUGGGCAGGGUGUGCGCGCGGCAAGGCUGGGCAGGGCGCGUGCGGCGCCCAGGGCCGGCGCACGGCCGCGCGGCACUCGGGAGCAGGGGAAGGAGGGGAAAACAGGGAGAGGAGGAGGAACAGGAAAGAAAAGGAGGAAGGAAAGGGAGGGAAAGAAAGAAAAAGGAAAAGGGAAGGGGAGGAAAAAAAAGAAAAAGGGAAAGGGAAAAAAAAAUAGAGAGAAGAGGGAGAAAAAAGAGGGAGGGGAAAAUGCCGGCGCCGGUCGCGGCGGCGACCGCGGCCGGUCGGCCACGCGCGGGGAGGCGCGCAGCGCGAGGAGGAAAAAAAGGUUGCGUCGGCGCUGAUCGCGGAAAGCGGUCGCGCGGUUGUCGUGACGCGGCCGGGUGCACAGGGCGGAAACGUGACAGCGCGCGUGUGGCGGAGAGGGUCAGGUUUCGACGGUUAAGUUUGUAGUCGGAACGCGUAGUUUAGAUUUGAAAUUUUCGGGGCGUUACAAUCGCCAAACGGAGCCCAUGAAGCAAGGCCUCAUACUCGGCUUCAUUGUUUGGUACCUCCCAAAGGAUCUGAAGCACAUAUUUCAGUUGUUCACCCCUUGGUGAGAUGAACAGAACCCGAGCGCCGCCGCCCUCAAGAUUGAGGGACCCAUCAAAAUACAUGGUCCAGUGUUCUGGCUUUGUGACUGGAGUUGAAAUUUGAUUUUCUCUCGACUCUGCCAAGAAGUCGACCAAAGCUUGGGAUUUGACUGCAGUGCGUAGCUUGAAGUCGAGUGACAAAGCCCCCAGUUCCACUGCCCACUUGGAUAUACGGCCCGUGGCAUCAGGAUUAUGCAAGAUGUCCGCCAGCGGGAAAUCCGUAACAACAGUAAUAUUGUACUCGUCGAAAUAAUGGCGUAGCUUCCUGGAUGUAAUCAAUAUAGCGUAAAGAAGCUUUUGAACAGCCGGGUACCGUACCUUUGACUCAGAGAGAACUUCGCUGACGAAGUAAACGGGCCGCUGCACACCGAAAGCAUGGCCCUCUUCGCUGCGCUCGACAACAAUGGCGCUGCUGACAACAUGGGUUGUUGCCGCAAUAUACAACAGGAGGAUCUCGCCUGGUAAAGGUGCCGUGAGGAUGGGAGGCGACUGUAGGUGUUGUUUCAGUUCCUGCAAAGCUUGCUCGGCUUCUUCCGUCCACCGAAAUUUAUCUUGGCGCUUUAGAAGCUUGAAGAAAGGUAGUCCCCUCUCCCCCAGAUGGGAGAUAAACCUGUUUAGCGCGGCCAUGCACCCUGUAAGCUUUUGUACGUCUUUGAUUGUAGCAGGGGCCCGCAUGUCGGUGAUGGCUGUGAUCUUCUCCGGGCUAGCUUCGAUACCGCGGUUACUCACAAUGAACCCGAGUAACUUUCCUGAAGGUACGCCGAAAAUGCACUUGGUGGGGUUGAGCUUCCACUGGAACUGACGAAGACUGUUGAACGUUUCCUCUAAAUCUGAGAUUAGGCCAUCAGGACUUCUGGUCUUAACGACCACGUCGUCCACGUAAGCCUCAACGUUCCGGUGGAGUUGUCUUGCAAAACACAUCUGGAUUGCUCGUUGAUAAGUGGCCCCUGCAUUCUUCAACCCGAACGACAUGGUCUUGUAAGCAUACGUCCCGAACGGGGUGAUGAACGCAGUCUUGAUCUGAUCCUCUUCCUUGAGAGCAAUCUGGUGGUACCCUGAAUAACAGUCAAGAAAACACAAAAGCACGCAACCUGCGGUUGAAUCGACUACUUGGUCAAUACGAGGUAGCCCAAAGUGAUCCUUGGGACAAUGCUUGUUGAGAUCGGUGUAGUCGACACACAUUCUCCACUCUUUAUUCUUUUUCAAAACAAGUACAGGAUUAGCUACCCACUCGGGGUGCAUCACUUCUUUAAUGAAUCCAGCCGCGAGGAGUUUAGCGAUCUCCUUCUUAAUAGCUUCUCUCUUAUCCUGAGAGAAUCUACGAAGGCGUUGCCGUUUUGGAACGGCACGCACAUCUACAUUAAGGCUAUGCUCGAUCAGUUCCCUGGGCACCCCUGGCAUAUCGGCAGGUUUCCAUGCAAAUAUGUCUUGGUUAGCCCUAAGGAAACUGACAAGCGCGAGUUCCUAUUUGUCACCCAAGCCGGCGCCAAUGAUGGUUGUCUUGGAUGCAUCGCCUUCUUGGAGCUGGAUCGUCUUCAGAGCUACUUCGUUAGCUGCAUUGAUGCUUGAUUGGCUCGACUUCCUUGAAGGGAUUUCCAACUCAUCUGGGGGAAGGCACUGCGCGGCCGCGAGUACUUCGGCUGAAGCUUCUGGCCGGCGUGAAGUCGAGGCGUACUGAAUAGCCGCCUGGUUGCAGUCGUACGACUUUUUGAAGUCGCCGCGGAGGGUGAGGACUCCACCGCGUCCUGGCAUCUUGAGAAGUAGAUAAACAUAAUGUGGCACGGCCAUAAACUUGGCGAGCGCCGGACGACCCAAGAUGGCAUGGUACGAAGACUCGAAGUCCGCCACCUCGAACUUGAUGAACUCGGUACGGUAGUUCUCCCGUGUGCCGAAGGUAACUGGGAGUACGACUGUACCUAAUGGAUGAGCUGCAUUGCCCGGGACAAUGCCGUAGAAAGGUGCCUUGCUAGGGGUGAGCAUAUCCAUAAGGUCAAGGCCCAUCUUCUUCAAAGUGCUAGCAAAAAUAAGGUUGAGGCCACUCCCGCCGUCGAUAAGGACUUUGGUGAGCCUAACCUCUGCCACCACCGGGUCAAGAACCAAGGGAAACUUGCCUGGCUCGGAAAAACUAGUCCAUUGAUCUUCCCUUGAAAACGAUAUGGGGACCUCCGACCAUCGCAAUGGUCGUGGUACCGCCAGCUCGACAGACAUUAUUUCCCGGAGAAGCAACUUGUGGUCUCGCUUGGAACCAAUCUCGUCCGCGCCCCCAAAGAUCACGUUAAUGGUUUUGGAAGCGUCCUGGUAUUUGGCACCUUGCGACUUGUCCCCUUGAUCCUCGUUCUCAGGCUCCUUGCCUUUCGACUUGUUCUUUUUGUCCUCCACCUGAUUGCUAAAUGUUUUACGGAGGUGGUAGCAAUCAAUGGCGGCAUGGGCGCCCUCCGGGUGCCAAGGGCACUUCUUCUGGAGGAGCCUCUCGAACUGCUCCUGAGUUGUCGACUUCUUGCCACGCUGGGGACGGUUGAGAGCCGCGACAGUAUCGUCUGGCUUUCUCUUUCGGGAUGGGCCCGAGUAGUCCCGCUGGCUCUUGUCGACGCGGUUAUCAUUAGCACGGUUUGAGUUGUUAUCCAUACGCCGGGGGAACCGCUCCCGCAUUUUUUCCUCUUGCUCAGACCAAUCAUGCAUCAUAUCACGGAGGCCUGCCACGGUCUUGGGGCGAUUACGCCCGAAGUCUCUGUAAAUACCAGGAUCCGUAAUGCCAUUGUAGAAGCAGUCGAUGAUGUCUUCCUCGGAUAUGUUGGCGAUGGUAGCACGAACGUCGAAGAAACGACGUGUAUAAGAUCGUAAAAGCUCGUUGCGCUGCUGCUUGCAUUGAGCUAGGUCGUGUCGAGUACCUGCACGGGUUAUGGCGCCCUGGAAAUUGUAGAUAAAAACCUUCUUAAGCGCCUCCCAGGAGUCAAUAGAGCCGUUGCUGAGGCUCUCCAACCACGUCAGCGGAGCAGGACUUAAAGCCAUCGGAAAGUAGACGACCUUGGUAGUGUUUGUACCCACUGCGACUUCAAUAGCAGUAGAGUAACAGCGCAGCCAUUGUUGAGGGGCCUGCUUACCGUCGUAUUUAGUGAUCCCGAUAGGUUUAAAACCCUCAGGAUACCUGUAGUUGUUAAACCGUGCUGUGAACGCGGGAAAACGAUCGCUGUAGUCGAAGCCGUCCUGAUCGGCGCCGCACCGGUCCUUACGCCGCGAAAUAAUCACUGAUCGAGCAUCACGUCCUUUGUUGAUCUUCUGGCGUAAGUCUUCCGCAUGGUGGUGCGGAUUGCCCCCUGGCGGUGGCUGCUGCCGUCCGCCAGUGGCGUGGCUCCCACGCCCCUGAGCAUUGUUAUUCUGCGGAGGGCGAGGGCGCCCUCCCGUAGUGCGGCUAGGAGCUUGACUACGACUUUCCCCGACUCGCUCUUCACCCGCAGCCGAUGACGGGUGUUGCUGAUCAAGCUGAAUCCAGGCACGCUGCGCAUAGAGAAGAGCUUGCCGAAGAGCUGGGUCAUUGCUGCGCUCGAGUAUGGCGGUAACCCUGGCUAUGUUAGCCACGGGAGUCCGGAAGCCACGCUCGCUAGCAGCUGCAAAAUCAGGGUCUAAAUCACGGCGCGCAGCUCGCCCACGUUCAUUAACCCUCCGACGUCUAGCGUUGCGCGCCCUGUUCCUGGCCCUCCGAGCCUCACGGGCAGCAUCGUCUUCAUCCUCGGCAUUAGCCGUAUCUUCAUCUUCAGAUAUGACCACCUCGAGAUCGAGGCACGCAUCGUCAUCUCCUUCUGCCAUCAUAACCUAACGGGCCAUGAGCUCGUCAGAGCUCGCGUCGACUACCUCGGUCGGCUCUUCCUCGAUAGUAGCGAGGGGCUUGCCCUCCUGAUAAGGCAAAGCCCCCAAGUGCGCUACAAGCCGAUCCUCGUAGUCGAGUAGCUCUGAUAGGUCAAAGCCUUCCCAUUGCGCAAGACGCUUCUCCGGUAUAGAUGUAAUAACCGGAUUGGCUCCAUCGAAGAGACCUGAAACCUCCCGACUAACGGUGGUUCCAGGCAAUGCCCGCUGCGACAGAGGAAUCGAACAGUUAGAUGUUACCGAAGAGAGGUCAGGAUCGGUUAUGAUAAAGCGAUCCGAGGUCGUGGCGAAGUCGGUCUCCUCCGUGUCCCUGGAAGAGUCCCGAAUUGACUGUUCGUGGAUUCCCGCCAUGAGAUCACCCUGAUGCGUGGUGACGACGGAUUCCGCGACCGUUGCGAUGUUGGUGGAGAAUCGGCGAAAACCGCCCGCGCCAUCAGCAACACAGGACCACGAACCAAAGAUGAAGGUCGUGCCCUCCGGGUGCACGGCGCAGGCGAACUUGAACACUGCCAUCGAGUUCUCCGACGGAUCUUCGAUGCGUUCCCCUACCUGGCGCGCCAGCUGUCGAUGUUUUACCGAUUGCCCACCGAGGGGUAUGCCUAAGGUAGUAAGAUUUAGGUGGGGCAGCACCAAGAUCAGGAACUCGAAGGUGCAAGCAACACAAGAUUUAGACAGGUUCGGGCCGCAAUAAGCGUAAUACCCUACGUCCUGUUGGCUUGUAUCGAUGAUGAUUAGAUUGUUUUUGGAGGGAUCCCUGCCCUCCCUUAUAUAUCCGGGAGAACAGGGUUUAAGAGUCCUAACCUGAUUCUAGCUUAGGAACCGUACCCGGAUACAACUCGGGUAGUUUCCUUCUGUAUCGGCUAGUCCAUCUUACAAACAGAGAUAGAGAUAUAGGCCAUGCCCUAUCCCUUAUCCUAAUUAGACUACUCCUCGUGAGCAGCCCCGUUGCCCCGGGUCUGACACCCUGCCCUCCUUUAUAUAUCCCAGAGGGCGGGGUUCCUAGUAGGAUUACAAGGUAGAGUUCUAGUAGGAUUACAAGGUAUGAUUCCUAGUAGGAUUACAAUGGAAUCCUAGUAGGAAUCGGACUCCUUUUUCCUCCAAACUACGCCAUGUGAGCAGUCCCGUAGCCCCGGGUCUGACAGAUGGCGUCUCCCGCCCUUAAAAAUGGCCACCAUUUCCAGGAGCGGGCACGUUACCCGCCCCUACAAAUAGUUAUUUUUAGCUGGGGAAGUAGGGACGGGUACCGCACCCGUACCUAAAAAUAUGUUUUUACUCGCCCUCUAAGAAUAUUUUUUGUAGUAGUGAUCGUUAAGAGGAACAUAGUGCUCUAAUCGAAUUUUAACACAGUUAUACUUAUCUAGUAUGUUAGUGUGGAAGAAAAAUAAGAGAAAAUACAUACUCCGCACAUGGUGCCUAAGCAUGUGGACAUUAGCAAACCAUGUGAUGGCCGUACUAUAGUGCUUCCGCACGGCUAUCCAUAGAGGAGUCUUUACCUAACGGUAUUGUUCAUUUUGAAUUACAUUUAUAUUUGCUUAUGAAGUCCUUCGAUAGAAUAAAAUAUUUUUAAUACAUUAAUUGUGAACUAAGAUUAUUGCACUCAAAAGAUUCAAGAGCCUUUUUUUUUCAAAACACAAUACUUGAGACGAAUAGGCUAAAGCAAUACUGCCAUCAGGUCUAUAAAUACCCGGGCGAAGAUGUGAUCUCUCAAACCAUCAGAGCCACUAAGGUUUGUAGGAGGCUAGGAGCAACCAAAGAGCAUGGCACAAAGCCCAUCUAUGCCGGUGCUAGCCAUGGCCACCACCAGUGCUGAGCUCAUCCAGGCCGAGGCAGAGCUUUGGUGCCACAAUUUCGGCUAUCUCAAAUCCGUGGCACUGCGGUGCGGUGCGCAAUAAAACUUGGGGUCCCCAACGCCAUCCACCGCCACGGCAGCGCGGCCUCCCUGUCGGAGCUGCACGCCGCGCGCCGUCCCCGUCGCCGCGAGCAAACGGCCAUGCCUGUCACGUAUCAUGGCGCUCUUGGCCGCGUCUGGUCUCUUUAGAGAGGAGACCGUCCCAGGCGAUGGCGCGGCGGCGGCCGAGCCGCGCUACCACCUCACCACGGCAUCCCGCCUCCUGGUUAACGACGACGCUAAGGGAGGUCGCAAUUGCGUCUCCCAGCUCUUCACCCUGUGCAGCUCACCGUUCUACUUCACGGCGUCCCAGAACUUGGCCGAGUGGCUCCAAGAGGGCGGCGGCGGCGGCGCGGACGCCGUUCACGAUGGCGCACGGCGCGGGUUUCUACGACGUCGUCAGCCGCGACGCGGCGUUCGCCGUGUGCUUCGACGAGGCGAUGGGCUCGGACAGCGGCGAGUACGGCGAGGUGCUGGCCGGGGUGGCGUCCCUGGUGGACGUCGAACGGUCAGAGGCCACAACGGGACGACGGCGAGGGCCAUUGCCAGGGCCUUCCCGCACGUGAAGUGCUGGGUGCUGGAUCUGCCCCGCGUGGUGGACACCAUGCCGGCUGAUGGCACGGUUGAAUUCGUUGCAGGCGACAUGAGGGAGUUCAUCCCUCCGGCUGAUGCUGUGUUAUUUAAGGUACGGAUUUAUGCGUAAUGGGAAGUGUCCAAAUUUUCAUGCAUGACUGAAAUUUUUAUUUCGUUUUAGUUUUUAUUCACCUUUUGUGGCUUUUUUUUGCAAGACAUUUUUUGAAUCUAUAGAUCAAUAUAAUUUACUUUUUUGAAACGCGGACACAGUCUAUCAUAUAUCAUAUACACAUAGGCACAGUGCCACAUAGGCAAUUGUUGUUUUAGAGGUUUUGGGUCUCUAAGAUAAAUUUUUGUUUCCGAUGAUUGAAUAUUAGCAAAGCUCUUAUCUUUUUACUUUUUUUACGUAUAUAUGUUUAGCUUAUAACAAUUUAUGCUAGAUAACUUGAACGCUGUGAUGCCUUGAUGACAGGUUAUUAUGUACUUAUGUGAUUACUGACUAUCUUACGACAGUUUGUAGGUACGGGUGCGGUACCCGUCCCUACUUCCCCAGCUAAAAAUAACUAUUUGUAGGGGCGGGUAACGUGCCCGGUCCUGGAAAUGGUGGCCAUUUUUAAGGGCGGGAGACGCCAUCUGUCAGACCCGGGGCUACGGGACUGCUCACAUGGCGUAGUUUGGAGGAAAAAGGAGUCCGAUUCCUACUAGGAUUCCAUUGUAAUCCUACUAGAAAUCAUACCUUGUAAUCCUACUAGGACUCUACCUUGUAAUUCUACUAGGAACCCCGCCCCCUGGGAUAUAUAAAGGAGGGCAGGGAUACCUAGAUAGGCAGACCACGGAGAACCAACAUAAGAAUCAAUACAAUCCAAGGCAAUACAACCCAACAGGACGUAGAGUAUUACGCUUAUUGCGGCCCGAACCUGUCUAAAUCUUGUGUUGCUUGCACCUUCGAGUUCCUGAUCUUGGUGCUGCCCCACCUAAAUUCUACCACCUUGGGCAUACCCCUUGGUGGGCAAUCGGUAAAACACCGACACCAUCACCCGCCCCUAAAAAUACUUUUCAAAGAGCAGGUCGGAUGCUACACUAACUGCAUUCUAUUUGUACGAGCGGGUUACCUUUUAAUCCGCCCUUAAAAAACGGGGCGUUCCUACGAAUCGUUUUUUAUAGUGUUUAUAAUAGUAAGAUAUAAGAUAGAUUGAUUUAAGACAAACUAUAAAUACCUUGCACUUGUGGACGGAUGGGAAUCUGAUAUGGAAUGGUCAAUAAUCCAUAGUGAAGCUGGGUUGAGCCAAGCGCCGCUUAAUGGGCAUCGCUCAUUCACGACUUCUUGAGAGCAUGUAAGGUCUCUAGCAAUUUGAAUUGAUGCAUGCGUGUUUUGCUUGUACUAGAGCCUUCGGCACGCCAUUUUUUCAUCUCAGUUCAGAACUUUGAUUAGAUUACAUGUCAGCUGUUCACAGUAGUUCAGUUGGAAAUAGCAACAGACAGAGAUAGCUUGAAAAAGCGCAGUAUAUCUGGUAUAGCUUUAAAAAUAUGGAGCAUUGAAACUGUAGGAGAACCCGGCCGAUUCAUGUUGACGAAUUUGUUAACUAAAAUCAUGUUGCAUGAUGAUAUGCAGUAAGGCAGGCCAUACAACGUAACAUGUUUAUUUUAGUUAACACGCACAUUCAAAGGUUUGAAAUGCCCUUUCAAUUGUCAUUUCCUUCCUUCAGAAUUUUCUUCAGGCAGUGUUAGUCUUCAGGUCGCCAUCCAAUUAAGCAGCGAGUCCAUGUAUAUGAGAGAGAGAGAGAGAGAGAAAAUCAGCCACGUAUAAUCAAUUCACCCAAAAAUCGACCCAUCCUUCUCCAGUGGUAUGCAGGAUCUGCAACUCAAAGCGAUCAUCCCCCAUCCCCCAUCCCCGGGGGAGCUACAAACUUCCUCCAGUCCGGGUUAAAUCAAUGGGCAAGUAAAAAUUACCUAAAAUUAUAUCUAAGUCUACUGCUUUGUUUCUAAAUGCCAGAGUGAUUUACAUGGAAAUAACUAAAUCCGGGUCGUGCUGCAGCACGCCCAGCACGGGCCCUGGCUCCGCCCCUGCCCAUCCCCUCUCCCCUUGGCCACAAUGCACAGAGAGAAGCCAAGAGGAGAGGCAGCCGGUGAAGUGCUGCUACAGUGCCAAAAUUGGCGCCCCGACGCGUUGCCGCGGGGGGCCAACGACCUAUCUCAUGUGGAAGUUGACGUGCGGAGUAUGGCGGGAUGAAUGGCAUGCUUGCUGAAAUUGGAGGCACUCGCGCGCUCGACAUGGUGGCAUGCACGUGCUAUCAGCCUAUCAACAAAGUUGCAUGGCGCACCGAUCGACAAUGUCAAGUCGUUGUUGCAAUGGCAGCUCUCGUGCGCAUCUACGUACAGACGUGCACAACAUGGAUCCACACAUUUUUAGGGUUAUUAUAACACUACAACAGAAACACCCCUUUAAAAUGUAUUAUACGUUGCAAUAGGUGACGUUGCAAGGAUCUAUUGCAGCGGCCAAUGCUUCUCCAGGUUUAGUAAAAAUUAAAGUGUAUGGUUCGUCCUUCAACUUAUUUGGUCGUGUCGCUUAGAUUCUUGUAGUCCCAAAUGCAGAUAUGCCCCUAGACUUGGGGUGCCAUCUAAAUCUAUGUACUCUUAAAAUAUGGUUUAGUUGUUUCAAUGCAGCUAAAGCCAGCUAAAUUUUAGCUAGGUCUAUUAGCUGGGGGAUCCAAACAUCGCAAGCUAAAAUUUAGCUAGGAGAACUUUUAGCUGGCUAAAAUUUAGUUUUAAAAUUUUAGCUAGCUAAAUUUUAGUUGGGUAGAUUUAAAUAGAUCCUAGGUGAGAACAAUUUUUUUUUGAAAAAAGAUAAGUUGGGCACACUCGACAUCGUGGUACUAACAAGGAACAAGUUGCUAGUACACGAAGAAGGGAUGUAGCACAAGACGACAAGUCACUGUUGCAAUUGCGGCUCUCUUGUCGCUUGCAAGCACCACUUGAAAAAACGACCAAUAGUGAUGGGCCAAGAAUGGCAAUAGCCAAUAGUGACAUGCAUGCAUGGCGCCUAUAUCACCCGAGACGUAUCACUUUGAUUUGUAAAAACUAUAAUGAAGGGCAGGAGCCCGUAACUAUACAUUGACUGAUAGAAGUGACAGGCAAGAAGCAUAACCAAAGAUAUUUGGAUGGAUUUUUGGAUGUCCUCUCUUAGUAGGUUGUGACUUGUUGCAUCAAGAUAAUACCUGACUUAAUCAUUAAUUUGUUGGAUAAAUGAUUGCUACAUUCUUAUAGUCCAGCAUAUCAUGCACUUCCCUCUUUCCCAGCCUUUGUAAAAUUUGAGCCAAUGACUUGUAUAGUUCUAUAUCCUGGACAACGGAGGUUGGAUUUGGAUGAUCAAGCACAAGCAGGUGCCGUCACUACUACAACACCUUAUAUAGUUUUCAUGGGCACGAUGAAGUAGCACUUUUCUACUUACAACGACAACAAUGUUAGAGACCAAAACAGAGGAUAGAAAUACAGCCGUCGCUACAACAACACCUUCAUAUGUGCCGGUGCUGUAGGAAUACCGGUAUGGAUAUACGUUGAUACCCCACGCCCGGCUAAGUGUAAUGUAGAGGCGGCAACAAUAUGUUUUCGACACCAAGUCCAUUCAUAGCAGCACAGAUGGGCCGAUACUGAUAAAGGUUUCUGCAGUAGUGAUGAGUCAAGUUAUAUCUACAUUGGUACAAUCCUAACUAGUGGCGGAGCCAAAAUUGAGAGCUUAGGGGACUUUUCUUUCCUUCUUCCUCCUCCCUCCUCUCCUUCCUUCUUCUUCCUUCUUUCUCCUCAAAAUUUGUAGGAAGAUUUUGGAAGGCUUCCAUGGAAACCAAGGUGGUAGGGGGGCUUGAGCCCUCUGCACCCCCCCGAUCCUAACCUUAUUAACGACAUCCAUCCACAUAAGAAAAUAACUUUUUUUUGCAGUAUUACUUUCGGAAGAUUUCAAAGGUGAGCUAUGACAUCCAAAAUCGCCCGAAACUACUCAAAUAAGGUACAUCCGAAGGAGCUGAGUUUAGCAUUUUAUCUCAACUAAAUUCAAAACUACUUUUUAUGCAAAUUUUAAAGUACAUUUCAUCUAAAUUUCAAACUACAUUUUAUCUAAACAGCAAACUAGUUUGGCGUCCAUCCAUCCAUGUUGAUAUGAUAAUUGCAUGAUUUAUGUUACUCUUUACAAGAAUAAGAUAAGAAGUUGCGUGUAUGAACAUUUUACGGGCACCCUACAAAGCACAUAAAAAAACUUUGUAUACUCUCUCCGUUUUUAUUAAGUCAAAGUUAGCUAACUUUGACCAAGUCUAUAGAAAAAUAUAGCAACAACUAUACUAUCCAACAUAUGCACUAUCGACGUAUACUUCAUGAUGGAUUCAAUGAAACAAAUUUGAUAUUGUAAAUAUUAUUAUUUCUUUUCUAUAAAUUUGAUCAAAGUUAGCCAAGUUUGACUUAGGACAAACCUAAUACGACAUGUAAAUAAAAAUAGAGAAAGUAUUAUUCCUAAAAAUAUGGAGGCCAAGCAAAUUAAAUAUAUAAGGGAAAAUUUCAGAAAAACUACUUGGAAACCGUGGUUUCAAAUACAUGCAUCUUACUUCCUUACAAUGUGACACCUACAAAUUUUAUAUUUUUUAUAUUCUGCAUGUGUCUAUUGACUAGCCGAUGCGGUUGUCACAGUUCAGCCAUGAUAAAAAUUAUUAGAUUUUAAACCAUAUUUAUGUACCUUGAUGAGUUAGAUUAAAAUAAAUAUCAAUUACUAAAUUACAUAUCUCAUCAUCACUACAAGACUAGUAACUUAUCUCAACAGUUCCUUUUUGCAAGUGAUCAGCGGUUUAGGUGCAUUUGGCUAACCAACUAUUAUUAUAACUGCUGGAAAUGAGUUUGUCGAGAAUUAUGUUAUUGGAAAUUUCAUAAAAUUGUAUAAAAAAUACAAAUUAUAAUAGAAAAACUAUCGGUCACUCGGGAAAAAAAAAUUUAAAAGCGCUAAAAUUUUUGGCCACUUAAUAAAAUUGUUGGGAAAAUCUCAUAUCUUAUAGUGCAUUAGAAAUUUGUGUAGCAAGUUACAAACAUAAUUGUGAUGGGUUCAUGGCUAGAAAUGAGAUCAAUUCAUUAUCGGUGUCAGUUCCAACUACAGUAAUAAUGUCACUUUUUACAUCGGGUCAUGUCUAGAGCCUAAGAUAACAAUGGUAUUUUUUAUCGAUUCUGGCAUCGAAUAGAUCAACUGUAGCAAUUAAUAUAGAUGUUGUCGUCAGACUAUAUGGAUGACUUGGUACAGCUAGUUCCUAGCACUUAGUUUGAUUCUUACAAUCAGAAAUGAAAUUUUGAUGCUAACCAUCCUGUGUACAAUCUGAUUAUGUGUUGUCCUUUUGCGAUUGUGUACCGAGUUUAGUUGUGCUCUUUAGUUAAAAUUCUGAAACUUUAAUUUGUUAUUUGAUAUUUUGUUACAGAAAAGGUGGGCUGUCACCGAGUUAUUUGCUCAUCCUUUAGACAAGGCAUAUUUUAUAUGACUCUUUAUCUACACAUAUAUUUUUUUUUCUAUAUAGGCUAAGGAGACAGGAGGUGCAUAAGGCCUUCUCUGAUCAAUGCACGGACCUACAUGGCAUAUUUGAAGAAAAUCUUCACCACCGGAGAAGGUGAGCCAUAACAGGGAGUUGAGGCAACUACACGAGAGGUCUCUCCUAGCUGGAGAGCCCCUAAGGGUGUGUUUGGUUGGGGAGGCAAUUAGAAUGGAACAACUUCAUUCCAAUUUCUAAGAAUGGAGCCGCUCCGUUUUAUGUUUGGUAAGCAGAACGGAGUCACUCCAUUUUUUGUUUGGUUGGAGAGUGAGCUAGAGCAGAACCAUUCCAUUCUGUGUUUGGUUGGAGAGCAUGCAAGUGCAGUUACCUCCUCCUUCUUGGGGUGAACUUACCACCAUAUUUCACCAUAUUUCAGUUAAAAUGCUCAUAUACUUAUGCAAUAGAAUUAACUGAGUUUCAACAUGACAUAAUAUAUAGAAUUAAUCCAAAGUGCAUAUUGUUCAAGGACACAAGCGGCUUAAUUAAUCCCAAUUGCCAAUGAGAAACAAAGAAUUAGUGGCUGAAUCAAAAUCGCAGUGCAGGAACCUAAAACAAAAAAUCAAAAAUCAAGCCAGCUGGGAUGCGGUCAGCUUGGGGGGGGGGGGGGGGCGGGCACCACCGGCGGGCGGAGCGGGCACCGUUGCCCGGGAGGGGGGCAGGCGCCGCCGGGCGCUCGAGGCGGAGCGGGCAGGGGCUCGGGGCGGAGCGGGUGCCGCCGGCCGCUUCGGGGCAGAGCGGGCACCGCUGCGGGAGGGGGGCAGGCGCCGCCGGGCGCUCGAGGCGGAGCGGGCAGGGGCUCGGGGCGGAGCGGGCACCGCGGCCCGCCCUGCCGGGGCGGCGGCGGCGAGCGCCACCGGCCGCUCGAGGCGGAGCGGGCAGGGGCUCGGGCAGAGCAGGCACCGCCGCCGGAGGGGGGGGGGCCGGGAUCCACCGGCGGCGCGGGAGGAGGUGGGCGUCGGGGGUGAGCGGUACCUGUAGCCCUUGGGUGCGGGAGCAAGAAUGGGAGCGCUCGCGUGCGGUGGUUUCGGAGGAGCCGUUUCGUUCCGGAUAUUAGGAGAAUAUUCCCAUCUUUUGGCUUGCAGAGCCACUCCACUCUUUCUCAGUUACAACCAAACACGCAGAAAAAGAGGAGCGGAGCGGCUCCGUUCCAAUUCGCUCCCCAACCAAACACACCCUAACACUUUCUAUUUUUAUCCAACUGCGUCAUGCGUCAGAUUGAAAUGGAAACAACUCAGCUUCCCCUCCCGCACACAUCUGCAUGUGUGUCAAAAAAGAACGUGACUUCGUCCCACGGUUGCCUUGCAUGAUCAAUCUCAAUUCUAAGAAAAAAAUCAAUAGUUCCAUAACCGUAUAUCCAAAUCAAAAUUCGAUUAUACCUUCAUAGUCUCAAAAAGAAUAGAUUCAAGUAAACUGAAUAAUAUAAAUUAAGUGGGGCAAAGGACCUUACAGUAUCCUUCGUACGUCUUUCUUAUAUCUGCCCUUGCCAAGAAGAGAGAAGGGUUUAAUACCAACUGAGAGUCGGAUACCAAUGAAUAAAGAAAAAUAACGGGCUACAAUCACCUAUCCAAUGGAGUUUUUUAUUUAUUUUAUUUUCAUAUGCACAGACGCAGCUUAGAGCAAAUGACGCGGAGCGAGUUUGAAGAGAUUGAGUGAGUCCCUAAAUAUUUUUCAGCUAAAAUUUGAUGGAUGUAUUCAUGACGUGUAGAUGCGAAAACAAAUAAAGAUACCGUGAAUAUAUUAUUUUAUCAAAAUAUUGUAAUUUUAUUAUAUUUUAAACUAAUUUUAAGUUCUCCUGCCGUUACUUAAAAUGAGUGGAUGGUCCGAAACUAUGCUUUUUUCCAAGAUCCUGCUUACAUCCUCAGUUUUACGAGGCGCAUCGGGAUUUUUUCAUAGAAACGACUGAUCCGAAGCACGGCCUCAUCUGGCCGUCCGUUUAUACAUGGGGCGUUAACGAUCGGCAGCCGAUCUAUAAAACCAUAAAAACCCAACACCGGCCCAUCUCGUCUCCCCUCUCCCUCGUCUCCUCCCUCCCCGAGCCGCCACCCCCUCGAAACCCUAACCCUAGCCGCUCCCCGGGAGGCGGGGAGGAGAGCUCGUGGCACCGGCCAUGGCGGAGCACGACCUCACCGCGCUGCUGGCGGCGCAGAUGGAUCGCCACCUUGUGUUCCCGCUGCUGGAGUUCCUGCAGGAGCGGCAGCUCUACUCGGAGCCGGAGAUCCUCGAGGCCAAGAUCCGCCUCCUCAGCGGCACCAACAUGGUCGACUACGCCAUGGACAUCCACAAGUCGCUCCACGGCACUGACGACGUUCCCGAGGACAUGGUCCGCCGCCGCGCCGAGGUCGUCUCCAGGCUCAGGUCGCUCGAGGAGGCCGCCGCCCCGCUCGUCACCUUCCUCCAGAAUCCGCAGCUCGUCCAGGAGCUCAGGCCCGACAAGCAGUACAACAUCCACAUGCUCCAGGACCGAUACCAGGUUCGGGUUUUUUUUCCUCCCACCUCUACUGAUGCUCCGUUUUCGAGAUAGUUUUGGGCUGGUAGGAUUCCGUGUCAUUAGGAAAACUGAAAAUGAUUUGCUCUUACAGUGAGAAAAUCUUUGGGGAUAGCUUAUGUACUGUUUCUACAUGUGGAUUCAUAUAAUUAGCAUGGAAUUUGGCCCUAGCUCUGUACUUUGUUGUGAGGGAAUCUUGAUUAGUUGGAUGCAGACUGAUGCUCCUUCUUUACAGAUCACAUCACUAGAUUGUGAGAUGUGUUUAAUUCGGUAGCUUGCAUAGUUCAAUAUGUUCUAGUGUAGAUGUCCUAAAAUCUGGGAAUAUGUAGUGCUUAUUAGUUUCAUUUGAGGUUCCCAUGUAUUUUUUGGUUAGUGCUUGCAAAUUGGCAUAUAAUUCCGGAGUCAAAAUUUUUCUGAAGAACUGUUGCAGCUAAAUGCAUAGUAACUAAGAUCAGAACUCAGAUGGAACGUCGAUGCUGUGCAACUGUAUUGUUCUAGCAUGUUGUAUACUAAUCAACUGAUUCAAUCCUUGUUAACAAUGCAGAUUGGUCCAGACCAGAUUGAAGCUCUGUAUCAGUAUGCCAAAUUUCAGUUUGAGUGUGGUAAUUACUCAGGGGCUGCUGACUACUUGUACCAGUAUCGUGCUUUGUGCACAAACAGUGAGAGGAGUGUGAGUGCCCUUUGGGGAAAGCUGGCAGCAGAAAUCCUGAUGCAGAACUGGGAUGUAGCUUUGGAAGAACUUAACCGCUUGAAGGAGAUAAUUGAUUCAAAGGUUUUCCUCUUAACGCUUUAUACUUUGUUCUUUGUUGUUUAUCUACAUUAUAUUACUAACUUGUUUUGUUCCUGUUUUUUUUUGGCAGAACUUCUCAUCACCUCUGAAUCAGCUCCAGAACAGGAUAUGGCUGAUGCAUUGGGCUCUCUUCAUCUUCUUCAACCAUGAAAAUGGUAGAAAUGGGAUCAUUGAUCUGUUCUUCCAGGACAGGUUUGUAUGUUAAAAUCUAAAAUGACAUAGUUCCAUUGUCUUAUGUUGCAACAAACUUACAGAUGGUAGCAUUCUGGCAUAGUAGUUUAGAAAGUAGCAACAGUGAGACAAACAUUGGAAAAUUCUUCCAAAUAUCUGCAUUGCAGUCUAGAUGCUCAUAAAUCUUUUGAUUCAAUAGUCAGUGAAGGCAUCGUUUUCUGUUGAGAGAGUAACCUCUUGAAUGUAUCAAUGCACGGAAAUAUAGAACUAAGUUGUUUAUAGGCUUUGAAUAGCUUGUUUUUGGGAAAUCUAAUCUUGAUUCAAAAUUAUUCUCUUACUGUGUACUUUUACUGGUACAGCAAUCCUGUUCGAUGUUGGUACUAUUUUCUUCUUUGAUAUGGCGUUAAGGUUAAAUUCUCAGGAGUCAAUUUGCCUACUCACUUGUUUCUUGCCCAGGUACUUGAAUGCUAUUCAGACAAAUGCACACCAUCUCCUGAGAUACCUAGCUACUGCAGUUGUUGUGAACAAAAGGAGAAGGAAUAUGCUUAAAGAGCUGAUUAAAGUCAUUCAGCAGGAGCAGCAUAGCUACAAGGACCCCAUAACGGAAUUUCUGGAAUGCUUAUAUGUCAACUAUGAUUUUGAUGGUGCUCAACAGAAACUCAUGGAGUGCGAGCAGGUAACUUCAAGGAUGGUUUUCUCAAUUUUUAUCGCCAGAAAUUUUUGAACUUAAAUGUGUGCUUCUCGGGAUAUAGAAAAUCUUUAAAGACAAUGAAUCAUUUUCUUUGCAAAACAUCAUUCUUUGUAUGUCGCCCAGGUAAAAUGUUUUGUCCAUUCCAAGUUUAGUAUCUUAGAUGUAUCAUACAUUCCAGGAAUCUCAGCAUGCUGAAGCUGUAUAGUAAUAUAUCCUAUUUGAAUAAUUUAAAUGAGCUAGGAUUCUGAGGGCUUAUAAUAUGCUUGUCUGCAUUGCUGUCCCAACAAUACGCAAUGAUCAUUUUAUGAUAUGCUGUCAAACAACCUAAUGUACCUUCUUUAUGUUUAAAUGUGUACUUUUCUAGAUUAUUUUGAAUGAUCCUUUCCUGGGAAAGCGCAUUGAAGAAGGAAAUUUCGUCACUGUCCCUUUGAGAGAUGAGUUCCUUGAAAGUGCUCGUCUGUUUAUUUUUGAGACUUACUGCCGUAUUCAUCGGUGCAUUGAUAUCGGGUAUGUUCUUUUUUCUGACAGUUCAUUACAAUGGCAUGGAAAAUAUCUCUUGCAAUAAUUAUUUAGUGGGAACACAAUCAUAAAGUCUGGGCAUGCUUUCUGUUAGGAAUUGUUUGUCACUCCACCGGUUCUGUACCUACUUUUUGAUUGGAUUAUUCUGUAGUAUAUUGGUAGCUGAAAUCAGAUCCUGUUGUUAACCACAAAUGUAUUGUCCUAAGGGAUAGUAAAUAACAAUGUGUUCUGUGCAGUUUGGGAGGCAGCAUUUGUUUUGUUGACUAGAACCUGUUGGUUUGCAUUCUAUUCUAUGGACCAUAUAGGAACUUGGCUGUUAACAUUCUAACAUGUUCCUGUUAUGUUAUUGGAAUGGACAGCAUGCUUGCACAGAAGCUGAACAUGAGCUACGAUGAGGCAGAGUUGUGGAUAAUGAACUUGGUUAGGAGCUCAAAACUGGAUGCCCGGAUCGAUUCAGUGUCCGGAACCCUUGUUAUGAUGACCAAUCACGUCAAUGUGUAAGUUGCUUUGUCCAUGUAUACACCAUGUUGAUUGUAGAUUCAUAACAUAUUUUCUUCACACGUUUUGCUCUUGACUAAUGUGAUGUAGUUUGAAUAAUCUUUUGUUAUAGCCAGAAUAGUUAUCUUCUCUGCUUACACUGGAAUACAUCUUUUUGCAGGCAUGAGCAGAUUAUCGAGAGCCUGAAAGGCCUUAACAUGCGGACCUACAUGCUAGCAAAGAACAUUGUGGAGCCAACUCAAGCAGCACAGCAGGCGGCUCGGUGAGGUUAGUGGAAUCCACAGUUUUGAGGUGCCAAGGAUUAGUUACAGUAGAGACAGCUGUAAACUUUUUGAAGCUCUAUUGUUUCAGUGACUUGAACACCUGGGAGGUGGUUUGCCGUUUGUUACAGCUUAUGCUGACAGUUUUAGUAUUUUGUACUCGGAAUUGCAUAACAAUUGAUCCUUCUAUAUGUAUUGCUGGCAACCGGAUUUAUGCUUGGGCGUUAAGGCGUUUUAUGUCUGUAAUUUCAUGGGCAUUGAGGCAUGUGCUGCAGCUUUCUAGAGGAUCGUUGCAUGUUUGUCCGGGCUGACCCAGCGGUUGUUUGGGCUUUGUGGGAUAGGUUGGGCCUGGUGUCGUCACGGCUCUGGUGAUGUGCUUCCCAGUUCUGUUGUUUUGGACCGUGUCUUAUAGUUUUGUGGGCUUGAUGUGGGCUGCUUCUGGCCAUUUGCGGCCAAGUUUUUUUUUUUCUUUCAGUCGUGAGGCAAGGCGCUAUCGAUAGAGUGAGUGUCCCUUUGGUUUGGCUUUCUAAGGCCCUGUUCGGAUCCAACCGCAAAACAGCAAAAGGGAAAAUAGUUGCUGUUUUUUUUGCGUUUACACCCGAACACCACCCGUUGAAAGGGAAAGAGCGAGAGGAGAUAGCAAAAUAGCAGAUUCCGACGCCGCCGCCCGCCCCUCGCCGCCCGCCGCCCGGCCUCCGCCCGCCGCCCGGCCUCCGCCCCCUCCGCUGUCCGCCGCGCCUCGGCCUCCGCCGUCCGCCGCCCGGCCUCCGCCCCCGCCGUCCGCCCCCGCCGCCCGCCCUCCGCCCCCGCCGCCCGGCCCCCGCCCCCGCCGCCCGGCCUCCGCCCGCCCCCCGCCCGGCCUCCGCCGUCCGCCGCGCCUCGGCCUCCGCCCCCUCCGCCCCCGCCCCCUCCGCUGUCCGCCGCGCCUCGGCCUCCGCCGUCCACCGCCCGGCCUCCGCCCCCGCCCCCUCCGCCGUCCGCCGCGCCUCGGCCUCCGCCGUCCGCCGCCCGGCCUCCGCCCCCCGCCCGGCCUCCGCCCCCCGCCCGGCCUCCGCCACCUCCGCCCGGCCCCCGCCCCCCGCCCGGCCUCCGCCCCCGCCCCCUCCGCCGUCCGCCGCGCCUCGGCCUCCGCCGUCCGCCGCCCGGCCUCCGCCCCCGCCGUCCGCCGCCCCCGCCGUCCGCCGCCCCCGCCCCGCUCCCCGCCCGGCCUCCGCCCCCGCCGUCCGCCGCCCGGCCUCCGCCCCCCGCCGCGCCUCGGCCUCCGCCCCCGCCGCGCCUCGGCCUCCGCCCCCGAACGCGCCCCGGCCUCCGCCCCCGAAUCCCCCAAUCUCGCGCGGGGUCGGGCGGCGGGCGCCGGAGGCCGAGGCGCGGGGUCGGGCGGCGGGCGGCGGGGGCGGGCGGAGGCCGGGCGGCGGGCGGCGGGGGCGGAGGCCGAGGCGCGGGCGGGGGGCGGAGGCCGGGCGGCGGACGGCGGGGGCGGAGGCCGAGACAUCAAAAGGGCAAAUUUUUUUCGGGAGGAUCCGAACACCUCGAACGGCAAAAUUUUUGCCACUUUUAGCAAAUGGCAAAAAUUUUGCCCUUUUGCCCAUUUGCUAUAUGGAUCCGAACAGCACCUAAGUGGUUUGGCUUCCAAGAAAAGCUAAAAAGUAAACCAAAUAGCAUGUUCCCUUCUUUCUUUGAAAGCUGCUUUCUGGCAGUAGAGAUUUCACAGCACGUGUGAGGGUGCUUUCAGCGGCUGUGGGGGGCACCGUUUCGUAAAUUUACCCGCCUGCCAUCGGUUAAUGAGUAGAUCUCUUGCUGCUGCUGUUUGUGCUUCCUUGAUUGCAUUUUUCAUACUAAUUUUGACAAGUUGUCAGCUUGUAUACACUGUACAUCAUGAUACUGGUAUUGAAUGAAGUAAAUUGUUUUGCAUGAUUCAAGAAUGGGCGAUAAGGCGGAUUGGUGUGAUGCCAAUGUGAGGCAUUUCAUUGAUAUAUAAGCUGGGAAUAGACCGUCGGGAAUGUUCACUAGGGACGGAUGGAAAAAAUCUGAGGACUAAGUAUGAAGAAAAAAUAGGGCUAAAGCAAACAAGAAAUAAUUGAAGAACAAAUGGGACAAUAUGGAAAAGGAAUAUACUUGGUUUAUGGAGCUCAAGAAUUUUGCCACUGGCUUGGAUGGAAUGAGACAAAGCAAACCGUUGAAUGCUCUAAGGAAUGGUGGGAUGAACACCUAGCUAUAGUGUAAUUGUUCAUUAUUCAUUGUUCAUGCUUGUAUUGGUUGACUUGCUAACUUGUAUCACUUAAUUUUUAGAGAUGCAAUAAUCCUGGUAAAGGUAUUAAAUGCAACCAUGUGAGGUUCAGAAAACAAGGAUCGAAGCAUCUUAAUGAUCUGCAUAUAUUGUUUGAUAAAACAUAUGUUAGCGGGGCUAGUGUAUCAUGUCCUGAAUAUAUUUCCUCAUCUGAGUCUAGUGACGAGGAUGUGGCUGAGGUACAGAAAAAUCCAGAUAAUGAUGAUGUCAAGUUGGCCGUUUUGAAGAAAAUAAAAUCAGGAAAAAGGAAACGCAAGGACAGCUCAACUGCAACUACUGAAAAGAAGGAUGAGAAGAGCCCAUUCUUUCGACUGUACAAGAACAAAAGUUUGAAGAUAGAAACAGCAACAGAGAAGAUCUCCAUAAGUGUUGAAGCAUCGUAAGCUCCUCCAACCAACCAAGUCCCUAGCAUCAAAGAGGCAAUGCAGAUGGUGAAAGCCUGUGGGGUGCAAUAAAAAAACUGGUCUAAUGCACACAACCACCUUGUUGAUCGUGAAGUCUGAAUUUAGGGAGAUCUUUAGCUCGCUUGAAAUCAAUGAAGGAAGGUUUGAUCUGCUUGAGAGAGAGCAUGAAAAGGAGUUGAUGAGGUAGUCGUAGAACUUUGUAGUCAUUUAUUUCUUGUGUCAUUUGGGAGUACCAAGUAUUUAUUCCUGCUCUCUGAGAACCAUUUAUUUGUUCCUGCUAUGUGACAACUAUUUUGAAAUAAUGUUAUUUGUAUCUAAAUGAUUACUUGUUUGUGUUAUCUGAGCACCAUUAUAAUUUGGUCGUCAUUGUUGUCCAUAAUUUGGUUGUUAUUGUUAGGCAUAAUUUGGUUGUUUAUUGGCUGCACAUAUAUUGAUAUAUUAAUAACAUCUUAUGCAGAUGGAUGACAGCAUGGUGGAUUUUGCUAAAAAGAGACAAGGACUACUUCUUCUAGCUGAGCUAUCCCAGCAUGUUAUUAGACAAUUGGGGUACCAGUACACUGAUCGGUAUUUGCACAAAGGAGAAUACAGGGAAACACAAGGAACUGAACUUCAAUGGGUCAUGAGAUGCAUGAGUCGUUCUAGGCACUUGUACAAGAUGUUUCGAACGAGCUCUGAUAUUUUCAUGGCGUUUUAUGACUUGCUUAUCUCGAACUACGGUUUGACAUCAACUAACAAUGUAUUAUUAAUGAGUCAUUUGUGAUGUUCUUGUAGAUCGUUGGAGGACCACAGUCUUCUCACAAGCUUAAGACUGUUUUACACUGUCACUUUGGACAGUUCGCAACAAGUUUCAUGAAGUAUUGAAUUAUUUGCGCAAGUUAGCAAAGGACAAUAUCAAGCCAAGAGAUCCUAAUUUCUCUAUUGAGCAUGAAAAGGUCAAAGAGGACCGUUUCUGGCCUUAUUCAAAGGCGCAAUUGGAGCUAUUGAUGGUUCACAUGUUCCAGUAACAGUGCCAGCAGAGGAAGUGAUCAACCAUAUAUGACAAUAUGGGUUUACAUCUCAAAAUGUCCUAGUUGUUUGUGAUUUUGAUACGAGAUUUAUAUUUGUGGUUGCUGGUUGGCUAGGUUCUGCACAUGACACACGGAUCCUAAAUCAUGUUUUAGCAAAUUUUUCUUCAUUUUCCGUGCCUCCGAAAGGUAUACACAUUUUAUUACUACUACCAAUACUUGUAUUGUUAUUUGCCUUUGCUGAUUUGGUCUUAUAGGUAAAUAUUACCUCGUGGAUUUUGGUUAUUCAAACCAACUAGGAUAUCUUGCCCCUUUUAAAGGAAGCACGUAUCAUAUGCUAGAGUUUCGACUUUGUAAUGUGCGUGCAUUGUAAGGAAAGUACGAGGUGUUCAAUUUCUUGCAUUCAUCUUUUCGAAAUAUCAUUGAGCGGUCUUUCAAAGUCUUGAAGCAGAAGUGGUGUAUUUUUAAGGGCAUUCUAAGUUUUUCUACUCGCACUCAGAAGCAUAUAAUUUUAGCUUGUAUGAUAUUGUAUAAUUUUAUCCGUGAUAGCCACUCGCAAGAUAGGGAGUUUGAUAAAUGUGAUGCUGAUGAGGAGUACCUGCUACGACAAUCAUUUGACACGGCAUAAACACAAGGAGAUGACAAUGAUGAUGGAGAGAAUGAGAAAACCAUGAAUAUCAUCCGCAACAGGAUAACUGAUGCUUUGGUUAGUGCGAGAGGGAGAUAGUUAUGUUAAGGCAGGACAUUGUUAUAUGAACCAUAUGUCAUUUUGUAGACUUGUUAUCAUUGUAUUUAAGAUUCCUUCCCAAACCGGUAAUUUGCAUGAGGGAUUCACAAUCACUUUGAAUAUCAACGGUCCCUCAGCACUUCAGGGGCGUUACAGACAUUUCACAGCAAACCUACAGUUUCGCAGCUGUUCUAGCCAAAUGGUUUUUAGUUUUCUCACAGCUCAUGGAUUAUAACAACUUUUUUGAUAGCUCACAGCCCACAACAGCUUUUUUCAUAGCCACGGUCCAACCAAACAUACCUGAUAAUGUGAGCCCAAUCGACGUAAACUACGCUUAGUUGCAAAGUCCUAACAAGUUGAACUGUUGAUGUCAAAGUUUCCCAUUCAAUCGGGCAAGAAGCAACUUGCAGGAUUUUGAUUGUGAUUUAUGAAUUUCCGAACCAUCCAAAUUUCAGUUUCACAAAGACUCCAUCAAACAGAAAAACUACGUCACAAAUUCACAAUCCCUUGUUUUUCUUUCGAUGGCCUCAUUCCCUUGUUUUUUCGAUGGAGGGGGGGGGGGGUCCCACCAUGAUUACAAAGCUUUUUCAGGGAGAAAGCGAAGAACUACAUAUUUAAACAAAACGCUUGACACCAGGCCUCUGUGAUUCCUUGGAGGGCAUGUGGCAGACGGCAACGCGCCAACGCCACAGACGUGCGUCCUCCUUGCAGGCGAGCCUCAUUCCCUUGUUGAGAGGCCAAAGCACCUCUAUCCUUGUUGCACAGUCCAAGACGCGUGAUGGUCGUCGCACCAGUCCAUCGGAAAGAAAAAACCGAGAUUUCCCUACCGAACGCCGGCAUCCAUGGCCGCCUCGGUGAGCUCAACUUCUCGGCGCUCCCCUUCCUCACACACAUGGACCUCAGCUUGAACAGCCUUCACGGCGAGAUCCCACCGGCCAUUGCCUCUCCAAGCCGGCUGUCCUACCUCGAUCUGGUCGGCUACUUCCUCCAUGGACACAUCUUCCCCGUGAGAUAGGCAGCAUAUGGGGCUUCUUAGCGACCUGAAUCUCGCUUUCAACAACCUCACGGGCCGCAUCCCUGAAUCCUUUGGGAACCUCACGACGCUAGCCACUCUGAUCAUCGCACACAACAUGCUCGCUGGGGCGAUACCGGAGGAGCUCGGGAAGCUGGCCAGUCCAGAUGAUUUGCACUUGGGCGGCAACUUGUUGGACGGCCAAAUACCUGAAAGCCUUGCAGGCCAGUACCUCAGUUUGGGAGGCUCCGGAGCGAAAUAUAAAAUGAAAAUUUUAUAUGUAGAAAAUUAUAAAUAAUUAGAAUAUAUUUAGAUGAUUUUAUGUAAUAGUAUCAUGUAAAAGGAGUAAAAAACAAGUGUUCCUUACCGAUAUCUUUUUAACUUCUAUGAAAAAGCAACAUUCGUCUAGUAUUCUUCAAAUAAA